rnacentral:lncRNA from 1 species
UGAACAUAGGUGUGCUCAAUGCCAACAACAAUAUGUUGUCAGGAAAAAUUCCAAUGGAAUUGACCAGUCUUUGGAACAUCUCUGUUCUGUUGCUUGAUGGGAAUCAAUUCUCUGGUGAACUUCCAUCCCAGAUCAUCUCAUGGAAGUCGCUCACUAAUUUGAAUCUCUCAAGAAACAAACUUUCAGGCCUAAUUCCCAAGGCAUUAGGUUCUUUACCUAGCCUUACUUACCUCGACCUGUCAGAAAACCAGUUCUUAGGUCAAAUUCCUUCUGAACUCGGUCAUUUGAAGCUUAAUAUCCUCAAUCUUUCGUCUAACCAACUCUCUGGGUUGGUCCCCUUUGAGUUUCAAAAUGAAGCAUACAAUUACAGUUUCUUGAACAAUCCCAAGCUGUGUGUCAAUGUUGGCACUCUGAAACUCCCUAGAUGUGAUGCCAAAGUCGUUGACUCCGACAAAUUGUCAACCAAAUAUCUCGUUAUGAUCCUAAUUUUAGCUCUAUCUGGUUUCCUAGCUGUUGUUUUCUUUACCCUGGUCAUGGUUCGAGACUAUCACAGGAAGAAUCAUAGUCGAGACCAUACAACUUGGAAGCUUACUCGAUUCCAAAAUCUGGAUUUCGAUGAACAGAACAUAUUGUCCGGUUUGACAGAAAAUAAUUUGAUCGGACGUGGUGGGUCAGGGAAAGUAUACCGAAUUGCUAAUGACCGUUCUGGUAAAAUCUUUGCUGUUAAAAUGAUUUGUAACAACGGGAGAUUGGAUCACAAGCUUCAGAAACCAUUCAUAGCAAAAGACGAGAUAUUGGGCACCUUACACCAUUCCAAUAUAGUGAAGUUGUUGUGCUGCAUAUCAAAUGAAACCACAAGUCUUCUUGUUUACGAGUACAUGGAGAACCAGAGUUUGGAUAGAUGGCUUCAUGGGAAGAAGCAGAGAACAUUGUCCAUGACAAGUUUAGUUCAUAACUUCAUCUUGGAUUGGCCAACAAGGUUGCAGAUUGCCAUCGGAGUUGCAAAAGGCCUACGCCACAUGCAUGAAUACUGUUCUGCCCCGAUCAUACAUCGAGAUGUAAAGUCCAGCAACAUCUUACUAGACGCUGAGUUCAACGCGAAAAUUGCAGAUUUUGGAUUAGCCAAGAUGUUGGUCAAGCAAGGAGAGCCUGACACCAUGUCAGGAGUUGCAGGCUCUUACGGAUAUAUUGCCCCCGGUAAGACCAUCCAAGGCCUUCCUGUCCACAUGUUCUCAUUUCCAUAAUUUAUAGAUAAUUUUUAUCAAAUAAUUCUCGUAUGCUUGGAUGACAGAGUAUGCUUAUACAACAAAGGUGAACGAGAAGAUUGAUGUAUAUAGCUUUGGAGUAGUUCUGCUUGAGCUGGUGACGGGGAGAGAACCCAACAACGAGCACAUGUGCCUUGUAGAAUGGGCAUGGGAUCAGUUUAGAGAAGGGAAAACCAUUGAGGAAGUGGUGGAUGAGGAGAUCAAGGAACAAUGUGACAGAGCACAAGUGACCACUCUCUUCAAUCUAGGCCUCAUGUGCACUACCACAUUACCAUCCACUAGGCCAACAAUGAAGGAGGUUUUGGAAAUUCUUCAACAGUGCAAUCCUCAGGAGGACCAUGGAAGAAAGAAAAAGGACCAUGAAGCUACACCCCUGCUUCUAAAUGGCACUUAACCCACCAGUUACAAGCAUAGCGACAAGGGAUUUCUAUUUUUAUGUCAUUACUAUAGUGGGAUUUCAAAGAAAUGGGCUUCAUUUUUUAAGCUUCUCAUUACCAGCAGGAGUCCCACUGCCGUUAGCACCUUUGUUAGUAGUUCUUGAGUUAAUCCCUCAUUGUUUUCAUGCAUUAAACUCAGGAAUGCAUUUAUUUGCUAAUAUGAUGGCCGAUCAUAGUUCAAUAAAGAUUUGAAGUGGGCUUGUGUCACGCCCAAAAUCUGGUUAACCCAAAACUCGACUCGUGACCUCAGUUCAAAAGUUUGACCCUAAGAGUUACUCCUAUCCACGUUGGCAAUCAACUAAAAUAUCCUGAAUUUUUUUUCUAUUUUUCAAUAAAGCGUUUAAUCCCAAAUAAAUUUAUUAAGUUAAGAUUUACUGUAACAUAUUAUUUUAUUUUUCCAAAACCAACUAUCACACUAUCUCCUGUUCACAAGUAUAAUAAAUCCACCAAUCAUCUUUCUACCCAAAAACUCAAAUAUUUAUAAUAAUCUCCAAGUAAAAAAGAAUAUUUCCAAAAAUGUUUUACAAACUAACAAAAUAUAAUUUAAUUUACAAAAGUCCAUAUAACUCAAAUUAGCACAUGUCAAAAAGGUAAUAUACAUCUAAAAACAACCAUUAUUAUGGUUCUUUUGCUUUCUGGAACACUUCCUAAUCUUCCUGUGGCCCCUCAAAAACUAUAUUUGCAUAUAAAAAUUUUAGAAAAUAAAAGAAUGAGCAUUUCCACGUUGCUUAGUAGGGUGUUUUACACCCAAAUGAGUUACACAUUCUAGGUCAAUAAAACACAACUAUAUACCAAAAUAUAAUGUUACAUUUACAUUAUACACACUAAAAGAAACCUCAACUAUACAAAUUUAAACUAAUCAAAAUUAUCAUUUUUCUUAUUCAAUAAUAUGCCAAUAAUUCUAAAUUUACAAAAUAAAUAAGCCAUUUUAGUCUUGAAUAAUAUAUUCAAACAUACACUUGAUAAAUAAUACAAAUCCUUCUUCCAAAUGCAACCAUGAUGCAAAUGUUUACACGCAAUCACGUAAUACACUGUCAUUCUCGAGCUUUCACCGAAAGAUACGCAUCCGUACCCAAAUACACUCUCCAUUCAGAAUUUUCUCAGGGUAAACUUUUGGGUCUUUCACCCUAAGGAUCUCACUCUCUUCUUAAUUCACCAUCUCUAGGGUCAUUCCAUUUCUUAUUUUUCUUUUCAUUUCAUUUUUGCCAUCUUCGGGGUCUUUUCAUUCUCAUUUCCCUUUCACACAACGAUUUCUUUAAUUUUUCUUUUUCUUCACACAACCAUGAUGCAUAUGAAAUGCAAUCAAAUCAUAUUUUAACAUCCAUAAAUUUCCAAAACAUAAUUUUAUUUACUCCCAUUAUGUUUCAUAAUUUCCAACAAUUCACACAACGAUUUUUCUUCACUUUAAUCACCACAAACAUCAAAGAAAAUUCAUAAUUAAUUUAUAUAGUAUCAAAACAUAGUUUUAAACCUUAGCCACAUAAAUUCUAUUUAUUCUUGACAUGCUUAAUAAUUUCCAACAACCAAUAUAACCAUUUUUUUUUUCAAUUAAAUAACCACAUAUAACCAAGAAAAUUCCCACUAAUACAAAUAUUAACAAAAACGUAAUUUAUGUCAUAAUUUAUUUAUCUUCAAUAAUCUCAAUAAUUUUAACACUCAAUACAACAAUUUUCCACAAUUAAGCCACCUCAACAUUCGGGAAAUUUUUUUCAAUAAUUCAAAUAUUAACAAAAUCCCAAUUUAUACCAUCAAUUUAUUUAUUUCUAACAAUAUUAAUAAUUUUAAAACAAUAAAUUUAACCAUAUCUCAAUAUUACAAAAUUUCAACAAAUAAAUUCCAUUAUUUUCAACACUAAUAUAUCAUCAAGAAAUUUAUAUAAUUUCUAAUAUGAUAAAAAUCACAAAAAAUAUAUUAACCAAUGUUCCAAAUUAGCAAAGUUUCAUAACCACAACAAUCCGGUAAAUUCUAUCAUAAGGACAACAAUUAAAUACCAACAAUUCUAAUAUUUUUAUCUUGAAUUAAACUUUUAUCCACUUUCCAUUUAACAUUUUCAAAGCAAAACCAAAUCAUUUCAUAUAUUUAGAGUUUCCAAAAAAUAACUUAAUGAAAACUAUAUGACGAUCUACUAUAACUCAACAACUCACCCAUUUUCAUGGAGUUUUUUGAAAGUAAAUAAAAGCAAAAUGAAAUGCCCUAAAAAAUUCGAGAGAGAAAUUUAGGAAAAACACACCCUUACCUGUACAAUAAAAUCCAACCGUCAAUGAUAAAAAUAGAUGUCGAUUUAAUACCUAAACUUUUUCUAACAUUAAAGUAAAUAUGAUUUCAUGAAUUUCACAUUUUCUAUCAUCUUGACCUAAAUCCAAUGGGAUUGAUCACUUUUUUCUCAUUCCAUAAUUCAAUCCCAUGAAGAUGAUUCGGUCACCAACCAUUUACUAAGUUGUGACACCCAUUUUCUACACCAAUUCAAACACUCCACUUUUGUUAAUAACUUUUAGCCAAUAUAAAAAAAUGAACCUACCAUUUGAUAUAUAAAGCAUGCAUUUUCUUUUAAUGAUGUCAUAUUUUGAAUUAUUUUUUAUAUAAACAUCAUUAAAUUCAUUUAAGAGAAGUUAUUUUAUGAUGGGAUAUACUUUCUACUUUUUAUUUUUAAAAUUAGAAACCACUAUAUACUCUCUUUUAUCUUUCUUUUACACUUGAAUUCUUUAAGGUUUUAGGAGCUUCAAAAAUGUUAUAUGCACACCUUCCACAUAAUCUCUAGAGGGUAAAGUGGAUAUAUAAUAGGUAUAAAAAGCAACUCUAUCAAGUAGCAUGUAAACAAUUUAUGACUUAAGAGAAGAUAUUGUUACGACAAAAGGCAUAUUCCAGCUUAUUAUUUGAAAAGGCUUUAAAGAGGAUAUUCAGUGGAGAAUAAAUGAUUUGUAGAUUUGUGGUUAGCUAAAAUGUGUUCAAGGUAGUAUAUGCAUACCUUUAGUGAGUUAAAAUGGCUAUUAAACACGAGUUCCCUAGGUAGAUCAAUCAUGAGUUUAAUUAACCACGUGACUAAUAAGUAUAGUAUUAAAUACAUUACAAUUUACAAGUAACCCUUGGAGGGAAAAACUACUAAUAUGGUGAAUCACAUGUCAAGAAAGUAGUUUUUUUUUUUAAUUUAUUUUUUAUUCUUCUUCAUAUUUUCAAGUUUUCAACCAAAAAAAAAAGUAUUACGCUCAACCACUUGUCCAGUGGUUCUACUUUUGUGACCACCUAAGCUUUAUUACAGGAACUUUUGGGUAUCCCGAACUCUCUUAAAUUAUGAAGCCACCUUUUUUUAUGGACUUCAACCAAGUUUUAAGCAUAAUUUUCAAGUAAAAUAUAUCUCAAUUUAAUCUUUUAAGCUUUUAACAACUUUAGAGUACUUUUCAUAAUAAAAAUGAGGCUCAUGGUGGUAUCAAACUAGGAUUACCCAAUUCUUAAGCUAAAUAGCUCAUAAUAUUUAAGAAGUCUUCUCAUACGUGGUUUUAGUUCUACCUCUUUAAAACUAAUUGAGAUAGUCAUAUUUGUUAUUAUAAGCUCCUUGGGUAAAUUAUGAAUAAGUUAAUUUCAGCUUAAAAUAAUAAAUUGAGCAAAUAAACAUGUAAUAAAGUUGAAACUCAUGACCCUCCUACUGAAUGAAGUUUUAAUAUUAUAUUGGAUAAUUAAUUUUUUUUAAAGCUUAAACUUAAGAUUUGCAUCCUCGUGAAUAUUGCAUUAUGCUUUCUAAUAAUAUAUCACAUACUUUUUUAGAUUUUAUGUUAGACCUGUGAUUACUUCUCUAAAUCAAUUUUUCAGCAUAUUGUAUAUAUGUACUUAUUAGGAAGAAUCAAUUAUCAUUGAAUGCAGAAAUACAACUCCUCAUAGUGUCUCUUUGCUUAUUUCCUCUACAGCUUUGAUUAGUUGAAUUUAAAAGAACUCCCGGGUGCUUUCACAAAAUGUAUUGAACUUCAAACCUGCACAAAGAUAGAAACCAUAUCAUUGAAAUAAUUAAAUAGAUCAACUAAAAUCAAAGUGCUAUUGUCUUAUUUAAAAAUAAAUAUAAAAAAUCAUGGGCUUUAUGCAAAAACGAUAGUUGCGCAAAACUCCUUAUUGGGAAUACUAGAUAGGUGCCAUGUGUCAUUUCAUUCGGCACCUUCUUCCAUAACCAUCAAAAAUGAUCUUUGUUCCGGAAGAAAACAAGAGUUUUGGGCAAAUAUAAUAUAUUUGAAAAAUAAAUUCAUAAAAUAGAUUUUCAAUCAAAAUAAUUUUCAAGUUAGUGCAUGUGUUUUCAAAAUUUGAAAUUUUCCACUGUAUGUGAAAAUUGUGGAAAGUGUCUUUUAAAAAGACACUUUCAGUAUAAACCCAAUUUUUAAAAAAUUAUGAAAGACAUCCAAGUAUAAUUCCAUUUUUUUUUUUUUGGAAAUUAUGGAAGGUGUCUCUUCAAGAGACACUUUCAGCAUAAAUUUGAAAUUUUUCACUGUUUGAAUGAAAAUUGUGAAAAGUAUCUCUUGAAGAGGCACUUUCAGUAUAAACCCAAUUUUUUUAAAAUGUAAAAGAGACACCUUUCCCAAUUCCUAAAAAAUGGAAUUAUACUAAAGGUGUCUCUUGAAGAGACACCUUUCAUAAUUUUAAAAAAAUUGGGUUUAUACUGAAAUUGUCUCUUGAAGAGACACUGUCCACAAUUUCCAUACAUAGAAAAAUUUCGAAUUUAUGUUGAAGAGAGAUAUCUUUAACUUUAAAAUUAUUUUCACAAUUUUAUGGAAUUAUGGAAAGUGUCUUUUCAAAAAACACCUUUAGUAUAAAUCUAAUUUUUUGGAAUUGUAGAAAUUGUCUCUUGAAGAGGCAAAUUCAUGAAACAUUCAAAUUUAUCAAAUUAUGGAAGGUGUUUUUUCAAGAGAUACCUUUAAUGCAUAUUGGAUUUUUUAUCAUAUGAAAGGUGUUUUUUCAAGAGACAUAUUUAAUACAUAUUGGAUUUUUUAUCAGGUAAAAAGUGUCUUUUCAAGAGAUAUUUUUAAUAUAAAUUUAAUUUAUAAAAAUGAUAGAAGGUGUUUGUUAAAGAAAUACUUUAUAUUAAAUUUAAUUCUUUUAAAUAUAUAUAUUAUGAUUUUGAAAACGGUGGAAGAUGCUCUUCAAAAGACACCUUUGGCAAAAGUUAAGAAAGCCCAACUCACGGGUAAUUCUGCCGACAGAAAAAAUGAUAGGACGUGACCUUUGAUGUGAUAAAUGAAAAAGGGUAUGUUGGUCCCGUACCAUUGCCAUCAAUUAUGAGCGCGCAGCAGGUCCGCAAGUUUUUUCCAGUCAACGGAUAUUUUCCACAUUCAUUUCGUAUUCCACGCAGACUUACGAAAGCAACCUUAGCGAGUAUGGGUGGACGCAUUUUCCUGAUAAGCUUCAUGGAAUCUUUAAGAUGAAGGAGGAUGCUACUUCCACAUUCUUUAACCGAGCGUGCUAAACACGCUCUCUAAUUUUUCUAUAUUCUUAAUUUCUAAUGUUGUAUAUAUAAUAUUUUUUAAAUAUAAUAGUAAAAAAAUUAUUUUAAUUUAUUAUAAUUUUAAGAGUCAAAUAAAAAAUUAAAAAAUACAUAGACAAAUAGACCUUUAGCAAAAUAAUUUGAGCUUAAAAUAAUAAAUUGAGCAAAUAAACAUAUAGUGAAGUUAGAACUUAUGACCCUUCUACUAAACUAAAUGGAGUUCUAAUAUUAUAUUGGAUAAUUAAUUUUUUUAAAAGCUUAAACUUAAGAUUUGCAUCCUCGUGAAUGUUGCAUCAUACUUUCUAAUAAUAUAUCACAUACUUUUUUAGAUUUUAUGUUAAACCUGUAUUCACUUCUCUAAAUCAAUUUUUCAGCAUAUUGUAUAUAUGUACUUGUUUGGAUGAAUCAAUUAUCAAUGAAUGCAGAAAUACAACUCCUCAUAGAGUCUCUCUCUGCUUAUUUCCUCUAUAGUUUGAUUAGUUGAACUUAAAAGAACCCCCAAGUGCUGUCACAAAAUGUUUUGAACUUCAAACCUGCACAAAGAUAGAAACCAUAUCAUUGAAAUAAUUAAAUAGAUCAACUGAAAUCAAAGUGUUAUUGUCUUAUUUAAAAAUAAAAAUCAUGGGCUUUAUGCAAAUACGAUAGUUGCGCAAAACUCCUUAUUGGGAAUACUAGAUAGGUGUCAUGUGUCAUUUCACUCGGCACUUUCUUCCAUAACCAUCAAAAAUGAUAUUUAUUCAGGAAGAAAACAAGAGUUUUAGGCAAAUAUAAUAUAUUUGAAAAAUAAAUUCAUAAAAUAGAUUUUUCAAUCAAAAUAAUUUUCAAGUUAGUGCAUUUCAACUACUUGGACAUCCAAAUAGUCUUAAAAUGUUUUAUUUUUUUAGCAUAAAUUUAAAACCGUAAUUAAUAACUAUAAUUUUAACCAUUUAAAAAAAAAAAGAAUUUCUAAGUUGGUAUGUUUCAACUACAUGAACAUCCACAUGGCAUGAUAAUAAUUUUUUUUUAAAUGUUUUUUACAUCACAAAAUUGUAAUUAGUAACUACUAUUUUAAAUUUUUUUAAAACAUAAAAUCACAGUUGGAGACUAUAAUUUUAAGUAUAUCUUUAAAAUUUAUAGUUAAUAAUCGUAGUUGCCGAUUAUGAUUUUAAAUUUAAAUUUAAAACCAUAAUUGAUUAUUAUUAUUUUAACCAUUUAAAAAAAUCAAAAUUAUAGUUAGCAAGUACAGUUUGUGACAUGGAUACACAUGUAGAUGAGACACUCUAGUUUGAAAAUUAUUUUGAAAGGGUCUACUUUGUAGAAUUUUAUUUUUGCAAAUAAAUUAUUUUUCCUCAAAACUCAAAUCUAACUUGUUUAGAAAUAAAUUCAAUUAUACACUUUCCUAGUUUUUCUCUUCCCUAAUAUAAGACCAAGUCCGUGUUAUCACUUUUCCACAGGAAUAUUCAGUUUCAGUCUUCAUCAAUGCUGUCCAUUCCCUUAGCUGUGCAUUAUUCCAAUGCCAGUUUUCUACCAUAAUUUAGUCCAGGAUGUGGAACCACUGCUGGAUCAUGCUGGAUCCUGUUGUGAGACUUGACCAUCAACAUCCCUUCUCUCCAUUUGUGGGGUCCUGCCCACUUAAUCACUACUUUGGAAAUUUCGCUAACAUCCAAAUCUCAACAACCCAAAACCACAGACUUCUGCAUCCUUCCAUCCAUCUUUCUUUAAGUAAAAUAGACACCCAUUUGGUCUUUCUUUCACUUUCUCCCAAGAAUACUAAUCUUGUCUGACUGAUUAGUUUCAUCAGAGAUUAUUCAAGAAAAAGAAUAUCACAUUUUAUAUUUGAAAAAAAAAAGUACUGAAUAUAUUAGAAAGAUAUCAUCCACGAAAAGUUGGAAAUGUAAUCUUGUACAAGGAAAGGAAACAAGGGAGAGUCUUAAAUAAAUUGUUUCCAUAAGAGACCUAAUGACCAAUGUCAUUAGGGGUGUUUAAAAAAAAUUAAUUAAUGGUGAUUAAAUGUUUAAAAAAUUAUAUUUAAUGCAUAUUUUUAUGAUGACGAAGACUUGCAAAAGCAACCUUUGGAAUUUGUCUGGACCAUUUUUCUGAUAAGCUUCAUGGAAUUUUAAGAUGGAGAAUGCUACCUCCACAUUCUUUAACCGAGUGUGCAAAACACGCUCUCUCUAAUUUUUCCAUAUUCUUAACUUUUAAUGCUAUAUAUGUAUAAAAUAAUUUUAAUUUAUCAUGAUUUAAGAGGAGUUAAAUAAAAACUUAAAUAUUUUUAAAAAGAAAAUUUCAAUAUGAUACAUCUAUUUUAAAAUUAUCUUUUGGAUAGAUAUUUUAUAAAUUAUUAUAAAUUUUAAAAUAUUUUUUCAACUAUUAUACAUCUCAAAUUAUUUCUAUCAUUUUUUUAAUUUCACCUUAUCAAGUUUAUAAGAUAGAAUAUAGAGUAUGACAUGGAUUUAAAUUUUAUAAUCAUAUUAAAAUAUUAAAAAAUUAUCAACAAUCAAAUAGUUUCAUAUAUAUAUAUAUAUAUAUAUUUUCAAAUCUUAUUCAUUGUAACUUCAUUCUAUUUAUUUAUACCCUUUUACCUUAGUUUCAAUGCUUAUAUAUUCAUCAAACAACCUAAAUUUUAUUUUAUAUAUAUUUAAUGAUUUAGAUUUUUUGUUAUAUAUAUAUAUAUAUAUAUGAAGGGUUUAUCCCAUCACUUCAUGAGUUUCCCUUACUCCACUCCAUGAACAAUAUCUUGAAAGUGAAGUUGACUUUGCUCAUCCUGCAAGACUUAUCCUCAAGAGUCAAGAACUUGAACCUGAACCUUAGGAUAAAUCUUAGGAUAAAUCUUAUACCACCAUCUCUUGUCCGGGUUGUUCCCUAACGGGAGACAUUAUUAGUUUUUUUUUUUUUUUUUUUUAUCAAAUUAUUAUUCUAACACCAUUUUUAUUAAUGUGAAAUUAUCAUCCCUUAUUACUUUUCCCUUUCUGUCCUCUCCCUUCUCUCCUCCCCAACCUCAUUUCCUAAUUGCACCCUAUUUUUAUUUUUCUUUCCUAACCCCCACCCCACAUUUUAGCAUUAUUUUUCUUUUAUUUUUAUCUUCAUUUUCAUCUCUACCCAUCCAACCCCCCACCCCAUGUAAACUUUGUUUUGUUUUUCUUUUUAUUUCUUUUAUUUUUUUCACACUCAAUUAUUUUUCAUAUUCUUCUUAUAUUUUAAAGCAAAAUAAUUUCUUUAAAUAAUAAAUUAUAAAAUGAUUUUUUCACCAAAAGUAUAUUAUGUAAAAUGAUUUUAUUAUAUUCAAUGUUUUAAUGUGAAAUUCAUAACUCAAUUUUUUAAAAUAAAAAUUAUUAUUAAAAUUUUAAAAUAAACAAUAUUUAAUUGGAAUGGUCUUUUAAAAAAUAUGUUUGUUUAUUGUGUUCAAUAUGAUUUUUUUUGUAACCUAAACAAAAAUAUUGCAUAUAACUAGAGCUUGAUUAAGAAUAUGAGCAAUGUAAUAAUUAUUUGUGUUAGUAAAGUAAAGACUCAUAAAACAAAGUAUGUAAUCAAGAGCCUAAAAAAAAGUCAAACCCAGGUUGUUGAAUCCCCACCUAGGCCGCCGAUUUUUCUUUUUGAUAUAUAUAUAUAUAUAUAUAUAUAUAUAUUGUCAUUAGAUGAUUGAAUUUCAUCAUUCAUUGUAUUUCGUAUGUGAUUUGUAAUCUUAAUCAACUAGAAUUUAUGUUCAAUAUGUUGAGAGGAGGUUAAAGAGAGUUCUUUAUUAAAAAUGGUAUAUGUGAAAAAAAAAAAUAUGAUAAAAAAGUGUUACGUUUAACAAAAGAGCUAUUGCAAAUAUCAACCUUUUUUUAUAUUCUUUAACCCCACUUUAACCAAAGGAUAAUAUAAACUUAUCACAAGAUUAUGAAAAGACUUGUCUUUAUUCAUGAUAUUUUUCUUUAACAGUUCAACUCGGCACCUUCUUCCAUAAAUAAAUUAUAUUUGCUUUGGAAGAAAACUUGAGUUUUGAACAAAUAUAAUAUAUUUGAAAAAAAAAAUCCAUAAAAUGGAUCUUCAAUCAAAAUAAUUCUCAAAAUAGUGUAUUUGUACUUGGGCAUCCAAAUAGUUUGAGAAUAUUUUUUAUGUGAUAAAAUCCUAAUUGAUAACUAUGAUUUUAAUUUUUUUUUUUUAAAUAUAAAACCGCUGUUGGUAACUAUAGUUUUAACUAUUUUAAAAGAAAAUUCAAAAUCAUAAUUAACAACUAUAGUUUUAUAAGGUGGAUAUGUUAGCUCUUUUCUUAUAAUGUGUGCUCAUAUAUAAUUAUAUUUGUGUAAAUAUUAUUUAAAAGUAUCAAUUGAUAGAUAGGUGAAUCAAUUGAUUGGGCAUCCAAGAGUCUUAUGUAUGGAAGACUCAAAUUAUAAAUGGGGAGUUAGAAAAUUUAAUUUAUAUGAAUGUGGUGUUUGUAACCCCAUCAUUAUGAAAUUUAUUUUGUACAUUAUAUUUAUGAGUAAUAGAGGAAAAUGAAAAAGUAUAAUCUAUGCAUUUAUAUAAAUGCAUUCAAGUUCAUAACUCACCAUUACUCAUUAAUUUGUACAUAAUAGGUGUAAAUAAUGAGUAUAACUCUCAUAUAGUCUUUUAUAAGAAGACUAAGAUGUUGUUUGUUUUUUGGCUGAAUAGAAAAAAUCAAAUAUUUUGGCUUUUUUUAUUAAGCUAAAAGUAACUUGUUGAUACUAUCCAACAUAGGUAAAGUGAACUUAUUAUCAAUAAGUUUAGUUUAAUGAUGUUGGUUGAUGUCAAUAAGUUACUUUUAGCUGAAUAGAAAAAGCAAAAAUAUUUGAUUUUUUCUAUUCAGCCAAAAAACAAACACCACCUAAGAGAUGUACAACUUUUUAUAAGUUAAGGUCUCAAAUCACAUUCUCAUUCUUAUGUCAUUUUGUUAUUUUAUUUUUUAACAACAUACACCACAUAAGUGACCCAUCCACUAUAUGAGAGUAGUGAGUUGAAGACUUUGAUAAUACAAUUCAUAAAAUGAUUCAAUUUCACUUCAAAAAUGAUAUUGGUAUUAUAAAUCAAGGUAAGAAUAUGAUCAUUAUUUUAAUAUUUAUAUUUAUUUUGUUUUAUGUAUUCAAAAUUGUUUUUUUUUUAAAUAAUGAUUUCCGCAUAAAGUUUAUAAAAGUUUAGUUAACAAGAUACCUAUGUGGAUGAGAUGCACUAAAAUUAUUCUGAGAUGGAACCUAUCUUGUGGAAUUUUUUUUAAAUAAAUUAUUUUUGUUCAAAACUUAGAAAAAAUAACUUGUUGAAAACUAAAUUCAACUAUACACUUUCGUAUUUUUCUUUUUAUAAGAUCAAAUCCACGUUAUCACUUUUCCACUAGAAUCCUCAUGAUUAAUUGUAGAAUUCUUGAGAUGAAAUGAAAUGGUUGUUGAAACUUCAGUUUUCAAACUUGAUCAAUGUUGUCCCUUCCCUUAGCUGUGCAUUAUUCCAAUGCCAGUUUUUCUCCACAAACUUAGUCCAGAGACAAGAUUAGAUUCCGUGUGGAACCAUUCAUGUGUGGAUCCCGUUGUGAGACUUGACCAUCAAUAUCCUUCUCUCCAUUUGUGGGGUACUGCCCACGUGAUCACUACUUUGGAAAUUUGACUCUCAAAGACCCAUAACUACAGAUUUUCCAUAAAACCAAAACGUGAUGUAGACUAAUUGGCGCCUAGCGUUGACCCAAAGUGAAGUCUUUUCUCUUGUCUGGCAUUUUCCACAUUUAUUUAUGAUUACCAUUUACCAAGACUUGCAUAAGCGACAUUGGGAAUUGGUGUACCCCAAUUUUCUGACAUGGAUUUACAACACUCAUAUAUUUAUAUUUUUAUUGAUUCUCAUUUCUCAAUGUCAAGAAUAGAUGUUAAUAUUUAAUACCUAAACUGUUUCUAACAUUAAAGUAAAUAUGAUUUCACGAAUUUCAUAUUUUCUAUCCUGUGGAUGAGAUGCACUAAAAUUAUUCUGAGAUGGAACCUAUCCUGUGGAAUUUUUUUUAAAUAAAUUAUUUUUGUUCAAAACUUAGAAAAAAUAACUUGUUGAAAACUAAAUUCAACUAUACACUUUCGUAUUUUUCUUUUUAUAAGAUCAAAUCCACGUUAUCACUUUUCCACUAGAAUCCUCAUGAUUAAUUGUAGAAUUCUUGAGAUGAAAUGAAAUGGUUGUUGAAACUUCAGUUUUCAAUCUUGAUCAAUGUUGUCCCUUCCCUUAGCUGUGCAUUAUUCCAAUGCCAGUUUUUCUCCACAAACUUAGUCCAGAGACAAGAUUAGAUUCCGUGUGGAACCAUUCAUGUGUGGAUCCCGUUGUGAGACUUGACCAUCAAUAUCCUUCUCUCCAUUUGUGGGGUACUGCCCAAAGGCAAUUAGGAUAAGUUUCUUUAUUGACUAUUCAAUGCCCUGUCACAUUGAUUUAUUGUCCGCCCCAGUGCCCAAUGGCCCAUUCAUAUUGACUUGACUUUCAAAUACCAUUUAACCGUUGGUUUUCAUCUUUCCCGCCCAUCUUCCUCCCAACUCAUAGAGAAGCGGUAAGGAACUCAACGUCACCAAAAUGCGGAAACCACCAUUUUUAUUUACCAAAAUUCCAUUCCCCGCUCUAUUUCUCCUCCUCGUCUUCUCCUUAACCUUUCAAGUAAUUUCCCAAAAUCUAGAUGCUGAACGAUCAAUCCUACUAGACGUUAAACAACAACUGGGCAAUCCACCGUCACUCCAAUCGUGGAAUUCCUCAUCCUCGCCCUGUGAUUGGUCGGAAAUUACAUGCAUCGACAAUAUCGUCACUGAAAUUUCACUCAGCUACAAGACCAUCACAAAGAAAAUUCCAGCCAGAAUUUGUGACCUCAAGAACCUAAUCGUACUUGACGUCUCCUACAAUUACAUUCCAGGCGAGUUCCCGGAUAUUCUCAAUUGCUCUAAGCUCGAAUAUCUCCUCUUGUUGCAAAACUCCUUCGUGGGUCCAAUUCCAGCUGAUAUUGAUCGACUUUCACGUCUCCGGUACCUAGACCUCACCGCAAACAACUUCUCUGGAGAUAUUCCCGCAGCAAUUGGGCGGCUACGGGAGCUGUUCUACUUGUUUAUGGUUCAAAAUGAGUUCAACGGCACCUGGCCAACAGAGAUUGGUAAUUUGGCAAAUCUUGAACAAUUGGCCAUGGCCUAUAAUGACAAAUUCCGGCCUUCAGCCCUUCCAAAGGAGUUUGGCGCAUUGAAGAAGCUGAAAUUUCUGUGGAUGACGGAGGCGAAUUUGAUCGGCGAAAUACCGAAGAGCUUCAACAAUCUAUCGAGUCUGGAACGCUUGGACCUCUCACUCAACGAAUUGAAUGGUACGAUCCCGGUAGGCAUGCUUACGUUGAAGAAUUUGACCUAUUUGUAUUUAUUCUGUAAUAGAUUGUCAGGCCGCGUUCCUUCAUCGAUAGAAGCUUUCAACUUGAAAGAAAUUGAUCUUUCCGACAACCAUUUGACGGGGCCGAUACCAGCAGGUUUCGUGAAGCUACAAAAUUUGACAUGUUUGAAUCUUUUUUGGAAUCAGUUGUCAGGAGAGAUACCAGCAAAUAUAAGCCUCAUUCCUACACUUGAAACCUUCAAAGUUUUUAGCAAUAAAUUGAGUGGAGUUUUGCCCCCAGCAUUUGGCCUUCAUUCGGAGCUCAAAUUCUUUGAGAUUUUUGAGAAUAAACUAAGCGGGGAACUACCGCAACAUUUAUGCGCUAGGGGAACUUUGCUUGGAGUGAUUGCUUCCAACAAUAAUCUCAGCGGAGAAGUGCCCAAGUCCCUCGGGAAUUGCAGAAGUUUGCUCACCAUUCAGGUUUCCAACAAUCGCUUUUCAGGCGAGAUUCCUUCUGGCAUCUGGACAUCCCCGGGCAUGGUAUCGGUGAUGUUAGCUGGAAAUUCAUUCUCGGGGGCACUUCCAAGUAGAUUGGCAAGGAAUUUGUCCAGAGUGGAUAUCAGUAACAACAAGUUUUCUGGUCCAAUUCCUACUGAAAUCUCUUCUUGGAUGAAAAUAGGUGUUCUUAAUGCCAACAACAAUAUGUUGUCAGGAAAAAUUCCAGUGGAAUUGACCAGUCUUUGGAACAUCUCUGUUCUGUUGCUUGAUGGGAAUCAAUUCUCGGGUGAACUUCCAUCCCAGAUCAUCUCAUGGAAGUCACUCACUAAUUUGAAUCUCUCAAGAAACAAACUGUCAGGCCUAAUUCCCAAGGCAUUAGGUUCUUUACCUAGCCUUACUUACCUCGACCUGUCAGAAAACCAGUUCUUAGGUCAAAUUCCUUCUGAACUCGGUCAUUUGAAGCUUAAUAUCCUCAAUCUUUCGUCCAACCAACUCUCUGGGUUGGUCCCCUUUGAGUUUCAAAAUGCAGCAUACAAUUACAGUUUCUUGAACAAUCCCAAACUGUGUGUCAAUGUUCCCACUCUGAACCUCCCUAGAUGUGAUGCCAAACCCGUUGACUCCUACAAAUUGUCAACCAAAUAUCUUGUUAUGAUCCUAAUUUUCGCUCUAUCUGGUUUCCUAGCUGUUGCCUUCUUUACCCUGUUCAUGGUUCGACACUAUCACAGGAAGAAUCAUAGUCGAGACCAAACAAAUUGGAAGCUUACUCCAUUCCAAAAUCUGGAUUUCGAUGAACAGAACAUAUUGUUCGGUUUGACAGAAAAUAAUUUGAUCGGACGUGGUGGGUCAGGGAAAGUAUACCGAAUUGCUAAUGACCGUUCUGGUGAAAUCUUUGCUGUUAAAAUGAUUUGUAACAACGGGAGAUUGGAUCACAAGCUUCAGAAACCAUUCAUAGCAAAAGACGAGAUAUUGGGCACCUUACACCAUUCCAAUAUAGUGAAGUUGUUGUGCUGCAUAUCAAAUGAAACCACAAGUCUUCUUGUUUAUGAGUACAUGGAGAACCAAAGUUUGGAUAGAUGGCUUCAUGGGAAGAAGCAGAGAACAUCGUCCAUGACAAGUUCAGUUCAUAACUUCGUCUUGGAUUGGCCAACAAGGUUGCAGAUUGCCAUCGGAGCUGCAAAAGGCCUACGCCACAUGCAUGAAUACUGUUCUGCCCCGAUCAUACAUCGAGAUGUAAAGUCCAGCAACAUCUUACUAGACGCUGAGUUCAACGCGAAAAUUGCAGAUUUUGGAUUAGCCAAGAUGUUGGUCAAGCAAGGAGAGCCUGACACCAUGUCAGGAGUUGCAGGCUCUUACGGAUAUAUUGCCCCCGGUAAGACUAUCCAAGGCCUUCCUGUCCACAUGUUCUCAUUUCCAUAAUUUAUCGAUAAUUUUUAUCAAAUAAUUCUUGUAUGCUUGGAUGACAGAGUAUGCUUAUACAACAAAGGUGAACGAGAAGAUUGAUGUAUAUAGCUUUGGAGUAGUUCUGCUUGAGCUGGUGACGGGGAGAGAACCCAACAGCGAGCACAUGUGCCUUGUAGAAUGGGCAUGGGAUCAGUUUAGAGAAGGGAAAACCAUUGAGGAAGUGGUGGAUGAGGAGAUCAAGGAACAAUGUAACAGAGCACAAGUGACCACUCUCUUCAAUCUAGGCCUCAUGUGCACUACCACAUUACCAUCCACUAGGCCAACAAUGAAGGAGGUUUUGGAAAUUCUUCGACAGUGCAAUCCUCAGAAGGACCAUGGAAGAAAGAAAAAGGACCAUGAAGCUGCACUCGAACAUACAUCGAGAUGUAAAGUCCAGCAACAUCUUACUAGACGUUGAGUUCAACGCGAAAAUUGCAGAUUUUGGAUUAGCCAAGAUGUUGGUCAAGCAAGGAGAGCCGGACACUAUGUCAGGAGUUGAAGGCUCUUAUGGAUAUAUUGGCCCCGGUAAGACCAUCCAAGGCUUUUCUGUCCACAUGUUCUCAUUUCCAUAAUUUAUUGAUAAUUUUUAUCAAAUAAUUCUCGUAUGCUUGGAUGACAGAGUAUGCUUAUACAACAAAGGUGAAGGAGAAGAUCGAUGUAUAUAGCUUUAGAGUAGUUCUUCUUGAGCUGGUGACGAGGAGAGAACCCAAUAGCGAGCACAUGUGCCUUGUAGAAUGGGCAUGGGAUCAGUUUAGAGAAGGGAAAACCAUUGAGGAAGUGGUGGAUGAGGAGAUCAAGGAACAAUGUGACAAAGCACAAGUGACCACUCUCUUCAAUCUAGGCCUCAUGUGUAUUACCACAUUACCAUCCACUAGGCCAACAAUGAAGGAGGUUUUGGAAAUUCUUCGACAGUGUAGUCCUCAUGAGGACCAUGGAAGAAAGAAAAAGGACCAUGAAGCUGCACCCGAACAUACAUUGAGAUGUAAAGUCCAGCAACAUCUUACUAGACGCUGAGUUCAGCGCGAAAAUUGUAGAUUUUGGAUUAGCCAAGAUGUUGGUCAAGCAAGGAGAGUCGGACACCAUGUCAGGAGUUGAAGGCUCUUACGGAUAUAUUGCCCCCGGUAAGACCAUCCAAGGCCUUCCUGUCCACAUGUUCUCAUUUCCAUAAUUUAUCGAUAAUUUUUAUCAAAUAAUUCUCGUAUGCUUGGAUGACAGAGUAUGCUUAUACAACAAAGGUGAACGAGAAUAUCGAUGUAUAUAGCUUUGGAGUAGUUCUGCUAGAGCUGGUGAUGGGGAGAGAACCCAACAACGAGCACAUGUGCCUUGUAGAAUGGGCAUGAGAUCAGUUUAGAGAAGAGAAAACCAUUGAGGAAGUGGUGGAUGAGGAGAUCAAGGAACAAUGUGACAAAGCACAAGUGACCACUCUCUUCAAUCUAGGCCUCAUGUGCACUACCACAUUACCAUCCACUAGGCCAACAAUGAAGGAGGUUUUGGAAAUUCUUCGAUAGUGCAGUCCUUAGGAGGACCAUGGAAGAAAGAAAAAGGACCAUGAAGCUGCACCCGAUCAUACAUCGAGAUGUAAAGUCCAGCAACAACUUACUAGACGCUGAGUUCAGCGCGAAAAUGGUAGAUUUUGGAUUAGCCAAGAUGUUGGUCAAGAAAGGAGAGCCUGACACCAUGUCAGGAGUUGAAGGCUCUUACGGAUAUAUUGCCCCCGGUAAGACCAUCCAAGGCCUUCCUGUCCACAUGUUCUCAUUUCCAUAAUUUAUCGAUAAUUUUUAUCAAAUAAUUCUCGUAUGCUUGGAUUACAGAGUAUGCUUAUACAACAAAGGUGAACAAUAAGAUCGAUGUAUAUAGCUUUGGAGUAGUUCUGCUUGAGCUGGUGACGAGGAGAGAACCUAAUAGCGAGCACAUGUGCCUUGUAGAAUGGGCAUGAGAUUAAUUUAGAGAAGGGAAAACCAUUGAGGAAGUGGUGGAUGAGGAGAUUAAGGAACAAUGUGACAGAGCAUAAGUGACCACUCUCUUUAAUCUAGGCCUCAUGUGCACUACCACAUUACCAUCCACUAGGCCAACAAUGAAGGAGGUUUUGGAAAUUCUUCGACAGUGCAGUCCUCAUGAGGACCAUGGAAGAAAGAAAAAGGACCAUGAAGCUGCACCUGAACAUACAUCGAGAUGUAAAGUCCAGCAACAUCUUACUAGACGCUGAGUUCAACGCGAAAAUUGUAGAUUUUGGAUUACCCAAGAUGUUGGUCAAGCAAGGAGAGCCCGAUACCAUGUCAGGAGUUGCAGGCUCUUACAGAUAUAUUGCCCCCGGUAAGACCAUCCAAGGCCUUCCUGUCCACAUGUUGUCAUUUCCAUAAUUUAUCGAUAAUUUUUAUCAAAUGAUUCUCGUAUGCUUGGAUGACAGAGUAUGCUUAUACACCAAAGGUGAAGGAGAAGACCGAUGUAUAUAGCUUUGGAGUAGUUCUUCUUGAGCUGGUGACGGGGAGAGAACCUAACAGCGAGCACAUGUGCCUUGUAGAAUGGGCAUGGGAUCAGUUUAGAGAAGGGAAAACCAUUGAGGAAGUGGUGGAUGAGGAGAUCAAAGAACAAUGUGACAGAGCACAAGUGACCACUUUCUUCAAUCUAGGCCUCAUGUGCACUACCACAUUACCAUCCACUAGGCCAACAAUGAAGGAGGUUUUGGAAAUUCUUCGACUGUGCAGUCCUCAGGAGGACCAUGGAAGAAAGAAAAAAGACCAUGAAGCUGCACCCCUGCUUCUAAAUGGCACUUAACCUGCCACUUUCAAGCAUAACGACAAGGGAUUUCUAUUUUUCUGUCAUUACUAUAGUGGGAUUUCAAAGAAAUGGGCUUCAUUUUUUAAACUUCUUAUUACCAGCAGGAGUCCCACUACCGUUAGCACCUUUGUUAGUAGUUCUUGAGCUAAUCCCUCAUUGUUUUCAUGCAUUAAACUUAGGAAUGCAUUUAUUUGCUAAUAUGAUGGCCGGUCAUACUUCAGUAAAGAUUUUAAGUGGGCUUGUGUCACGCCCAAAAUCUAGGUAACCCAAAACUCGACUCGUGACCUCAGGUCAAAAGUUUGACCCUAAGAGUUACUCCUAUCCACGUUGGCAAUCAACCAAAAUAUCCUGAUUUUUUUUUUCUAUUUUUCAAUAAAGUGUUUAAUCCCAAAUAAAUUUAUUAAGUUAAGAUUUACUGUAACAUAUUAUUUUAUUUUUCCAAAACCAACUAUCACACUAUCUCCUGUUCACAAGUAUAAUAAAUCCACCAAUAAUCUUUCUACCCAAAAACUCAAAUAUUUAUAAUAAUCUCCAAGUCAAAAAGAAUAUUUCCAAAAAUGUUUUACAAACUAACAAAAUAUAAUUUAAUUUACAAAAGUCCAUAUAACUCAAAUUAACACAUGUCAAAAAGGUAAUAUACAUCUAAAAACAACCAUUAUUAUGGUUCUUUUGCUUUCUGGAACACUUCCUAAUCUUCCUGUGGCCCCUCAAAAACUAUAUUGACAUCUAAAAAUUUUAGAAAAUAAAAGAGUGAGCAUUUUCACGUUGCUUAGUAGGGUGUUUUACACCCAAAUGAGUUACACAUUCUAGGUCAAUAAAACACAACUAUAUACCAAAAUAUAAUGUUACAUUUACAUUAUACACACUAAAAGAAACCUCAACUAUACAAAUUUAAACUAAUCAAAAUUAUCAUUUUUCUUAUUCAAUAAUAUGCCUAACAUAUCAAUAAUUCUAAAUUUACAAAAUAAAUAAGCCAUUUUAGUCUUGAAUAAUAUAUUCAAACAUACACUUGAUAAAUAAUACAAAUCCUUCUUCCAAAUGCAACCAUGAUGCAAAUGUUUACACGCAAUCACGCAAUACACUAUCAUUCUCGAGCUUUCACCGAAAGAUACGCGUCCAUACCCAAAUACACUCUCCAUUUAGAAUUAUCUCGGGGUAAACUUUUGGGUCUUUCACCUUAAGGAUCUCACUCUCUUCUUAAUUCACCAUCUCUAGGGUCAUUCCAUUUCUUAUUUUUCUUUUCAUUUCAUUUUUGCCAUCUUCGGGGUCUUUUCAUUCUCAUUUCCCUUUCACACAACGAUUUAAUUUCUUUAAUUUUUCUUUUUCUUCACACAACCAUGAUGCAUAUGAAAUGCAAUCAAAUCAUAUUUUAACAUCCACAAAUUUCCAAAACAUAAUUCUAUUUACUCCCAUUAUGUUUCAUAAUUUCCAACAAUUCACACAACGAUUUUUCUCCACUUUAAUCACCACAAACGUCAAAGAAAAUUCAUAAUUAAUUUAUAUAGUAUCAAAACAUAGUUUUAGACCUUAGCCACAUAAAUUCUAUUUAUUCUCGACAUGCUUAAUAAUUUCCAACAACCAAUAUAACCAUUUUUUUUCUUCAAUUAAAUAACCACAUAUAACCAAGAAAAUUCCCACUAAUACAAAUAUCAACAAAAAAGUAAUUUAUGUCAUAAUUUAUUUAUCUUCAAUAAUCUCAAUAAUUUUAACACUCAAUACAACAAUUUUCCACAACUAAGCCACCACAACAUUCAGAAUUUUUUUUUCAAUAAUUCAAAUAUUAACAAAAUCCCAAUUUAUACCAUCAAUUUAUUUAUUUCUAACAAUAUUAAUAAUUUUAAAACAAUAAAUUUAACCAUAUCUCAAUAUUAAAAAAUUUCAACAAAUAAAUUCCAUUAUUUUCAACACUAAUAUAUCAUCAAUAAAUUUAUAAAAUUUCUAAUAUGAUAAAAAUCACAAAAAUAUAUUAACCAAUGUUCCAAAUAAACAAAGUUCCAUAACCACAAAAAUCCGGUAAAUUCUAUCAUAAGGACAACAAUUAAAUACCAACAAUUCUAAUAUUUUUAUCUUGCAUUAAACUUUUAUCCACUUUCCAUUUAACAUUUUCAAAGCAAAACCAAAUCAUUUCAUAUAUUUAGAGUUUUCAAAAAAUAAUCUAAAUGAAAACUAUAUGACGAUCUACUAUAACUCAACAACUCACCGAUUUUCAUAGAGUUUUUUGAAAGUAAAUAAAAGCAAAAUGAAAUGCCCUAAAAAUUUUGAGAGAGAAAUUUAGGAAAAACACAUCCCUACCUGUACAAUAAAAUCCAACCGUGGGAUCGAAAAUCCGACUCUGUAGAAGUGUUCACCACGUUAAAGAUUAUCAUUGUUUGAAAUUUCAUCAUGAUCAAAGGUCGUUUCACCAUCGGAUCAACAAAAACACACGAUAAAAAACCUUCUCAGCAUCUCCCCUGCAUCCCCCUUUCCCCUCAUUUCUUUCUUUUAAACCUCUCACCACCCAGCAACUCUCCAGCAACUUCAUAAUAUAUAUAUAUAUAUAUACACAUAUAUAUUAUUAAACAAUUUUGAAAUACCACACACAUCCUUUUAUUUUAAUAAAAUAAAUUAUUACUCUUUAUUUCACAUUUCAUAAUUAUAAAAUUAUACUUAACCUGUGAUUUUCCAUUUUACAAAAAAUUCCACCUUAUUCGUAAUUAAAUUUACUACAAGCUUGCUCUUCAAAAAUAUAAAUUAACUUUAAUUAUCCAAAACAUUUUUACUUUGAAAUUCACUUAAAAUAUGAUAUAAUUAACUAUUAACAAAAUUCAAUUUCAUAAAAUAUUAGAAACAUAAAAUAAUUUUUUGGCAACCAAAAAGUUGAAAUAUUUCGUCAUUCAAUUUAUAAAAAAAAAAAAAUCAACUUCUCAGCCCUUUGAUAUAUUUUUUUCAUUUAUUUUAUUAGUCAAUUUUCUCAAUUGCAUCAAACUUUCAAAUGUUAAUUUCACUAAAUUCACAUUUAAUUAAUUUAUCACUAUAUACAUAUAUAUAUAUAUUGAUUAACAUAUCAUAAUUUAAUAUUAAUUUAAUUUCAAUUUAAUUUUGUUUUGAUGUUUUGUAAUUCUAUAAAGUUUAAUUAUAAUUAUAAAAAUUAAAUUCAAUUUCUUUUUAAUUAUCCAUCAUAAUAAUUCGAUAUAAUAUAAAUUUUUACCAAGUUUUUCUUCCUACAUUUCUUUGAUAAUUACCAAAUAAUAAUUAAAUUAAUCCCGUAAUGCACUUAAUAAUUAAAUUUUCAAAACCUAAUCUCAAUUAUUUGUGAUUAAAUUUUUUUCUCCAAAUCAAAAUUUAAUUUAUGAAAUUCCCUAUUCUUACAUCUUACGUGAUAAAAUUUUCAAAUUAUUAAUUUUUAAUAUACUUUUCUAAAAUCUCUCUUAAUUAGAUACUAACACAUGGGUCCUCACCAUUUUUCUUUUUUACCAUUUGACCCACAAUUAUAUGAAACUUUAUAGUCCAAGAAUUUGACGUGCCCUUAAAAAUCCAGGUAUUAGAGUUUGCUCGGACUAUGCUAUGUAUGAAUGAUCUUUUAUGUUUCAUAGGAUCCUCGUCCCUUUUUUUUUUUUUUUAUAGUUCUUGCAUUAACCUGUCCGGAAGUAGGUGUAGCUAUGUCACAAGCUCAACAAAGAUGACGAUAUCUUGGUUUGAAAUUUGCAGCUUGUACAUAAGUCUCAUAAGGAAGCUUGUAAAUUAAGCCAAUGGCUGGGUUCCCUAGCAAAAUGCACGAUGGAAGCUUUAAUUUUAAUUUUUUUUUUUUCGAUUAUUGAGAGUUGGUAACUUAGUACAAGCAGCUGGGAUUGAGAGCUGUUUAUUUUUAAUAUGUGAAACAGAAAUCCAGUUGCAGUAAUGAAUUGAAGUUUUUUUUUUUUUUUUAAUUUUGUUUUUUGUUUGGUUAAUUUGGAGGUUUGUGGGUUGGUUGGUUAUCUAUCAGAAGCCGAACCGUUGAUCUUAAAUUAUGUUUUUAUUUUUCUGAAAUUCUGGGAAUAUCUACAAUUGAUGUGGUUUUUUUUUUCUCUUUUCUUUUUUAAUGCUUGGUGCUGCUGGGUUUGCGUUUUUUUACGGAUGUUUGGGUGGGCAAUAUUGAAAUUCGUGGGAUUAUUUUGAGAAAUUUAGUUUUUUGGUUGAGGAAUUUUUGCUUCUGAAACAACAAGCAUUCGUGUACGGUUUGACCGCUUGAAUUCCCAAUCUUGGGUCUGUGCUUCUCCAGAAAAACCUGUUCAAAUUAUUAAUGGGUUUUAUUUUAUUUUAUGAUUUAAUUUUUUGAAAAUCUUAAAUUAGGUGGAAAGAUCCAUCCCGUACAAUGAGCAUAGGCCAAGGAGGCCCCCACCAGACUUGUCUUUCCUGCUUGUCCAUGGGAGAAUAGUUUACAUCGGCAUGCCAGUAAGUAGUUAAACACAGUAUCUCUAUAUGGAUAUAAUUCUUUUAGGUGGAUAUCAAAACAAUAAGGAAUGGAUUAAGAUAUUCUUGAUGACAAAUAUGAUGCAUAUUUUUCUCCCUUUGGACAGAAUUUAUGCAAUUAUCUGUAAAUUCAACUUAUUUCCUGUUGUUGGGAUGACGAAUCUUGAAUUAGUUGUAAAAUUUAGUGAGAAGAUGUCUCAUCUUGGCCUUGAAGUUUAGUUGCUUACCUGUGGAGAGAAGGAAAUGGAGAAAGCCAUCAAUUUGCAUUAUUUUUCUAGAUCUCUAGUGGACUUGACAAGAACAUCUUGCUUUGGAUUGUGAAGAAGUUAACUAGCUUUCUAUCCCAGUAGCUUAUAUCAAUCAUCUCACAGGAGUGAAGAAACUGAAGCAUAAUGUUUCCUGUAUGGAUUUUCUUCCUUUUCUUCAAGCAUGUGGAUAAUAUAGGGUAAUUUCUGCUUCCCACUUGAUUCAUCACUUGAUUAAAGGAAAAGGACUUUGAAUUCCCAUAGGAACGUCCCUCAUUUACAUGUCUCUAAUUCAUUGCAAAAACUUGGGAGCUUGGGUCAUGAAAUUAUAUAACUAGAGAAAGUAAAGACAAUAGGAUUGGAAAAAUUUAGUAGCAUAGGCUUUUUAAAUAUGAAAAUUGAUACCAUUUUAUAUAAAUAGUGAACAAAAGAUAUACCCCUGGUUGACUCUACCUGAACUAGAGUCUUUUGACGUGAUGAGAUGUGCCCCAUGAACAAGUACCAUGUUAUCUAUUGUAUGGUAUAAAAGUUCCAUAUGGUGGUUUUUACAAGAAUGUUGUAUUGAUUUCUAAUUUUGAGUAACUCUCUAAGUCAAAAUGUCUAAGAAAACAAAAGGGAAAGAAUAUUUUACCAUAGUGGGCUAUUUGAACCAGUGAGAGGAAGCGAAAAUUGAAAAUAAUAUUGACACAAAUUAUGACGAGGGUGGUAGUCUUUACUUUGCCUUUGCAGGUAGUCUUUAUAAACAAAUUCCUCAUUAUUACUUCUUUUUUCUCUAGUUAAUAGUACGCUUAAUUUGCUUCCUUUGCCUUUGUGCUAACACUUCAUCAUUCCAUCUUAUGAUAACAACUUCCUUUAAUUUUAAAGCUAUUUACUACUGCUUUAGCCUCUACCUUCCAGUGAAGCUUCUCAAACAAAAAGUGGCAAGAACAUGUCAUGAAAGCUUUUAUUCCCAAAGAGAAGACCUAAAUGGAAAUAAGAGAAUUAUGCCCUUCUGCUGAGGGUUGGACAUCUUUAUUUAUGAGAAAAACCCAGAGUUUUAGUAUAAAAUCAUAUUCCUUCUGGACUCCUUUAAGUGGGUCUAUUUGUGAGUUUCAUCUUUCUGGAACUUAUAUUUCCUAGAGUCCUAGUCUUCCCUUCUAAUAGUGGUAUGAUAUGACUACUUGGGCCAUUGUGGUUCUAGGUUGUACCCUACUGAUGAAUAUCCCUUUUAGGUGUUGUAGAACAAUUUAAAAAUUCUCCAACAAAGAUUACCUAACCUUAGACUAUCUCAAUGUCAAGAAACUUUUCUUCCAAUAAUUUUUCAACAAAGCAUAAUAUCCACAAGCAAGAAUGUAUACAUCAACACUCUCCCAAUAAUUUAUCAAUGCAAAAUACAUGCAAAUGCUUCAACACUUCUCAAAAAUAAAUCAAAAGAACAAUCAUCUCCUCAACUCAUAACAAUUGACUCCAUGAUAUCAUUAAACAAAGUGAACAGAAGAAUUAUUAAAGACAUUCAAUAGAUCAUCACACUUAAAUCACUUCAUAUUUCUUCCAUUCAACAAGUAUGCCCAAGUAAUCAAUGAUAUCAAAAACAGAAAAUAAAUCAAAGUGUAGAGUGAGAGAAAAAGACAAUGAACACUGAAUUUUUAACGUGGAAAACCUCCGAAUAGAUCAAAAACCAUGGGCCUAUCACCGAUUGAAAAACUCCACUAUGAAGACUAAAAACUGAGUACAAGGUUUUAUCUAGCUCAAGCCAACCAAUCCUUCCCGGACUACUUGACUAGUACCUUCAUUUUCAGCUUCUCACCUUCUUCUUUCGGAGCACACUUGGAGUUCACACGAAGCUCAAUCCCGGCCUCUUCUUGAAUCCACAUAAGAAGAAAAUGGGUAUGUACCUAAACCCAAAUAGAUAAGAGAUUGAAAUGUGAAUGAAGGAAUGAAUCAACCGAUUUAUUGCUUAAGAAAAUCCAUUAAAAACUAGUUUGGAAAACAUUAAAAGAAGUGGAUUUUCUUUGAAAUCAAAAACCCCAAAUUAGGAAAACAAAAUGAGAAAAUGAAGAACACAAGGAGUGUGGCUACUCUCUCCACGUUUUCUGCAGUCACCACCUAGAAAAAUGAGAGAAGAUUGCUUUUUAAAGUGUAAAAAGAAACCCUUAAUCUAAUGACUGAGAUUUGAUAUAUAAAAAAUUAGUUGGAUCGAUCCACCCUUGCACCUAGAUCGAUCCAGAAACAGGGGAAUGAAAGCCUUGCACCAAAAACCAUUUCUUUCAACUUUCUAACACAUUUAAAUAUUAAAAAUCGGGUUGAUUCACAUCUAAUGACCACACACUUGGUUACAUACCUUGGCCUCUUAGCAAAGUUUUAGUUGUCAAAGUCAAGUAGUUUGAAUAGGAAUUGGAAAGCCGAGUUAGGGGACACUUAGGAAUUUUGUCCGGAAUUGUCAACCUAGUUUAACACUCACAAUGUGCAUCAUGUGAUUCAUAAUCUUCAUUAGCUAGCUCCUUCAUGGUUAAUGAAUCCUUCGUCUCAAGCUCCUUUCAACACACAAUCGGGCUGCUCGAUCCUUUAUUAAGCAGAAUUCAAUUUGAAUCAACAUUUCUUCGUCGACUGCAUCUGCCAUUUUGUCAUUUUCUACACACUGGAAAGCUGGAGUUCUGAUAUGCUUUUCACUUUCUGAUGGACUGGUUUCCAAUGAUGAAGAUGGAGAGCCAAAACCCUGCAGUCUUUUCUAAUCUAAAGACAUGCUCUAUGCAUGUCAAUUUCAAUGAGUCACCAAAUGCUCGAUGAUCCGUCGGAUUGCUUUCCUCUUAUUCUUAUAUUACCAGACUAAAUCCUAUACAAACCUUAACCACAAGUUUUCCCACUCCUGAAUGUAAGCUCCAGAUCAUCCAGAAGAUGAUUUAACUCUUGCACAGUUCAGGAUAGAUCAGUGACCGCUUCAACAAGGCCUCCCGCUUAGAAGUCUCCCCAUCCAAGUUCCCGAAACUAUGCAAAUUGCUGAUAUCUUCCUGUAAGCCUAGUUAUAUGAACCUUACUCAAUAGGCCAAGCAAGACUUUGGAGAGCGAAAAUCCAUUGUGGAAGCCUUGGAUGAGGAGAUCAUGGAAGAAAUGAGCAUUGUGUUCAAACUAGGCCUCAUGUGUACUAGCAAAGCACCUUCUGACAGGCCUUCCAUGAGGAGGUAUUGCUAAUUCUUGAUGGAUGUGGUCCUCAGCAUGGUCAUGCUACAUUACAAACGAUCCCACCACUUUUCAUGAAGUUAAAUGUAGUUAUUUAGAAGGUGUGCGUUGUAGAAAUGUAGAUACCAAGCAACCAAUUCUACCUCUCUUGAUAUUGUCUAGCUAACUAUUGAGCUCAUCUCUGGUAAAUGGGAAUGAACAGGAAUCAACGUCUCAUUUCUUUUCUCCUACGAGAAUUGAAACAAAAAUGAAUAUAAUGAAAAUGAAAUCUCAUUUAUAAAUGGGAUUUAAAUUCAUUCGAAGGUAUUUUGAUUCCCUUAUUUUUAUAAAUAUUUUUCAAAUGUUAAAAAGUUAAAGACUUUUUUAGAUAAGCUGAUUUUAAAAAUAAUUGGUUUUGUAAAAAACACAAAUUAUAAAUUUAAUUUAUAUAAUGUUAACUAAAUUUAAUUCACAUCUUAUUAAAAGUACAAAUAAAUUAGAAAUCAAUAGUUUUUAAUAAAAUAUAAAAAUAAAAUAAUAAAUUAUAUAUUUUGAUAAAUAUUAUAAAUAUAUAGAUAUUAACAUUAAUUGAUUUAUUUUGUUAAAAAUAAAGAAUAAUUAUUCAAAAUUAAUAAUUGCUAAUAUUAUUCUAUCUUAAAUAAAAAAAAAAAGAGUUAAUUUUUUAAGUUAUAAAUAAGUCAUUUUUUCAUAAUAUACAUAUGUUUAUUAGUCAAUUACAAAGAUGACAUUUUGAAAUAUUUUAUUUAAUCUAUAAUUAAUUAAUCAGUUUUUUUAAUUUCAAAUUAUUCUUAACAAUUACAAGAUUUAUUAAAGAAUUUAAAGCAUUAAUUAUAUCUAUUAUUUUUUAUAGUCGUUACAUUUUUUUGAGUUUUAAAUUAUUUUCUAAAAUUUUUAAACUUAUUAAUAAGUUCAAUACAAAGUUUGGUUUGGUUUGAAAUUCAUUUUCUCUAAUACAAAAAAUCGAAAGAAUAGUUAUCUAUUUUUACUUUGUUUUUAAAAAUUAUUUCUAAAGAGCAAUAACUAAAUAGUGGUAUAAAUUUUUGAAAGAAUUUUUUUUUUUUAAUUACACGUCCAAAUAGGUUUUUAUUAUUUAGCUAAAAAAAAAAAACUCUCAAGGGUUUUUUAAAUGAAAAUAAAAAACUAUUUCAAACUAUGUACAAUGUGAGUUUUUUAAAAUAAAAAUAAAAUGAAAAAUAUUUUAAAUCAUGUGUACAAAUAUUAUUAACAAUUUAUUUAUUUGUUUAUUUUUAUUCUCAUUUUUACUCAAAAUUGAAAUGGAAAUAAAUCAUCGUUCCAAUCUUAUAUUCCUAUAUGCAUCCAAACGUGAGAAUUAGAAUUACCAAAUUCAUUUUUAUUCAAGUAAGAAUAAGAAUAAAACAAAAUAUUUUUCCUCAUUCUUCAUUCCCACAUACUGAUCGCUUGAUUUUUCGUCGUUUAUUGGAUCAAAACAAAAUUUAUAACAUAAUUCACUAUUCUAGAGUAGCUUGUACCCAAUCAAAAAGUGGUUUUAGUACAAACUACUGUAGUAUAGUGGUUUUUAGGUGUCAUCCACUAGGAUGGAUUAUUCUUGGUAAUUAAGGCUUGAAUGAGAUGAUAAGAAAUGAUUGUGAUCGAGUGAAAUUGAUUUAAAAAUUCAUAGUGAAAAAUCAAUGUAACAAUGGUCUCAAAUUGAGAAGAAAAAUGAAAUACAAAAUAGAAGAAAAUUAAUAGAAAAUGAAAUUAUUGGAAUUAAGAUUUUCUAGAAAACAAUUUCCAUGGUGAAUAGAUGUUGAGAUCUAAUUUUCAUCAAGUUAGAUUAAAAACCUAAAUUUUCAUUCAAAUCGAUUUUUUAUUUAGCUUUAGAUCUAGAUUUAAUUUCUCUUCAAAUUAGGUCAUUUGAUCUAAGAGAUCAUUUCAAAUCAUAUAUUCAAUUCAUCUUAAAUUAUCUUCCAAUUAUUCACAUAAUGCAACUAUUCAAUCUCAUCAAAUCUAACUUUAAGAAUUUAAUGAAUCUAUGUAGUUUGCAUUGUAGAAGUCAUCCAAGACAAUUUGAAGAGAAAAAUUCUCAAAAUUCAAUUAAUUAAUCAAUUGGAUCAAAUUACCUUUGCAAUUCAAGCUCAUUUCUCUAAUUCACCAUAGAUUUUGCCUCUAAAUCCUCCUUCCUCCGAGAAAAAUGAGAUUUAGUCACUCAUGCUUGGAUAUUUGGUCUCACAAGGCAUGUUUGGCUAGCGAGAAAAUGAGAGAAAAUGAAGGAAAGUAGAUAAUUGUCUAGAGAGAGGAAAUCUGAAAAAUUCUACAAUUAGAAAUGUCUAAAAAGUUCUUUAAAUGAGAAAAUCAAGUUUCUAUUUAUAAGUCAAGGUCAAUUGGACACUUGGCAUUAUCUAAGAGGUCUUCCGGAGGUUUUUUCACUAAGAAAUCUGGAGUUUAGUAAUAAAAUGGUCAUUUCGCGCAAGAUCUAGCAAUUUCUCAUGAUUGUGCGAAAUAAAAAAAAUGCAAUAGCACCAAUUUUCGCAUGGUCAUGCGAAAUCAGCUUUGAGAUUUCCCUUUGAUUUGAAACAAAAAAAUGUCUUUUGGUUCAUUUCGCAUGACUAUAUAAAAUUUUUGCAUGAUCAUGCCAAAUGCAAAUACAUAAUUUUUCGCUCCUUUUUAUCAUUUCUUCCAUUUCUUUCUUUUGAAUCCACCUCAAUCACCUCCAAAUCCCGGUCUAAACCAAUUGCAUUACUUCUUUCAUUAUGCAUUUGGAUCUUCAUCAACUUUCUUUGUUCUCUUCAAUUUGAUUCAUCUCUUUUGUCACCAAUUUAUCAAAAUCAUACCUUGAAAUAACUCCAAAACUUCAUAAAACUUAUUAGUAACUCUUGCAAGGACAACAUGUUAAUCGAGUGUUUUAGGCAUAAUUACUACUUAAAAGAUAUGAAACUCAUGAGAAUUAUUAUUUGAAAUAUGCUCUUUUUGAGUAGUAAUCACAUACCAAACACACCUUAGCUUUCAUGGAUCCCCCAUCUAACAAUUACAUAUUUUACUUUAUCUAUUACCAUUUUUCCUAUUGAAAAUUCUCUCUUGUUUACCUAAUCAUUUUUUUCAUAAUUUCAUUUAUUACCUAUGUGUAGGCACCCCUCCACAUGUCAUCACACGUGUCACUUCGAACCAAGCACUGACCGGAUAAAGGGAAAGCAUUGCCUAGGUUCUUCCGUCCAGACCACAAUCAACCCAUCUAGGCAUAGACAGGAAGGCCCUUUCCCUACAUAGUUAGACAGCAGGCACGAUUGGAAUCCCUGAAUGGACGAAACCACUCGAUCAACAUUCAAGGCCCAUUGACCUACGCAAUCAUUCAUAUCUGGCAGGGGAAUGACUGAUGAGACCUCCCUCUACUCUCAAGUCGAUGUUAAUUAAUUACCGCACACAACCCCACACCUCCAACAGGUUAAAGGGACAAGAACUGCCUGAUCAAACAUCAUGCCAUAUCUUCUGAUGGCAUGUGCCAGUCGCCUGAAGCUGUAAUAAUUGCCCUGCCACUUGAAAAUAGUCAUCAUUACAAAGAAUGUUCAGUCAACACUACAAUGGCUUUCUCCUAAGCACUAUAAAAACCCUCCUAAAAGCACAAACAAAGUACGCAGGCACAAGAGCAAGCCUAUUCACUCUCUCUUUUGAGGAGCCUAACCUAUCUUUGUCUGACUUAAGUUUUAGAGGGGCAUGCCUGGACAACUUGUCCAAACAUCCUUUGUGCAAGAAAAAAACUCACCUAGUUUCCCCCAUUGCUAGGUAGAAGCUUUGAGAGGCACAACAUAAGGAGGAUUUGACUCCAGUUGGCCUUACAUCAACACUAUGCAUUUUCAAUGUUCAUAUAUUUUAGGGAUGUACCAUUUGAUAUAUUCAUGUGGGUUAAAGCAUGCAUUUUCUUUUAACCAUGUCAUAUUUUGAAUUAUUUAUUAUAUAACCAUCAUUAUAUUCAUUUAGGAGAAGUUAUUUUGUGAUGGGAUAUAUUUUCUGCUUUUUAUUUUAAAAAUUAGAAACCCCUAUGUACUCUCUUUAUCUUUCUUUGACACUUGAAUUUUUUAAGUUUUUAGGAGCUUCAAAAAUGUUAUAUGCACACCUUCCAUAUAAUCUCUCAAGAGUAAAGUGGAUAUUUAAAAAGACACAAAAGCAACUUCAUAGAUGAGUAUGUAUACAACAACUUAUGACUUAAUUAAGAGAGGGUGUUGCUAUGAGAAAAGACAUAUUCAAGCUUAUCACUUGAAAAGGCUUUAAAGAGGAUAUUCGAUAGAGGAUAAAGGAUUUGUAGACGUUUGGUUGGCUAAAAUGUGUCAACACAUUAUAUGUAUACCUUUUGGAGUUAAACUAGUCGUUAAACAUGAGUUCCCUGAUAGAUCAAACUUGAGGUUAACCAAGUGACUAGUCAUUAGAGUAUCAAAUACCUUAUAAUUUACAAGUAACUGUUGGAGGAAAAACUACUAAUAAGGUGAACCACAUGUCAACCAAGUAGCUUUUUUAUUUUUAUUAUUUUUCAUGUUUUCAAGUUUUCAACCAAAAAAAAUAAGUAAUAGGUCAACCACAUGUCCAUUGGUUCUAUUUUGUCACUACCUAAGCUUUAUUAAAGGAACUUUUCAGUAUCCUAAAGUCCCUUAAAUUAUGAAGCCAACUUUUGAGGACUUCAACCAAGUUUUAAGCAUAAUUUUCAAGUAAAAAAUAUCUUAAUUUAAUCUUUUAAUCUUUUAAGAACCUUAGAGUAUUAUACAUCAAAAAUGAGGUUCAUGGUGGUAUCAAAACUAGGAUUACCUAAUUUUUAAGCCAAUAGUUCAUAAUAUUUAAGAUGCCUUCUCAAACAAGGUUUUAGUUCCACCCCUUUAAAACUAAAGUUGAGAUAGUCUUUUCAAGAAAAAUAAUGUUUCAUACUUCAAUAAAGGAAUGUCUUGUACCGAUAUUCUUUUUUCCUCUAUUCUUCCUUACCUUCAUUCUUAUAAAGCAAACUGAUCUUUCCAAAUGAAACCCUAACUUUAAUUUUUAAGAAACUUAAAAUUUAUCUUAAAGUACAAAAAGGUGAUAACAACAAUGAGAGCGUUGCACUUGUAUGGAAUAAAUGGACAAUCAUAAGGAAAAUUUUAAAAUAAAAAAUAAAAAAUGGUCUUCUCUUUCUUAUUUCUUCCUAAAAUUUUUCUACUAAUUUUUUUAUACAAAGAAGCAUACCUUUAACCACAAAUUAUUCAAAUUUUCAAGCAAACCCUAAUCCUCAAAUCAUCAAAAUCAUUAAAAUAAAUAAAUAAAUAAAAUGUUAUAUAAAAACCCUAAGCUCACUUUUUGCUCUUAUAAUCAUCCAAUCAUCUUAUCUUUUUUGUCAUAAGAUAGCAAAAUGUAGGCUUUGUUUGGUUAUCAGAGAAUUUGAGAGAAAAUAUAAGGAAAAGAAAAAGAAAUGAAAUGAAAGAAAAUAAAAAAAUUAAAUCAAUAAAUUAUUUUUAUAUAUUUUUUCAAACUCAUUUAACUUAUUCUAAUUUUUCAAUUAUAAAAUUAAAUAAUUUGAAAAUAUAUAAAUUUCUAACUAAUUUUAAUUAUAUUUUAUUUUCUUUUAUAAUUUUCAUAUAUAGUAUAAUCAAAUACCAAUGUUUUCCAAACCGAACCGAUGCUUGAACCGGAAAAGUUACCAAUUCACAAUUCAUGGUUCACUGAUCGGACUGGUGGUCAAACUGCGGUCGAACUAAUAAUGUCAUAAAUAAUAAUUUUUUUCUUUCUUCUCACUAACUAAUCCCACAUCGGAAAUGGAUCUCAAAUAUGUAGGGAUUGUGGUAUAAAAGGCAUGAUAGAAUCAUUAACUUGCAGGACUAAAAUCUUAUUGGGCUUGAUGACAAAUGGGUUGGAUGGGCUCCUCAUGGAGUGAUCCCAUUCUCUUAGGGCAUCAAAACUUUUUGUUUUUUUUUGCUUCAAAAAAAAAAAAAGAAAAAGAAUUGUUCAAUUCGCUAAGAAUCGCCCAAUUCAGGUGAUUCGUUGGUUCAACUGUUGGUUUGUCCAAUUCACCAAUGGUUCGAUGCCCAAACGGUUUUCUGGGUGAACCGGAUUAGUUUUGUUACUAGUCAGACCAACCGGUCCAAUCCGAUAUUUAAAUCAUUACCAAAUACAAUAAAAUAUUUUUUCUUAAUAUUUUUUUUUCUUUUUUUAGUACUUCUCAAGAACCAAACAUAACCAUAAGACUAAUCAUAUUUUUUAUUAUAAGCUCAUUCGGAUACAAUGCCCCAUGUGAGAAUCCCAAAACGUUUUUCAAUGUUUUAUCAAUAUUAAGAUUUUGAAAAUCUAUGGAAAUUAUUAUUUUCUUUUUUCUUUUUUCUUUAUUUGGAUGAUAGAGCAUGAUUAUACAAGAAAGGUCAAUGCAAAGAUCAAUAUCUACAAUCUUGGAGUUGCACUUCUAGAGCUGGGCCCUAAAAGAGAACCCAAUAGGGGAAAGGGGCAACAUAUAAACCUUGUUCAAUGGGCAUGGCAGCACAUUGGAGAAGGAAAGUCAUUUGUGAAAGCAUUGGAUGAGGAGAUCAUGGCACAAUGCUACUUCAAAAAAAUGAGUACUAUAUUCCCAACAAUCAAACUUUAUCAUGAAAAUUUUGAUAAUAGUGAGGAUUCUCUUAUCUACGAGUAUAGAGACAAAUAGGUAAAAGGUAAAUAAAUUAUUAAUAGAGCUUAAAAUAAUAAAUUGAACAAAUAAACAUAUGGUAAGAUUGGAACUCAUUAUCCUCCUACUAAAUAAAGUUCUAAUACCAUAUUGGAUAACUAAAUUUUUUAAGAACUUAAACUUAAGAUUUGGAUCCUUAUGAUUGUGUAUCACACUUUCUAAUAAUAUAUCAAAUACUUUCCUAGAUUCCGUAAAUACCAAAAAUGAUAUUUGUUUUGGGAACAAGACUAGAGUUUUGAGUGGAUAUAAUAUAUUUUAAAAAAUGCACAAAAUAGAUUCUCAAGUAAAAUAAUUCCCAAGCUAGCACAUUUUAGCUACAUGGGCAUCCAUAUGGCUAGAGUUUUUUUUUAUGUUGUUUUAACUACGAUUUUGAAUUUUUUAAACAUAAAAUGAUAGUUAGAGAUUAUAGUUUUAAAUUUAUUUUUAAAAUCAUAGUCAUCAAUUAUGGUUUUGAGCUUAAAUUUAAAAUCUUAGUUGGUAACUAUUGUUUUAACCAUUUUCCAAUCAAAUCAAAAUUAUAGUUCACAACUAUGAUCAUGUGAUAUAGAUACACAUGUCAAUGAAACACUCCAAUUUGAAAAUUAUUUUGAGAAGGGAGCUACUUUGUAGAUUUUUAUUUUUUCAAAUAAAUUAUUUUUCCUCAAACCUUAGAAAGCUAACUUGUUUAGAACUAAAUUCAAUUAUACACUUUCCUAAUUUUUCUUUUUAUAAGAUCAAAUCCAUGUUCACUUUUCCUCUAGAAUCCUCAUGAUUACUUGUAGAAUUCUUGAGAUGAAAUGGAAGUGUGGUAUGAGAUGCAUGCUUGUUUAAACUUCAGUUUCAAUCUUGAUCAAUGCUGUCCAUUUCCUUAGCUGUGCAGGAUGUGGAACCACUGCUGGAUCCUGUUGUGAGACUUGACCAUCAAUAUCCUUCUCUCCAUUUGUGGGGUCCUGCCCACUUAAUCACUACUUUAGAAAUUUGACCAACACCCAAAUUCUCAACAGCCCAAAAAUAUUUUUAUUAAAGAGAAAGAUAAUUAUAAUAUUUCUGAAAUUUUUAGUUAAAUAGAAAAUUUGUUUCCCAAGCUGAUUAUGGUUACUUCUCAAUAACACAAAUAAAUGAUAUGAAGCAUAAAAUAGAAAGUUACAAAGGUUUUUAUUCUUUGAGUUGUUUGCACUUUGUACUGCUAUUUUUAUCAUUUACCAAUGUAAUUAAUUAAUGGUGAUUAAAUGUUUAAAAAAAUUGUACUUAAUGCAUAUUUUUAUGAUGACGAAGACUUGCAAAAGCAACCUUAGGAAUUGGUCUGGACCAUUUUUUUGAUAAGCUUCAUGGAAUUUUAAGAUGGAGAAUGCUACUUCCACUUUCUUUAACCAAGCGUGCCAAACGCGUUCUCUCUAAUUUUUCUAUAUUCUUAACUAAAAAAUUAGAAUAUAGAAAUAACAAAUUACCAUCCAAUAGGCCCACAAUGAAAGAGGUUUUGAAAAUUCUUCAACAGUGCAGUCCUCAAGAGGGCCAUGGACGAAAGAAAAAGGACCAUGAAGUUGCACCUCCACUUCGAAAUGACACUUACCCCGCCACUUACAAGUUAUGAGGAUAGAGCCCUUAAAAACAUGAUAUGAUGUAAUAGAUUUAGAAUUCAUUAUUUAUUUAAUGAUGUUCUGAUUUCACUUUUAUUUAUCCUUAUUACAUGUAUUAUACUUUAUGAGCAUUCUUGUCUGCAUAUUUUGCAUUGCACGUAACUUAGGUGCAUUAGAAGUUGCACAGAAGAUCUAGGUCAUGGGUUCCUUGCAAGUAGAUGACUUGUUCACAACCAGUUCAUGGGUUUAGGAAGCCCAUUAGAGGUUGUAGUUAACUACUUCCUAAUUGGAAGAAUGGCUAGUCUUAGCUAUUGGGAUGAGUUUCUCAUGGUGAAUGCAUUAGUGUGUAUGAUUACACAUUGGACAUGACUUAUGGUGAGUCAUGACUUAAGGCUAUCAAGCAGUCAUAACCUCACCAAGCUACUUCAUUGUGUUGUUUCCCAACCUUGAGAGAAUAUCGAGUUUAUACUAAAGUUAGCAAUGACUUUAACAUACGUGUGAGAUCGUAAAUUGAUCAUAUAUUCCCUAUGAAUUGAGUCACUAUUGAUGGAAGAUGGUAGCAAUAGGUAUUUUCAAUAAAAACCAUGAUAUCUCUUGGGAUUAAGACAAUAUGCCUCUUUUGGUGAUUCUAAAGAGGUGUGUUCAUGGAAACUAUGGUCAUAGUAGUUCCUUAAGUAAAACUCGAUAUAGGCUCUUUGAGAGCUAAGACAUGUCAAUUGAAUACACAAUAGGAGGAUUUAUAACUCAAGGAUGGUAGAGGUAGUCUUGAAAAACUAAUAACUUUCACUUUGUUAGACUAUGAAUAUCAAUUCAUGGGGAAACUAAACACAAUAAAUAGCAAGUCACGAACCCGAACAUUUGGUAUCUCAUUGUUAUUUUCAAUAAAAUAACAACGAGAUGGUAAGUUAAUCAUAUAUUCCUAAGGAAGUGUGUUCAUACAAACUAUGACCAUAAUAGUUCCUUAAGUGGAACUUGACAUAAACUCUUUGAGAGCUAAGACAUGUCAAUUAAAUACAUAAUAGGACGAUCUGUUAUUAAAAUAAGGAAGGAAGAAGAUUAAAAGAAAAUUUAAACUUUUUUAUCUUAGAAUAUCAAAAAAGAAUAAACUUUAAAAUGCUUUUUAAUACAAAAGAAAACAAAAUAGUGAAUAUAUUUAUUUUAAAUAGUAUUUUAAUCAUUAAAUUAUUUACUUUUAAAAUAUAAAAAAUAGUUUUUAUUAAUUUAAAUUAACAUAUUUUUUUAGAAAAUAUUUUUCAAAAUACUUUUUGAAUCAUUAAUAUAAUUUUUGUUUAUUUAUAAUUUAAUAAUAAAAAAUCUAAAAAUGGUUAAAUAAGGGAGAAUUUGCUUGAGGUGGUAUGUGAAGAGUAAUGUUUUAAAAACCGGAUCGGACCGACCGGUGUCCGGUUCCACCAACCAAACAGUUCUAAGUUAACCCCUGAUUUUGCAAACAUGGAAGGGUGUUCCAUUGGAUUUAAAUGUUUUGGGCUAAAGCCCACACCCAUCUCCACAAUUUUAUGAGCUGAGUCUUGAGCCCAUGUGAUGAUGGCUUUUAUAGGCAUUCUUUGUAGCCUAUUUCCUCUCACAAAUAGUUGUGGGAUUGCUAACUUAUCAAAGAAACAAAUAUAACAAGCCUCUCCACCACCAAGAGGGCUUGAACCUUGCACCUCAGGUUCUACCAUCAGAAUAUGACACCACUUGGCUACAUGCAGUUUGUUAUCUAACAUGCCAAACAAAACAAUAUACGUUAGAUUUUAACAUUUUUUAUAAUAUUAAAUAAAAAUAAUAUAAUAUUUUAAAAAAUUAUAAAAUUAGUUUAAAUUUUUAUUUUUAAUAUAUUCACAUUUAAAUAUUAUACACAUUUCAUUUAAAAUAUUAAUAUGAUUUAAUUUGAUAAUAUCAAAGAUAUAAAAUAAUAUUAUUGAUUUUUAAUUUAUUCAUAUAUAUUUUAAAAAAAAUUAAUUAUUUUUAAUUUUAAUAAUAUAUAAAUGACAUAUUUAUGACGUCACCGGUUCGACCACCGAUCCAACCAAUGAACCGGUAACUUUUUUGGUUCGAUGACCGGUCCGAUUUUGAAAACAUUGGUGAAGAGUGAGGGAUAAAGAAAAAAAUGAUGGCCCACAAACACCACAUGACCUUUGAUGUGAUAAAUGAAAAUGGGUAUGUUAGUCCCAUACUAUUGCCAUCCAACAGGUCCGCGAGUUUUUUUCUAGUCAAUGGACAUUUUCCACUUUCAUUUCGGAUUCCACGCAGACUUGCGAAGGCAACCUUACAAUUAUUGGUGGACGCAUUUUCCUGAUAAGCUUCGUGGAAUCUUUAAGACGAAGGAGGAUGCUACUGUCCACAUUCUUUAACCGAGCGAGCUAAACACGCUCUCUAAGUUUUCUAUAUUCUUAAUUUCUAAUGUUAUAUAUAUAUAUAAUAUUUUUUAAAUGUAAUAAUUAAAAAAUGAUUUUAAUUUAUCAUAAUUUUAAGAGUCAAAUAAUAAAAAAUUAUUUUUAAAAGAUAAAAAAUCAUUUAAAAAAAAAGAAGAAAAUUUCAACAUUUUAUAUCCAUUUAAAAAUUAUCUUUUAAAACAACUUUGGAUUGAUAUUUUAUAAAUUAUUAUAAAUUUUAAAAUAUUUUUUCAAUUGUUAUUCAUUAAAUUAUUUUUAGAAACUACCAUAUAUAUUUUUUUUUUGUCUCAUUCUAGUUUAAAAACGGAAGGAAGGGUAAGAUGCGGGCUUAAAUUUUAUGGUCCCAUUAAAAUAUAAAAAUAAAUAUCAAUAAUAAGAUGGUUUCAUGCAUAUUUUCUUUAUUCUUUUAUUCAUACUAUAAUUUUAUUUAUUUAUACUGGCUUUGUUAGUACGUUGGAUGACCAGAAUUUCAUGAUACCUUUUAUAUAUUACUAAUGGCAGUGAGGUGAUGGAAUAGACCUAUAUCAUGGGUCUAUUCAACUUUAUUAAAGUUUGGAUUCUUUCAAAGUUAGAUAAAAAUUCGUAUUAUUCCUACCACUUUGACCCAUGAUAAAAAAUUUAUAAUACAUAAAGAAAAACCUUUUUUUAUUAUUAUUAUCUUUUUUAACAUUCGGUUGUUAGACCUUCAAAACAAUGAACUAAAAAGAUGCAACCAAGUCCAAGUUAAAAUAAAGAAUAAAGAACUCAAACAUCUUAUAACACAUACUUGAUAUAAAAAGGUAAAAUAUAUAUAUAUAUAUAUUUAAAAAAAAAAUAGUUCAUGCUUUUGUGUGAAACAAAGUACUAUUAUUUUUAUAUUAUUUUAUUGUCCAUAAAGUAAUAUAAAUAAUUUUAAUGGUUUGAAUGCCCUCCAGUUUUUAACAUAAGAAUCCCUUACACAUAUAUGAACCAAAAAAGGACCAAUCAUACCAUACCAUAUGACAUAAACAUUUUAGGUUUUAUUACUUUGUACAUGAAUCUAAUUUCAUUAUUUUAUAUAUUAAUAUCAUUUAUUUGUAUUUGAUUUUAUCUAUUUAUACUUUGAUCCCAAAUAUUAGUAUUUACAUUCACUUAAAUUUUAUCGUACAUUUUCAAUGAUAAAAAUAAAUGUUGAUUUAAUACCUAAACUUUUUCUAACAUUAAAGUAAAUAUGAUUUCAUGAAUUUCACAUUUUCUAUUAUCUUGACCUAAAUGCAAUGGGGUUGAUCACUUUUUUCUCAUUCCAUAAUUCGAUCCAGUGAAGAUGAUUUGGUCACCAACCAUUUACUAAGUUGUGACACCCAUUUUCUACACCAACUCAAACACUCCACUUUUGUUAAUAACUUUUAGCCAAUAUAAAGAAAUGAACAUACCAUUUGAUAUAUUCACAUGGAUUAAAGCAUGCAUUUUCUUUUAAUGAUGUCAUAUUUUGAAUUAUUUUAAAUAUUAACAUCAUUACAUUCAUUUAAAAGAAGUUAUUUUAUGAUGGGAUAUACUUUUUACUUUUUAUUUUUAAAAUUGAAACCGUUAUAUACUCUCUUUAUCUUUCUUUUACACUUGAAUUCUUUAAGGUUUUAGGAGCUUCAAAAAUAUUAUAUGCACACCUUCCACAUAAUCUCUAGAGCAUAAAGUGGUUGUACAAUAGGUACAAAAAGCAACUAGCAUGUAGACAAUUUAUGACUUAAGAGAAGGUAUUGUUACGACAAAAGACAUAUUCAAGCUUAUUAUUUGAAAAGGCUUUAAAGAGGAUAUUCAAUGGAGAAUAAAUGAUUUUUCAAGGUUUUUAACUAAUUUUAAUUAUAUUUGAUUUUUUUUUCAUGUUUUUCAUAUACAUGUAUAAUCAAAUGAGAGAAAAUAAUUUUUUUUAAUAUUUUUUUAUUUCCUUAGUAUUUUUCAAGAACUAAACAUAAUUAUAAGAUUAGUCAUAUUUAUUAUUAUAAGCUCCUUGGGUAAAUUUCCCUUCAAUGAUUAUCCUAAAACGUUUUUACAUGUUUUAUCAUUAUUAUGAUUUUGAAAAUCUAUAGAAAUUCAUGGUUUUUAUAACUUAUUUAGAUGACAGAAUAUGAUUAUACAAGAAAGGCCAAUGAGAAGAUCGAUGUCUACCAUUUGAAGUUGCACUUCUAGAGUUAGCUACUAUAAGAGACCUAGGGGGAAGGGGCAGGAUAUGAACCUUGCUCAAUGGGCAUGGCAGCACCUUGGAGGAGGAAAGUCGACUGUGAAAGCAUUGGAUUGAGGAGAUCAUGGCACUACGCUCCUUAGAAGAAACGAGCACUGUGUUCAAACUCUUUGGCUGCCACCAGAUAAACUCAUUUUCAUUGCCUACUUUGCCUUCUUAUCUAAUACUAUCAUAUGCCUUUAAUGCCUUCUUUAUACAAUUUUGCGUGCAUGAACCAGAAAGCCUAUUGGUGGGCAAGGAGUGUUGCUCUCUCUUAGAAACCAAGAUUGGUUCUAUAAUGAAAAUACCGUCUUCCGAGGGCAUAUGAAACAAGAAGAUAAUUCUAAUAAUCAAAGCUUAAUCAUGAAAGUCUUCAUCAUAGUGAGAAUUCCCUUAUCUAAAAGCGCAAAGACAGAUAGACCUUUAGCAAAAUAAAUUAUGAAUAAGUUAAUUUGAGCUUAAAAUAAUAAAUAGAGCAAAUAAACAUGUAAUAAAGUUGGAACUCAUGACCCUCCUACUAAAUGAAGUUCUAAUAUUAUAUUGGAUAAUUAAUUUUUUUAAAAACUUCAACUUAAGAUUUGCAUCACCAUGAAUGUUGUGUCAUGCUUUCUAAUAAUAUAUCACAUAUUUUUCUAGAUUUUAUGUUAGACCUGUGAUUACUUCUCUAAAUCAAAUUUUGAGCACAUUGUAUAUAUGUACUUGUUAGGAUGAAUCAAUUAUCAAUGAAUGAAGAAAUACAACUCCUCGUAGAGUCUCUUUGCUUAUUUCCUCUACAACUUGAUUAGUUGAACUUAAAAGAACUCCUGAGUGCUUUCACAAAAUGUUUUGAACUUCAAACCUACACAAAGAUGGAAACCAUAUUGUUGAGGUCUCACGUCCCUGGUGACCCACGUAGUUGCCAAAUGGAUGGACGCACGAUCUCAACCAAUAUAGAUUCCUAGUUCAGUGGUUCCUGCAAAAGGCGUCCGGACAGGGUGUCCGGACACACCCUUUGAUGGUUUUGUCAGCCAUGGUAAGAGAGAUAAAUCAGUUGGUCUUUUUCUAGGUAUAACAAGCUUACCUUCCUCUUUGUGUGAAGGUUCAUAUAUAUAGUACCAGAAGCUCUGUUUCCCUCUUUAAUGGUAGGGAGAUAUUUUGGCUUGUCAUGAUGCCACUAGGUGGUGGCAGGGCCAUCAUCACCCUACGGGCGGCUGACAGAGAUUGUGGGAGGUGCCGCGGCUGUCAAAGAUCGUGGGAAGUGACUUGCCAUCACUUCAUUCCUGUCCUUUCACUCUGCAUGUGGCGGAAUGUGGGCCAUGGCAGACUGUUGUGAUAACAUGCAAGACUUGCUUACUUCAGUCAAUGAUCCGGACAAACAUAUCCGGAUAGUAUAUGUCGGUCGUCCGGAUGCGAUGUGGCGUUCGUCCGGAUGUUAUAUUUGUGAGUGUUGUGUGUCUCUCCUUGAGGGAGUCUGGAUAGGAGAGGCGCGCCACGUGUACUCUUAGGGAAAUCCGGAUGGGAUUAAUCCGGAUAGAAAUGUAUGCCACGUGUCACCAGGAAGUGUGUGCCACAUGUCAUCAGGGGGAGGGGUCCCUACAAUGAUAGAUUCCUGGUUCAGUGGUUCCUGCAAAAGGCGUCCGAACACACCCUCCAAUGGUUUUGUCAGCCAUGGUAAGAGAGAUAAAUCAGUUGGUCUUUUUCUAGGUAUAGCAAGCUUACCUUCCUCUUUGUGUGAAGGUUCAUAUAUAUAGUACCAGAAGCUCUGUUUCCCUCUUUAAUGGUAGGGAGAUAUUUUGGCUUGUCAUGAUACCACUAGGUGGUGGCAGGGUCAUCAUCACCCUACAAGCGGCUGACAGAGAUCGUAGGAGGCGUCGCGGCUGUCAGAGAUCGUGGGAAGUGACUUGCCGUCACUUCAUUCUUGUCCUUUCACUUUGUAGGUGGCGGAACGUGGGCCAUGGUAAGCUGUUGUGGUGACGUGCAAGACUUGCUUACUUCAGUCAAUGAUCCGGACAAACAUAUCCGGAGAGUAUAUGUCGGUCGUCCGGAUGCGAUGUGGUGGUCGUCCGGAUGUUAUGUUUGUGAGUAUUGUGUGCCUCUCCUUGAGGAAGUCCGGAUAGGAGAGGCGCGCCACGUGUACUCUUGGGGAAAUCCGGAUUGGAUUAAUCCAGACAGAAAUGUGUGUCACGUGUCACCAAGAAGUGUGUGCCACGUGUCAUCAGGGGGAGAGGUCCCUACACAUAUCAUUGAAAUAAUUAAAUAGAUCAACUGAAAUCAAAGUGCUAUUGUCUUAUUUAAAAAAAAAAUUACAAAAAAAAAAAAAAAUCAUGGGCUUUAUGCAAAAACGAUAGUUGCGCAAAACUCCUUCUUUGGAAUACUAGAUUGGUGUCAUGUAUCAUUUCACUUGGCACCUUCUUCCAUAACUAUCAAAAAUGAUAUUUGUUUAUGAGGAAAACAAGAGUUUUGGGCAAAUAUAAUAUAUUUGAAAAAUAAAUUCAUAAAAUAGAUCUUCAGCCAAAAUAAUUUUCAAGUUAGUGCAUUUUAACUACUUGGACAUCUAAAUAGUCUUAGAAUGUUUUAUUUUUUUUGAAGUAUAAAUUUAAAACCGUAGUUGGUAAUUAUAAUUUUAACCAUUUAAAAAAAGUAAAGUUUCUAAGUUAGUACAUUUCAACAUGAACAUCCACGUGGCUUGAGAAUAAUUUUUUUUUAAAAUGUUUUUUGCAUCACAAAAUUGUAAUUAGUAACUAUUGUUUUGAAUUUUUUUAAACAUAAAACCAUAAUUGGAGACUCUAAUUUUAAAUUUAUCUUUAAAAUUCAUAGUUGAUGAUCGUAGUUAUCGACUAUAGUUUAAAUUUAAAUUUAAAACCAUAAUUGAUAACUAUUAUUUUAACCAUUUAAAAAACAUCAAAAUUAUAGUUAAGUAUGGUUUGUGACAUGGAUACACAUGUAGAUAAGACACUCUAGUUUGAAAAUUAUUUUGAAAGGGACCUACUUUGUAGAAUUUUAUUUUUGCAAAUAAAUCAUUUUUCCUCAAAACUCAAAACUAACAUGUUUAGAAAUAAAUUCAAUUAUACACUUUCCUAUUUUUCUUUUCCCUAAUAUAAGACCAAGUCCAUGUUAUCACUUUUCCACUAGAAUAUUCCUCACUGAUAUCACUUUUCCACUAGAAUAUUUCUCACUGUCCAUUCCCUUAGCUGUGCAUUAUUCCAAGGCCAGUUUUCUAGCUACCAUAAUUUAGUCCAGGAUGUGGAACAACUGCUGGAUCAUGCUGGAUCCUUUUGUGAGACUUGACCAUCAAUAUCCUUCUCUCCAUUUGUGGGGUCCUGCCCACUUAAUCACUACUUUGGAAAUUUCGCUAACACCCAAAUUCUCAACAACCCAAAGCCACAGACUUCUGCAUCCUUCCAUCCAUCUUUCUUUAAGUAAAAUAGACACCCAUUUGGUCUUUGUUCGUCAUUUGUUUCACUUUCUCCCAAGAAUACUAAUCUUGUCUGACUGAUUAGUUUCAUCAGAGAUUUUUCAAGAAAAAGAAUAUCACAUUUUAUAUUUGAAAAAAAAAAAAGUAUUGAAUAUAUUAGCAAGAUAUCAUCCUCGAAAAGUUACGGUAGUUGACCGGCAUAGAAAAAAGAAUAAGUGAAUGGGGAUGACAACGGAGCGGGUUUUUUUGGGUACUCGUCCUUAAUGAAACGGAGUUUAAAUUUAAUAAACGAGUUUGAGAUGAGUAUGAAUUUUUUUUUUAAACCCGGGACAGGUUCGGGUAUUGCCCCAUCCCGUCCCGUCCCGAUUACAUAUAAAAUUAAUUUUAAAAUUAAUUUAAUUUAAAAUUUUAUUUUAUUAUUUUUAAUAUAUAGAUAAUAAUAAAAAAAUUUAAUAAAAUAAAUUAUAAAAUAUAUAAUAAUUUUAUUAUUUAUAAAAUAUAUUUAUUUUAAUGUAAUUAAAAAAUUUAAAAGUAAUUUUUAAAUAAAUAAAAAACUAAAUAGGGUGGGACGGGCCCAUAUCCGCCUCGUUUAAUUUUUUAAAUGGGACAAAAAUAAGAAUUAUUUUUAAUAAAUAGGACAGGAUUGGGAUGGAGUGACCCGUCCUGAAACCCUUCCGUUGGCAUUCCGACGAUUUUGGAAUUUUUGUUUAUGUUACUUUGCAUUGUUCUUAGAUUUCCCCUUUCCAAUAAAAGCCUGACAUUAUAUGUAUAGAAUUCCGUAUAAUCCAAUCAUUGCUUCGGUGGUUCGUGUAUACCACGGGAAUUAGGAUAAGUCUCCUCUUUUGACGAGUCAAUGCCCUUUCGCAUUCAUUUAUAAUUGUUUGGAUUACAUGAAAGACUAUAAAAGCAACCUGGCCCCAUUUUGUUGACGGAAGCUGCCACUUCCAAACACACUUACUGAUUUUUGGUUAUUUGUUUAUUCUGUUUUCUGUUUUUGAUUUUUAAAGAAAAUAAAAAUCAAGUUUAAAAACAUGUUUAGAUUUUUUUUUUUUUUUUAAUUUUGAGUACAAAAAUGGUAAGAAAUAAAAAUAUUAAUUUGGUGUUUUUAAAAUUUUCCUAUGACAAUGUUUUCCUUCAACUUAAAAAUAGAAAAAUUAUCUUUAGAAUUAAUUAUAAAAUUAUAUAUAUAUAUAUAUUUGAUAUAUUAUUUUAAAAUAAAAACAUAAUCAAAUACAGAACAAUAAAGCAAAACAAUUAUGUGUGACCGGGUCAGUGUCCAUGUCCAAUCUCCGCUACUCUAAAUCGUACCAUGCCCACAUCAAGCUUUCAUUGAGUCAUUCCAUGUUCAAACCAUAACCCACGGCAAGACUGACCCAGAAAAUUUUGCCCCAUCCCGUCCCACACGAUUACAUAUAAAAUUAAUUUUAAAAUUGAAUUUAAUUUAAAAUUUAAAAUUAAUUUAAUUUAAAAUUUUAUUUUAUUAUUUUUAAUAUAUAAAUGAUAAUAAUAAAAUUUUAAUAAAAUAAAUUAUAAAAAAUAUAAUAAUUUUAUUAUUUAUAAAAUAUAUAUUUUUAAUAUAAUUAAAAAAUUUAAAAAUAAUUUAAAAAAAAAAACUAAAUAGGACGGGAUAGGACGGGUACGAGAAUUUUAAACGGGAUUGAAAUGAAAAUUAUUUUUAAUAAAUGAGACGGGAUUGGAAUGGAAACGAUCCGUUGGAACCGCCCGUUGGCAUUCCGAUAAUUUUGGAAUGUUUGUUUAUGUUACUUUGCAUUGUUCUUAGAUUUCCCCUUUCCAAUAAAAGCCUGACAUUAUAUGUAUAGAAUUCCGUACAAUCCAAUCAUUGCUUCGCUGGUUCGUGUAUACCACGGGAAUAAGGAUAAGUCUCCUCUUUUGACGAGUCAAUGCCCUUUCGCAUUCAUUUAUAAUUGUUUGGAUUAUAUGAAAGACUAUAAAAGCAACCUGAGUCAAUACCCUUUCGCAUUCAUUUAUAAUUGUUUGGAUUAUAUGAAAGACCAUAAAAGCAACCUGGCCCCAUUUUGUUGACGCCUUGACGGAAGCUGCCACUUCCAAACACACUUACUGAUUUUUGGUUAUUUGUUUAUUCUGUUUUCUGUUUUUGAUUUUUAAAGAAAAUAAAAAUCAAGUUUAAAAACAUGUUUAGAUAUUUUUUUUAAAAAUUUUGAGUUCAAAAAUGAUAAGAAAUAAAAAUAUUAAUUUGGUGUUUUUAAAAUUUUCCUAUGACAAUGUUUUCCUUCAACUUAAAAAUAGAAAAAUUAUCUUUAGAAUUAAUUAUAAAAUUGUAUAUAUAUAUAUAUAUAUAUAUAUAUAUAUUAUUUUAAAAUAAAAACAUAAUCAAAUACAGAACAAUAAAAUAAAACAAUUAUGUGUGACCGGUCAGUGUCCAUGUCCAAUCUCCACUACUUUAAAUCAUUGAGUCAUUCCAUGUUCAUACCAUAAUCCACGGCAAGACGACCAAGAAAAUUUUGCAAGCGUCGACUUCUUCUUCUGAUUUUUACUGGCUGUCAGGAUACAAACCUUUAUCGAGGAAAAAGACUGCAUGCCUCUUUAGGCUUCUUCAAUUUUUUUUUUAUAAAUAUUUUUAUAAAAAAAUGAAUUAAUUUUCAAAUUCAACUUAUAUGAUAUAAUAAUAUAGUAUAAUAUAAUAUAUAAUAUUAAUAAAUAAUAAUAAAUAAAAUAGUUAUAUAUUAUUAUUAUAUAUUAUAUAUAUUAUAUUUUAUAUAGAGGAUGUUCGAUAAAUCAAUUUUAUGAUUUAAAGUGAUUUAAUAACUUAAUUUAAAUUAUUAAAUAAAUUAAAUAUUUUAUAAAAUAUCAUAAUAUUUAAAAUGAUUUUAAAUAUUAAAUCAAAAUAAUUAAUUUAUUUUUAAUCUGAAAUCAUUUUUAUUAGAUUUUAUUUUUUAGUAUAAGUUUACUCGAUUAAUGAAUUAAAUUUUUGAAAUUAUUUAAAAUAAUUAUAAAAUAUUUACUUUAUAAAAAAUGAGUCAUACAUAUUAUAAAGAUUGUUAUUACAUAUUUGGAGUGAUCUGAGAUUCAUAAUAAAUUUAGCAUUUUAAUUUAAUAUUUAAAUAUUAUUUUUAAUUUUAAAUUAUGAUAUUAAAUUAUUUUAUUAAAUGUAUUUAAUAACUUACAUUGAAUUAUUAAAUCAUUAUAUUAAUUUAUCACACACCUCCUAAAAAUCCUUUUUUCUAGUAUACCAAAAAUAAGACCAAUAAAAUCAUAUCAUUAGGUCUCAAUUUUUUUUUACGUUCCAUUUAUUUAUAUUUUAAUAAUAUAUGUUUGGAUCGUCGUGAAAUGACGUAGAUUUUACCUUACACUUUUGAUAGUCAGUGCUGCAUGUUGAUUAGGUUUACACUUGCCCUUCUUUCUAUGGUAUUUUCCUGCGCUGCCACUGUCGACAUGGCAGUCAACUAGUCAAGGAGCAUCGACUUAAAAGUGAUGUGAAAUCAGUUGGAAUUAUUAAUUAUACUUGUGGAAAUGAAGUGCUUUAGACCCAGGUGGGCCUGGAAAUCAGCUAAAGGUCCUCCUUUCGUCGUGAUAAUAAAUAUAUGAAAUAGGAAUGAAAAAAAAAAAUACUCCUUUGACUUAUCAUAACAAAUAUAUAAAAAUCGGGAAUAAUUAUAUUUUAGACCUAAUUAGACUAAAAAAUUAAGCUUUAAUCCAUAUAAAUUCAUAAUAUAAGCUAAAAACUUAUAGAAAGUGUGAAAAUUGAGAAGAAUGAUAUGAAAUUUUUAUCUUUCCAAAAAUAAUAUUUAUUGGUUAUGGAAAAAAAGAGAGUAGAAAAACAUUAAUUUAAAUUUUAUUCCUUUUGCAAAUUUCAAUAAAAUUUAAUAUAAUUUAGUGGUUUGGAAAAAAAUACACCCAUGUCCAAAAAAUUAAAAAUAAAUUAUUAUUAUUUAAAAAUCAAACAUCUUGGAAAAUAUAUAUAUUUAAAAUUAUGUAUAUAAAAAAUAAUUAAAAAUAUGUCAAUUUUUUUUUAAAUGAUAUAUUUUUAUAAUAUAUUUUAAAAAAAAUUAGUUUUCUAAAAAUAAUAAAUUUUCAUAAUAAUUAUUAAAAAAAAUUAAGAUAAAAAAGUUUUUCAAACCUUAUGAUAGAAAAUAGUUCUGAAUGGUAUAUUAGUCUCUUCAUAUUUUAUAUCAUCUCCAUCAAUUAUGCAACUUUUAUGGGUCAAAUCUUAAUUUUUAGGUCCAAUUGGGUUCAAAAGACAAUUGUCCCUAAAAAUUAUCUCAAAUAAUAAAUUGUUUUUACCCAUGUGGUGUUUGUAGGAUCCAUUAUUUUUGUCUCUAUUCCACCACUCUUUACAUGCUAAUUCCAACAAAUUCUUCCUUAUUUAGUCGUUUCUGGAUUUUUCAUUAUUUUUUAAAACUCUUUUAUAAAUAAUCUAAAGUCAACAAUAUUUUUUAUUUUUAAAUUAUAAAUAAAAAAAUACAUUAAUGAUUCAAAAACUAUUUUGAAUAAUAUUUUUUUAAUAUAUAUAUAUAUAUAUAUAUAUAUAUGUUCAUUUAAAUGAAUAAAACUGUCUUUUACAUUUAAAAGUAAAUAAUUUAAUGAUUAAAACACUAUUUAAAAUAAACAUAUUCAUUAUUUUAUUUUCUUUUAUACUAAAAAUCAUUUUAAAGUUUAUUUCUUUAUUUUUUUUACUAUUCUAACAUAAAAAGUUUAAAUCUUCUUUUAAUUUUUUUUCUUAUUUUAAUAACAUUUUAAACAUGACUUCUACUAAUAAGUUAUAUGAAAUGUUACAAAUUCAUCUACUAAGGAUUUUUUUUAAUGAUUUGAAUUAAUUGAAAAAUUAUCAAAAUAAGAAAAAAAAAAUAAAGAAAGAAAGAAGAUGGAUAAAGAGUUUAUUUUAAAUAUCCAACUAAAAUAAGGUAUGCAAGGUAUUUGUGUAAGUGAACGAUGUAUUUACAUUAAGUGUACAAGAUAAAUGUAUUAAUUGUACAAAGGUGUACAAGGCUAUAUUCCUUGAAAGAAUUCAAUCGAUUUUCAAAAAAUCGCUUACUCAUUUCCUUUUUCCAAGGAUGUAGGACAUUCCACAAACACAUUGUUUGAUGACAUACUUAUCUCAUCUAUUUUUUUGACAUUGUAUAUGUUCAUUCGAUUACCUAGCCCACUAAUGAUGAAUAGGAACAUAAAUUGGGUUUAAUUUUUCCCAUUUUCCCUUAGCCAUGACAAUGGAAACAUGGUUAGCCCACUCAUAUGCACACAUUGCAUUCUAGGUCUAUGAAAUUUGUGUAGGUGUACAAAGUAUUUACACAAAGUGUACAAAGUAAAUGUAUUAACUAUAUAAGGGUGUACAAGACUACUUUCCUUUAAGGAAUUCAAUUGAUUUUCAAAAACUUGCUCGCUCAUUUCCCUUUUGACAAGGAUGGAGGACAUUCCAUAGACACAUUUCUUGAUGAGACACUCAUCCUAUGCAUUUUUUUGACAUCACACAUGUUCAUUUGAUUACCUACCCCACUAAUUAUGAAUAAAAACAUAAAUUGGGUUUAAUUUUCCCAUUUUCCUUGAGCCAUGACAAUGGAAACAUGGUUAACCACCCAUAUGCACACACUGCAUUCUAGGUCUAUAGAAUUUGUGCAAGUGUACAAGGUAUUUACACUAAGUGUAUAAUGUAAAUGUACUAAUUGUACAAGAGUGUACACAGCUACCUUCCUUGAAGAAAUUCAACUGAUUUUCAAAAACUCGCUCACUCAUUUUCCUUUGUCAAGGAUCAAAGACAUUCCACAAACACAUUACUUAAUGACACGCUUAUUCUAUGCAUUUUUUUUUUACUUCGUACAUGUUCAUUUGAUUACCUACUCCACUAAUAAUGAAUGGAAACAUAAAUUGGGUUCAAAUUUUCCUUUUUCCCCUAAGCCAUGACAGUGGGAAUAUGGUUAACUCACUCAUAUUCACAUAUUGCAUUCUGGGUCUAUGGAAUUUGUGCAGGUGUAUAAGGUAUUUACACAAAGUGUACAAGGUAAAUGUACUAACUGUAUAAAGAAGUACAAGACUACCUUUCUUGAAGAAUUUCAAAUAAUUUUCAAAAACUAACUUGACUCUUAUUUCUAAAUUUCAUCAUCUAAAAUUUGUAACUUCAUAUUUUGUUUUUUGUAACCCGUAUAAUUUAAAUGUUCCGAAAACUCUUCAUCUAUUCUCAAUGUUUUCCUAUUGAACUGCACUUAUACUCUUUUUCCAACAUAUUUUUUCAAAUUUUCCUUAUAUCUUUAGAAUUAAGUCUAUAUUUAUGAAUUUUAAUAUUAUUGAAAAAAGAAAAAAAAAUCAUAGUCUUAGACUUAGAGUGUAGAAUGCAAUACUCAAAAUUUGAUAUAUAUUGUGAUUUUAAAAUUAACUUAUGCUUUCUACAUCUUUUUAUUAAUUCAUCAUGUUGGACACUAUGAAUACAUUGUGCAGUUGCACCCUUAUUGUGAAUUUGAUCACAUGCUAAAAGAAAAAAUAAAUAAAAAUUUGAAGGAAAAAAUAAAAUUACAUUGCAACCACCUAGCUACAUGCCCACAUUAUCAAAGACAUUCUGGAAAAUUCUUUUCCACAAUGCAAGGAAUUAGAAGACCCAAGUUUCUGGAUGAAAACCAAAGUCCCACAACUUUGGUUGUAGUUCUUCUUCACUUGUAGAUCCAUAGACAAACUUGUUAAUUCUAUCACACAUAUCCACUUUGUUCCAAUACUAAAAGUAGAAUACCUAACCUGCCCAAAAAGGAGAGCCUAAAAAUAGUUCACAUUCUCAUCCAAACAAGCCAAUUUUCUUGAGAAAAAACUAGUGAAAAGGGUAAAAACAAAACCAAAUACAAAAUUAAUCAAGAUGAUCUAUAAGUACCUGAAUAAGAAGCACAUGGAAAACUAAAUUCUCAACAACUAAAAAACUUCCACUAGUAAAGGUCUCGAUGUCGACGAAAUGGAAAAUGGUGAUGGUGAGGAACAUGGGGAUGCCGACUACUACAAUGACAAUAGGAGGACUUCGAGCUCCUUUAGGGAUAUUUGUGUGGCUACAACAAUGUUGACGACAACAACGACUACCGAGAUCCAAAGUAGAUGAUGGUGUGCUAGGGUUUAAGAUCAUUUUAGGGCUUCGACGUCUUCAAAAAAAAAAAAAACUAAUAAGAGAAAUAUUUUAAUUACCAAACUUGGAAUCCAUUUUGCAAAAGGAGAAUUGUGUUUUAGAUCCAGAUGGGUCUAAAAAUUGGCCUUAAAUCCUCUUAACCCGCAUAAUUGGGCCCAAAACCCAGCAAAGCCUUACAAAUUGAGAUGAAGGAUAUUGACAUUCCAUAAACCCGAAAAUGCCCUUCGUUAAGCUAGAAAAAAAAAAUUCAUGCUGGAAAUACAAUUUGAAAAAUGGAUUCCAAGUUUGGCAAUUAAAAUAUUUCUCCUAUUAGUUUUCAUUUUUUGAAGAAUUGAAAACGCCAAAGCCUUAAAUGAUCCAAAACCUUAGCCACCAUCAUUUACUCUAGAUCUCAGUGGCUGUCGUUGUCAACGACGUUGCUGUAGCCACUCAAAUAUCCCUAAAGUAUUCAUGAUGAAUUAAUAAAAAGACUUAGAAAGAGCAUAAGUUAAUUUUAAAAUCAUAAUAUAUAUAUAUAUAUAUAUAUAUAUAUAUUAUCAAAUUCUGAGUACUACAUUCUACACUCUAAGUUUAAGACUAUGAUUUUUUUUCAACAAUAUUAAAAUUCAUAAAUAUAAACUUAAUUCUAAAUAUAUGAGGAAAAUUUGAAAAAAUAUGUUGGAAAAAGAGUAUAUGUGUAGUUCAAAAGGAAAAAUAUUGAAAAGAGAUGAAGAGUUUUCGGAAUAUUUAAAUUAUAUGGGUUACAAAAAACAAAAUAUGAAGUUAUAAAUUUUGGAUAAUGAAAUUUAGAAAUAAGAGUUGAGUGAGUUUCGAAAAUUAUUUGAAAUCCUUCAAGGAAAGUAGUCUUGUACACCCUUGUAUAGUUAGCAUAUUUACCUUGUACGAUUAAUGUUAAUACCUUGUACACUUGCACAAAUUCCAUAGACCUAGAAUCCAAUAUGCGAAUAUGGGUGAGUUAAUCAUAUUCUCAUUGUCAUGGCUCAGGGAAAAGGGGAAAAAUUGACAUGUACGAAGUCAAAAAAAAAAAAAUUGCAUGGAAUAAGUGUGUCAUCAAGCAAUGUGUUUGUGGAAUGUCUUUGAUCCUUAACAAAGGGAAAUGAACGAGCGAGUUUUUGAAAAUCAAUUGAAUUCUUUCAAAGAAAGUAGUCUUGUACAAUUAGUAUAUUUACAUUGUACACUUUAUGUAAAUACCUUAUAAACUUACACAAAUUCCAUAGACCUAAAAUGCAAUGUGUGCAUAUAAGUGGGUUAACUAUGCUUCCAUUGUCAUGGCUCAGGGAAAAGGGAAAAGAUUGAACCCAAUUUAUGUUCUUAUUCAUCAUUAGUGGGGUAGGUAAUCGAAUGAAUAUAUACGAUGUCAAAAAAAUGCGUGAGAUAAGUGUGUCAUCAAACAAUGUGUUUAUGGAAUGUUCCUCAUCAUUGGCAAAAGGAAAUGAGCAAACGAGUUUUUGAAAAUCAGUUGAAUUCUUUCAAGAAAAGUAGUUUUGUACACCUUUAUAUAGUUAGUACAUUUACCUUGUACGCUUAAUGCAAAUGCCUUGUACACAUGCACAAAUACCUUGUACACAUGCACAAAUACCUUGUACACAUGCACAAAUACUUUGAACACUUUAUUUUAGUUGGAUAUUUAAAAUAAAAACUCUUCAUCUAUCAUCUUUUUCUCUUUUUCAUUUUCUUAUUUUGAUAAAUUUUCAAUUAAUUAAAAUCACUAAAAAAAUAAAAAAUAAAAAUCCUUAGUAGAUAAAUUUGCAACAUUUCAUAUAACUUAUUACUAGAAGUCAUAUUCAAAACGUUAUUAGAAUAAGGAAUGAAAGACAUUCAAAGAAAAUUUAAACUUUUUAUUUUAGACUAGUAAAAAAAAGAAAGAAAUAAACUUUAAAAUGUUUUUUAGUAUAAAAAAAAAAGAGGAAAAUGGUGAAUAUGUUUAUUUUAAAUAGUGUUUUAAUCAUUAAAUUAUUUACUUUUAAAAUGUAAAUGAAACUUUUUAUUUAUUUAAAUUAACACUUUUUUUUUUUUAACAAAAAGCAUUUUUUAAAAUAGUUUUUGAAUCAUUAAUUUAAUUUUUUUAUUUAUAAUUUUAAAAUAAAAAAUAAUAUUGAUUUUAGAUUAUUUAUAAAAGAGUUUAAAAAAAUAAUGAUAAAUAAAAAAAAUGGCUAAAUAAGGGAGAAUUUAUUGGAGUUGGUAUGUAAAGAAUGGUGAAAGAAAGACAAAAAUGAUGGUCUUACAAACACGAGAUGAGUUAAAACAAUUUAUUAUUUGAGAUAAUUUUUAUAUAUUUGAGAUAAUUUUUAUAUAUUUGAUGUGGUAAGUUAGGCUAUAUUUUUUGGGAAACUUGUGUUUUGAUGGGGCCAUUUGGCAAAUAUAUGCUUUUCAGAACCCAACUUUAUGAAAUCUAAAAACCAGUUUUUAAUGUGAAAAAUUAUAUCUUUUUUAUGCACUCUAAGCCGACUGCAUUUUUUGUACCGAGAUUGCCUUUUUUUUUCCUCCCUUACCCACCAUCCAUUUCUCCCUUCAUCCCCAGUGAAACCGGCUAGCCGACGUCAUCCCCGGCCGCCACUCACACCUCUCACCGGCCGGCAGGCAAAGGUUGUGUUUUUCAACCUGGCUCAAAAAUCGUGGAUUUAGGGUUCGUGAAAUUUAAAUCCAAUGGCACAAAAGCAAAGAGACCCCUAGAACAGAUCUAGAAAACACAUGGAUCAAAAAAAAAAAAGCAAUUUUUUUGGUUUUCCUUGGGGGUUUUGCAUGAAUUUUCUCGGAAAUCAAACGAGGAUGAAUUUUCCAAAAAAUCAAAUAUGGAUGGAUUUUCUUGGGGAUCAAACAAGGAUUUUUUUUUUUUUUGCUUCUAUCGCCGUCGUCAAUGAUUGCAAGACUUGUUGGUUGCCGCCGUCAAUGGCAACCAGUCGUGCCUUCUUCCCUCCGACCCUGGUUCUCCCCCAUUGCCAUCGCCUUUUUCUCUCUUGGUGAUGUCGAAAGAGAAUAAAAGAGAAAGAAAGAGGAAAGGGAAAAGGAGAAAGGGGGAGAUUGCCGACCAGAAAAAGGUGUGAGUGGCAGCCGGUGAUGACGCCGGUCGGCUAGUUUCACUGAGGAGAGAGGGAGAGGCGGAUGGUGGGUACAAGAUGAAAAAAAAAAAAGGCAAUCUCGGUACAAAAAAUGCAGCCGGCUUAGAAUGCAUAAAAAAGAUAUAAUUUUUUACAUUAAAAAUUGGUUUUCAGAUUUCAUAAAGUUGGGUUCCAAAAAGUAUAUAUUUACCAAAUGGCCCCAUCAAAACACAAGUUUCCCAUUUUUUUUUCAUUAUUAUUUCAUAUACUUAUCAUCGUGAUAAAAGGAUAAGGCCGAUCAUUGUCGCACUGAAUGGCACUCCACCCCAUGCCCAUGACACACGACCAAUUGAUAUUGACCCUUCACAUUGACUUUCAGAUCCAUUUUUGUUUAUCAGGAAUAGUUUUUCUUCACUUAUUCUUCAUAAUCCUGUAUUUAUAUACUAUAUCAAUAUUUCUAAAUCCUUACCAUUAAUAACUUUUUCAAAAUUCUUUAUUAGUAUCCAUGUUAUAAAUAAUAAAAUAUGAAUUGAACAUUUUCGCUCUCCUCAUAAGCAUAUCACACUUGUCUAUUUGGUUCUUAGAAAAUAUUAGGAAUAAACAAAGAUAGCAUUGGAAAAAAAUAAUUUUUUUUUAUAUUUUGUUUAACAUGAAAAUAUUAAAAUCAAAUCAAUAUAAUUAAAAAUAGUUUAAAUUUUAAACAUUUUAAACUAGUUUAUCUUUAUAUAAUACAAAAAUACAUACAAUGAAUUUGAAUAAACAUAGAAAUGUAAUUUAUUAAUAAUAUUAAUUAUUUUUCAUUUUCCUUCAUGUAAAAAAAAUGGAUAUUAUAUAUAUAUUUAAAAAAAAAGUAUAUGUGAUUCUUGGAAAAUUUAAGGGAGAAUUCAAGAAAAAAAUAACUGAAUUUUCUUUUUUUCUUUCUUUUCCUUACAUUUUCCCUUAAAUUUUUAGAGAAUUGAAGAUAGAUUAAAAGGUUUUUUUCCUACAUUUUUCUUACAUAAAAGGUUAGAAAAAAGUUGAGAAAAUACAUUCCUCAAUAAUUUUUUUUUCUUCAAUUUCUCAAUAUAUAUAAACCAAACUUAUUCCAAGAGAUAAUGAUUAUAUUUAUUAUCAAAUAAAAUUUUUAUAUCUAAUUUACUUUUAGCUAGUAUUGUCCAACAUAAUUAAAUAAUACCAUGGUGGCUUAGGUUAAUUCUAAAAUGAUGGGAAAUAAAUCAAAAUGGUAAUGGACUAAUGAUAGAAAAAUUAUCAUAUAAAAUACCUAGGCAACCAUAGGUGAAAAAAAAAAUUUGAAAAUAAGACUCAUAUUAUGAAAAUAUUAAAAAAUAUUAUAAUUUAAUCACAAAGAUAAUGAGUAUGACUAAGAUCGACGUUUAGGAAAAGAGAUUUUAUAAAUAAAUAAAAAUUAUUUUGAAGUAUCUUACAUGGAUCGCUGAUUUUUAUUCAAAUUUUAAACAAAUUCAUACUAAAAAACCAUAAUGCUUGCUAAAUCUAAUCUUGUAACCUAGUGUUUUGUUCUUAGAAUAUAUAUAUAUAACUGUCCCGGCAUCUUCCACCCUCCUCAUAGAGAUGCUGGUAACGAACUCAACGCCACAAAAAUGCCGAAAGUAAACUUUUAAUUUGCCAAAAUUCCAUUCCCCGCUCUGUUUCUCCUCCUCGUCCUCUCCUUACCCUUUCAAGUAAUUUCCGAAAAUCUGGACGAUGAACUAUCAAUCCUACUAGACGUUAAACAACAACUAGGCAAUCCCCCGUCACUCCAAUCUUGGAAUUCCUCAUCCUCACUCUGUGAUUGGCCGGAAAUUACAUGCAUCGACAAUAUCGUCACUGAAAUUUCACUCAGCUACAAGACCAUCACAAAGAAAAUUUCGGCUAGAAUUUGUGACCUCAAGAACCUUAUCGUACUUGACGUCUCCAACAAUUACAUUCCAGGCAAGUUCCCGGAUAUUCUCAAUUGUUCUAAGCUGGAGCAUCUCCUCUUGAAGAAAAACUUCUUCGUGGGUUCAAUUCCAGCUGACAUUGAUCGACUUUCACGUCUCCGGUACCUAGACCUCACCGCAAACAACUUCUCUGAAGAUAUUCCCGCAGCAAUUGGGCAGCUACGGGAGCUGUUCUACUUGUUUCUGGUUCAAAAUGAGUUCAACGGCACCUGGCCAACGGAGAUUGGUAAUUUGGCGAAUCUUGAACAAUUGGCCAUGGCCUAUAAUGACAAAUUUCGGCCUUCAGCCCUUCCAAAAGAGUUUGGCGCAUUGAAGAAGUUGAAAUAUCUGUGGAUGACGGAGGCGAAUUUGAUUGGCGAAAUACCGGAGAGCUUCAACAAUCUAUCGAGUUUGGAACUCUUGGACCUCUUAGUCAACAAAUUGGAAGGUACGAUCCCGGGAGGCAUGCUUACGUUGAAGAAUUUGAACUAUUUGCAUUUAUUCAUUAAUAGAUUGUCCGGCCACAUUCCUUCAUCCAUAGAAGCUCUCAACCUGAAAGAAAUUGAUAUUUCCGACAACCAUUUGACGGGGUCCAUACCAACGGGUUUCGAGAAGCUACAAAAUUUGACGGGUUUGAAUCUUUUCUGGAAUCAGUUGUCAGGAGAGAUACCAGCAAAUAUAAGCCUCAUUCCUACACUGGAAACCUUCAAAGUUUUUAGCAAUCAAUUGAGUGGAGUUUUACCUCCAACAUUUGGCCUUCAUUCGGAGCUCAAACUCUUUGAGGUUUCCGAGAAUAAACUAAGCAGGGAAUUACCUCAACAUUUAUGCGCUAAGGGGGCUUUGCUUGGAGUGGUCGCUUCCAACAACAAUCUCAGCGGGGAAGUGCCCAUGUCCCUCGGGAAUUGCACAAGUUUGCUCACCAUUCAGCUUUCCAACAAUUGUUUUUCAGGCGGGAUUCCUUCCGGCAUUUGGACAUCCCCGGACAUGGUAUCAGUGAUGUUAGAUGGAAACUCAUUCUCAAGGACACUUCCAAGUAAAUUGGCAAGGAAUUGUCUAGAGUGGAGAUCACUAACAGCAAGUUUUAUGGUCCAAUUCCUGCUGAAAUCUCUUCCUGGAUGAACAUCUCUGUGCUCAAUGCCAGCAACAAUAUGUUGUCUGGAAAAAUUCCAGUGGAAUUGACCAGUCUUUGGAACACCACUGUUCUGUUGCUUGAUGGGAAUCAAUUCUCGGGUGAACUUCCAUCCCAGAUCAUCUCAUGGAAGUCGCUCAAUAAGUUAAAUCUCUCAAGAAACAAACUUUCUAGCCUAAUUCCCAAGGCAUUAGAUUCUUUAACUAGCCUUAGUUACCUCGACCUGUCAGAAAACCAGUUCUCAGGUCAAAUUCCUCCUGAACUUGGCCAUUUGAACCUUAUUAUCCUCCAUCUUUCGUCCAACCAACUCUAUGGGAUGGUCGCCAUUGAGUUUCAACAUGAAGCAUAUGAAGACAGUUUCUUGAACAAUCCCAAGUUGUGUGUCAAUGUUCCCUCUCUGAACCUCCCUAGAUGUGAUGCCAAACCUGUCAACUCCGACAAAUUGUCAACCAAAUAUCUCGUUAUGAUCCUAAUUUUUGCUCUAUCUGGUUUCCUAGCUGUUGUUUUCGUCACCCUGUCCGUGGUUCAUGUCUAUCAUAGGAAGAAUCACAGUCAGGAGCAUACAGCUUGGAAAUUUACUCCAUACCAUAAACUAGAUCUCGAUGAAUACAACAUAUUGUCCAGUUUGACAUAAAAUAAUCUGAUCGGAUGUGGUGGGUCAGGGAAAGUAUACCGAAUUGCUAAUAAUCGUUCUGGUGAACUCUUAGCGGUUAAAAUGAUUUGUAAUAACAGGAGAUUGGAUCAAAAGCUUCAGAAACAAUUCGAAACAGAAGUCAAGAUAUUGAGCACCAUACGCCAUGCCAAUAUAGUGAAGUUGUUGUGUUGCAUAUCAAAUGAAACCUCAAGUCUUCUUGUUUACAAGUACAUGGAGAAGCAGAGUUUGGAUAGAUGGCUUCAUGGGAAGAAGCAAAGAACAUCGUCCAUGACAAGUUCAGUUCAUAACUUCGUCUUGGAUUGGCCAACAAGGUUGCAGAUUGCCAUUGGACCUGCAAAAGGCCUAUGCCACAUGCAUGAAUACUGUUCUGUCCCAAUCAUACAUCGAGAUGUGAAGUCCAGCAACAUCUUGCUAGAUGCCGAGUUCAAAGCGAAAAUUGUGGAUUUUGGAUUGGCUAAGACGUUGGUCAAGCAAGGAGAACCCAACACCAUGUCAGGAAUUGUAGGCUCUUACAGGUAUAUUGCCCCUGGUAAGACCAUCAAGGCCCUCCUUUCCACAUGUUUUCAUUUCCAUAAUUUAUCGAUAAUUUGUAUCAUACCAUUCUCGUAUACUUGGAUCAUAGAGUAUGCUUAUACAACAAAGGUGAACAAGAAGAUCGAUGUAUAUAGCUUUGGAGUAGUCUUGCUUGAGCUUGUGACGGGAAGAGAACCCAACAAUGGGGACGAGCACAUGUGCCUUGCAGAAUGGGCAUUGGAUCAGUUUAGAGAAAGGAAAACCAUUGAGGAAGUGGUAGACGAGGAGAUCAAGGAACAAUGUGAUAGAGCACAAGUGGCCACUCUCUUCAAACUAGGCAUUAGGUGCACUAACAAAUUACCAUCCAAUAGGUCCACAAUGAAAGAGGUUUUGAAAAUUCUUCAACAGUGCAGUCCUCAAGAGGGCCAUGGAAGAAAUAAAAAGGACCAUGAAGUUGCACCUCCACUUCAAAAUGGCACUUAUCCCACCACUUACAAGUUGUGAGGAUAAAGCCCUUAAAAACAUGAUAUUAUGUAAUAAAUUUGGAACUCAUUAUUUAUUUAACGAUGUUCUGAUUUCACUUUUAUCUAUUCUUAUUCCAUGUAUUAUACUUUAUGAGCAUUCUUGUCUGCAUCUUUUGCAUUGCACGUAACUUAGGUGCAUUAAAAGUUGCACAGAAGAUCUAGGUCAUGGGUUCCUCGCAAAUAUAUGACUUGUUCACAACCAGUUCAUGGGUCUAGGAAGCCCAUUAGAGGUUGUAAAAAACCACUUCCUAAUUGGAAGAAUGGCUAGUCUUAGCUAUUGGGAUGAGUUUUCCAUGAUAAGUGCAUUAGUGUGUAUGGUUACAUAUUGGACAAGACCUAUGGUGAAUCAUGACUUAAGGUUAUCAAGCAGUCAUGACCUCAUCAAACUGCUUCAUUGUGUUGUCUCUCAACCUUGAGAGAAUAUUGAGCUUGUACUAAAGUUAGCAAUGACUUUGACAUACAGGUGAGAUCGUAAGUUGAUCAUAUAUUCCCUAUGGAUUGAGUCACUGUUGAUGGAAGAUGGUAGCGAUAGGUAUUUUCAAUAAAAACACCAUGAUGUUUCUUGGGAUUAAGACAAUGUGCCCCUUUUGGUGAUCUUAAAGAGGUGUGUUCAUGGAAACUAUGGUCAUAGUAGUUCCUUAAGUAAAAAUCGACAUAGGCUCUUUGAGAGGUAAGACAUGUCAAUUGAAUACACAAUAGGAGGAUUUAUAACUCAAGGAUGGUAGAGGUAGUCUUGAAAGACUAAUAACUUUCACUUUGUUAGACUAUGAAUAUCAGUUCAUGGGAAGACUAAACACAAUAAAUAGCAAGUCACAAACCUGAACAUUUGGUAUCUCAUUGUUAUUUUCAAUAAAAUAACAAUGAGAUGGUAAGUUGAUCAUAUAUACCCUAUGGAUUGGGUCACUGUUGAUGGAAGAUGGUAGCAAUAGGUAUUUUCAAUAAAAGCACCAUAAUAUCUCUUGGGAUUAAGACAUUGUGCCCCCUUGGGUGAUCCUAAAGAAGUGUGUUCAUGGAAACUAUAGUCAUAGUAAUUCCUUAAGUAAAACUCAACAUAAGCUUUUUGAGAGCUAAGACAUGUCAAUUGAAUACACACUAGGAGGAUUUCUAACUCAAGGAUGAUAGAGGUAGCCUUGAAAGACUAAUAACUUUCACUUUGUUAGACUACGAACAUCAGUUCAUGGGGAGACUAAACACAAUAAAUAGCAAGUCACAAGCUCGAGCAUUUGGUAUCUCAUUGUUAUUUACAUAGGAUACCGGAGUUCAAUUGAUUCUUUGUAGUGGGAUGUUGAAUCAACUUUAGAAUUGGAUUUUGAGAGAGUCGGUAUUCCUAUGGGUCCCAAUGGUCCUUACUCUAAGCUUAUAUACUUUGUUGGCAAGGAUUAUAAGAGUCGGAUUAGCUCUAGGUUUACUUUUGUACAUAAGGGCAUUUUGAUAAUUACGCAAGGUUACACAAAGGUAAAUGAACAAGGUUUUUAGAUUGGGUUAAUUGAUUAAUUAGUAGGCCCUGUUUGGUUAAUUAAUCAAUUAGGACUUUCUAUAUUAAGUGACCUAAGCCCUUAGUGGGCUCAAGUCACUUAAACCUAAUAGAAAACCCUAUAAAUACCCCCUUAAGGGUUAGAGUUUAUAUAGUUUUUCUAAAAAGCCAUCUUCUAUCUCUAAAGAGAAAGAGAAAGAGUCAUAGCAUCCACCCUCCCUUCUAUCUCCACUAGAAGUGUGUCGAUCAAGGUUCAAGUCAUUGGGAGGAAAACUUUGAAUUUACGAGACUUCUGCGAUUUCGUUCUUCAUUUUCACAAUGUGGAUUUGAUUCGAGAACAUCCGAAUUUGAGGUAUGGUUUUCAUUAGCACUUUUUGAAUCCCUUUAAAGUUUAAAAAUGUUAUUUUUCCGUUGUGCAUAGGAUUAAUUUAGAAAAUGCUUAGAAUAGUUAUGCAAGUUCCUAACCUGAUCUGAGCUUAGGAAAUGGAGAGAACCUAGUUUUUUCCCUUAAUGUUUGUGCUCCAAAGUGUUGAGAUAGUUUAGAGGGUGACAUGAUGAUUGACAUAAUACCUUAUGUGGAGAACCUAGUGAAUCCCUUCUCCAAGACAUUGAUAGGGAGAGUCUUUGUUAGUCACAUGGAUAGCAUAGGUUUUAAAUGAGUAUUUGGCAUGCUUUAAAGGCAUGAUGCUUUGAGGGCUAAUGGGAGAAUGUUAGGAUAAAGCCCUUAAAAGCAUGACAUGAUGUAAAAAAUUUGGAAUUCAUUAUUUAUUUAAUGAUGUUCUAGUUUCACUUUUAUCAAUCCUUAUUCCAUGUAUUAUACUUUAUGAGCAUUCUUAUUUGCAUUUUUUGCAUUGUACAUGACUUAAGUGCAUUAGGAGUUACAUAGAAGAUCUAAGUCAUGGGUUUCUUGCAAAUAAAUGACUUGUUCACAACUGAUUCAUGGGUCUAGGCAACCCACUAGAGGUUGUAGUGCAUCAUACCACCUUCUAAUUGGAGGGAUGACUAGUCUUAAUUAUCAGGAUGAGUUUCCCAUGGUGAGUGCAUUACUGUGUAUGGUUACACAUUAGACAAGACCUAUGGUGAGUCAUGACUUAAGGCUAUCAAGUAGUCAUGACCUUACCAACCAACUUCAUUGUGUUAUCUCUCAACCUUAAAAGAAUAUUCAGUUUAUACUAAAGUUAAUAAACUGAAGUUAGCAAUGGCUUUGACAUACGAGUGAGAUCAUAAGCUAAUCAUAUAUUCCCUAUGGAUUGGGUCAUUAUUGAUGGAAGGCGUGAAAGGCAGACGCCCGGGCACGCAAAGCCCGUCUCAACGAACGGGAGGAGAAAAGGCAAGAAGGAACUUUGCGGAAGGCUCUUGGUGAUAAACGCCCCGCAUCCCCUCCACCUGCUGGCGCACUAGAUAAAAAGAAGAAGAAGCAGGUUUUCAACAAGGGAAAAGAAAUAAAACUCUCAUCUCCCCCAAAGGAAGUUGUAAUACCACCUCCAACUUUCGUAAGAGGAAUAACAAUAAGAACGCCAGAUCUCUCCGUUUUGCCCUCUGUUUCAAGCGGCUCCAGACAUAUCGCGUAUCUAAAUGGAUCGGGGCCUUCAGUGCCAGUGCCAGCGGCUAGACGGCUGGCUCUUCUGGCUGAGGAAGCGACUUCAGUGAAUCAGCCCGACUCUCCUUAUCCGGACGCGAAUGUAGCCGGGGCCUCUUGUACUUAAACGUUGCUUCUUAUGGCGCCUUUAACGGAAGAAACAGGGGUUGAAAGUCAGGGUUUGCCUCAUUGCGAACCAAGCUUCCUUGCCCUUGUACCGGUGAAGGGGCCAGCUAUAAGGAGGUCUCAUCCGGCCCGUGAUUUAAAGUCUGGCAUUAGCGGGCGGCUUCAGGACAUUCUUCUGGAAACCAUCGAAGUCAGCUGCUCAUCCGCCCAGGAGGAUCAUCCGGAGGAGAGUGAGACGGAGAUGGCAGAAGAGAACCCAACCGCCCCGGUGCUGGUCCCGGAUGAGGGUUCACCCGAAGAGAUCCAGCCGGCCGUGAAUAAUGGGGCCCUAGAUCCGAGGGAGGAGUCACACCCUACCGCCUCGUCAAGGGGAAGUCUAGUUGAUGAUGCGGCUUGCAUCUCCGCUAGCCCUUUCAAUUAUGCGGAGUUGGGAGAGAUGCUGAAACGGAUUCCACCCGGCUCAGAUGUUGAUGUGCCUUCAGCAAAAAUGUUUGAAGUGGCGGAAAUGGUAUAGUUUUACUUCUUGAUUUUUCUUGCCAUACUGAUGUGUUUGUCACAUGGGUUGUAAUUUUGUACUUCUUGUUUGUGGGUUUUUCUGCAGCUGGUGAGCGGUAUUCGUGGCAUGGCUUAACAACAUGAUCUUUUUUCAGACCUGCUGCGUACUGCCGAUUAUAUGAAGGUCUUCGUCUCCCAUCGCAUAAACAGUAAAGAAGAACUGCGCUUGAGAUUGGAGCAGGCCGAAGCUAGUUUAUCCGCUGCCCGGAGGGCCUCUGAAGAGAGUGUCGAAGCUUUGAAGAAAUCCCAAGAGGACAACGAGGUUCUCCGGGUAGAGCUAGCUGAGCCAAAGAGUCGGGAGGAAUCUACAGACGCCCGUCUGCAUGAGGCGGAGGGUGAGAUGGCCCAGUUGAGGGGAGAAGUGAGGCAACUCCGGACAGAGGUGUCCAUUGAGAAAAAGCAGAGAGAGGACUUGCAGUUGCGUUUAUCAGCGCAAAAAGAAGAGUUCGAGGCUGAGUUUGCUGCGAAAAGGGAGGAACUCGAGACGAACUACCAGAAGUAGGUAGAUGAGAUGUAUAUCUUUGGCUACCGCUGUUGCAUGAAGAAGCAUGGCAUCAAACGGGACGUCCCUUCGAUUCCCCCGGGUGAGGAAGAAAAGUUGCGUCGCAAGCCCUCCCAAUGAGAGUUUUUCUUUUUUUAUCUUUUAUUGCUUUUUUCUUUUUGUAUUUUGUAGUCCGGAGAACCUUUUUUGUAUACAAUUUUCACAAGUAUUAAUAAAACAUACUCAUUCACAUUGUACUUGUAUCUUUCUUUCAUUAGUAAUACUGCUUUAAAUUGGACACAUUCCAUGGUCGGAGCAAUGGGGUUCCAUCUAGCUUUUGUAGAUGAUAGACUCCAUUUUCACUUGUCUUGGAUACUAUAUAGGGGCCUUCCCAAUUGGCUUGAAACUUUCCUGCUCCUGUCUCAACAGUGUUUUCGAAAACCUUCCUAAAGACCAGCAUUCCACUUUUGAAACUUCUGGGCCUUGCUUUGCGAUUGUAGUGAGCGGCUGCCCUUUGUUGAUAGUCUGCCAUCCGGAUGGAUGCGGUUUCUCUUACUUCGUCUGCCCAGUCCAAGUUUCUUCCUAACUUCGCACUUGCAUUAUCCUGACUUCCUGCCUCGGUCCGGAUAGUGGGUAGCCCUAUUUCAGUAAGAAUGACUGCGUCCAUACCGUAUGCGAGGGCGAAGGGAGUGUUUCCUGUCGGACGUCCGGGUGUGGUUCGAUAAGCCCACAGGACGCCGGGUAGCUCCUCUACCCAUUUCCCUUUGGCUUGCUCGAGCCUCUUCUUUAAGGCAGUUAUUAGGGUCUUGUUUGUGGCCUCUGCUUGUCCAUUGCUUUGAGGAUAACGCGGUGUGGAGUAUGCAUUUCGGAUGUUUAGUUCCGAAUAGAAAUCCCGAAAAGUUUUGCUAUCGAAUUGUGGACCGUUGUAGGCUAUAAUGGUUUGGGGGAUUCCAAAGCGGCAGAUGAUGUUCUUCCAUACGAACUUGGUGACAUCUUUGUCUUUGAUGCUAGCGUAUGCUUCUACUUCCACCCAUUUACUGAAGUAAUCCAUGGCGACGAGUAGGAAUUUUUUCUGGGCAGCUGCGGCUGGUAGGGGUCCUACUAUGUCCAUGCCCCACUGCGCGAAAGGCCAGGGACCUGAAAUUGGUUUCCACGUCUCCGACGGCACAUGUGGUAUGGGGACAUGCCUUUGACAUUUGUCACAUUUUUUUACGUAGGCUGCCGCAUCCUUUUUCAUCGUGGGCCAGUAAUACCCUUGCGAAUAGGCCCUGUGCGCCAGAGAUCGACCUCCAGAAUGAUUUCCACAUACUCCCUCGUGCAAUUCAGCUAAUACAUACAGGGCCUCUUAGUGGUUUAGGCACCGGAGAUAGGGACCUGUGAAGGACUGUUUAUACAAAUGCCCCCCAAUCAGGGUGAAACGGGCGGCUUGUAGCUUGUGUGUCUGCUUGGGCUCUUCGAGCAGAGUGCCUGUCUGGAGGUACCUUAUAAUGUCUUCCGUCCACUCUUGGCCGUCUGCUUGGUUUGCCUCAAUGGUAUUGCAAAUGGAAGCUUCUGUGACGGAAGGGUUGACUUGCACAUGUAUAGGCAACAAUAUGGCUUCUUUGAUGGGGAGGGAGGCAGCUAUGCCUGCCAGGGCGUCGACACGUCCAUUUUCAGCUCGUUUAAUUUUUUCGAUCGUCCAUUCGGUGAACCGUUGUAAGGUGUCCCUUACUUUAGUCAGAUACAGUGCCAUGCGCGCAUUCUUAGCUUCGUAUUCCUUUUGGACGUGCCUUACCACGAGUUGAGAAUCACUAUAGACCCGGAGCCUUGAGACGGAUAGAGCCAGGACGAGGUCCAAUCCGAAUAGAAUGGCCUUAUACUCCGCUUCAUUGUUAGAGACGGGAAACCCCAGCCGGAUGGCUUGCUCCAGAUGUUCUCCUGUUGGGGACUAUAGCAGGAGCCCUACUCCGGAUCCUGAUGAUCAGGAGGUUCCAUCGACCCGCAAAGUCCACCACUCUUUUUCACUUGGUUCCUUGUGCUGGGUAGGCUUUUGGGAGUAUUCCAGCACAAAGUCAGCCAUCACUUGACCUUUCAUGGACAACCUGGGUUGGAACUCAAUUCCAUAUUCGCUCAACUCUAUGGCCCAUUGAAGCAUUCUUCUGGUUAGGUCCGGCUUAUGCAAAAUGUUGCAAAGAGGUUGGUCUGUUAGCACGACCACCGGGUGGGCUUGGAAGUAAGGGCGGAGCUUCUAGGCGGCACUUCAAAGAGCUAAGGUCAUUAGCUCCAUCUUUGAAUACCUGGUUUCUACGUCCGUCAACGCUCUGCUGACGUAGUAGAUAGGUUUCUGCUCCUUAGGUGAGGAGCAGCAGAAUAGAACAACGCUAAUUGCUCACUCCGAUACAGCCAAAUACAUAUACAAUUUUUCUUCAGGGAGGGGGUUGCUUAGGAUGGGCGGUUGCAUGAGGCAGUGUUUAAUUUUUUUCAAAAGCGCUCUAACAGCUGUCUGUCCAUCCGCUUGCUCCAUUUUUUCAUAUUGCCAAGAAGAAAGGUCGCAGUUCAUCAAUGAAGCGGGCUAUAAAGCGUCCUAGCGCGACGAGCUUGCCUAUGAGGCGCUAUAAUUCCUUCUUGCUCCUGGGGGGUGGUGUUUCCAUGACUGCCUUGACUUGAUCCGGGCUGACCUCUAUCCCCCUUUGGCUGACCAUAAAUCCUAGGAAUUUGCCAGCACUUACGCCAAAGGCGUAUUUAGAAGGAUUCAACCUCAUGUCAUACUUCUUUAAGAGGUGGAAGACUUCUUGCAAGUGGAGGACAUGUUCCUCUCGGGUUUUGCUUUUAACCACGAUAUCGUCAAUAUAUACCUCUACUGUGCGGCUGACCAGAGGUUUGAAGAUCUUUGUCAUCAGUCUCUAAUAAGUGGCGCCAGCGUUUUUGAGUCCGAACGGCAUGACUUUGUAGCAAUAAAGGUCGUGUGGUGUUAUGAAGGCUGUCUUUUCUUCGUCAGCCAGGGACAUGGGGAUUUGGUGGUAUCCGGAGAAGGCGUCCAAGAAGGAAAGCAUCCCUUGCCCAGUAGUGGAGUCCACAAUUUGAUCUAUCCGUGGCAAAGGGAAACUGUCUUUUGGGCAUGCAUUAUUGAGGUUGGUGUAGUCGACGCACACCCGCCAUUUGCCUUCUUUUUUGGGUACCACCACUACAUUUGCCAACCAGUCCAGGUAAUCCACUUCUCUGAUGAAUCCGACUUCUAACAAAUUGUCAAUCUCAUUCCAGAUAAUUUUUUGUCUGUCCGGGUGAAAACGUCUAACCCUCUGUCAGACGAGUCUUGCUAUGGGCAAGACAUUAAGCUUAUGGGAGACGAUGGAGGGGUGAAUCCCCUUCAUAUCAUAAUGCGCCCAUGCGAAAAUGUCAUGGCUUUGUUGGAGGGCGUUUUGGAUGUUCCGGGUCUCUUCUAGAGUUAGGAGAGAACUGAUAUAUGUAAGGUGAGUAAGUACCUUCUUUCGAAAUUUGGAUCGCCUGCAAGGGAUCCGCUUCCGGGGGAUCUUUGUCUGUCAGACUCAAUAAUUGCUAUUGGUCACGUGCAUGGCUGGACUCAGGGAGGGAUGCAUCCUCCUGGCUGGUCUCUGCUUCUCGUGCUAUCUAGUAGCAUUGGUGAGCAGCUAACUGGCUGCCGUAUAAGUCAAUUUGCCCAUCCUUGGUAAGGAAGCUUACCAUUUGAUGAUAUGUAGAGGGGAUGGCUUUCAUGUAGUGCAGCCAUGUGCGCCCCAAGAUGACAUUGAAGGAUGAUAAGUCUUGUACCACCAAAAAUUGUACGUUGAGAAUGACUAGGUCAGCUUGGACCGGCAGUACAAUGUCUCCCAAUGAAGUAGUUGACGCCCCGUUGAAUCCGGACAAGAUUCGCCCAGGUUUUUCGAGGCCUGUGAGACUGUGCCCCAUGUGGCUAACGACCGAUGCUUGUACAAGAUCGGCCAAGCUGCACGGGUCAAUUAGGAUGCGUCGCACGUCGAAAUCUCCUAUCUCUAGGGACAGGAUGAGGGCGUCGCGGUGCGGCUGUAAUAUCCGGGUGGGGUCUACUGGUAGGAAAAUGAUUGUCCCAUCUAUGGGGCGAGGGCCCCCCCAGUUAUCCUAGGCCGGAUGGAGUUGACACACUCGCGCACCGAUGCUGGUCGCAACAACUUUUGUCUCUUUCGUUUGGAAUCGUACUCCUCGUCGGAUGGGCCUCCGUUAAUAUAGUUUAUAACGGCUUUAGAGGUGGUUGGGGCCCUAGGGGCUCCAGAGUUGUGAUUUCGAGAAGCGUCUUCACCUCUGGCAUCUGAGCGGAGGUAUUGCUUUAAAUGUCCCGCCUUUAUGAGCCUUUCGACCAAAUGAUGGAGACACCUGCACGCCUCCGUUGUGUGACCAUGCUCCUUAUGGAAGACACCUGAACUCUCCUCUGGGAUUCAGCAAUUUAUGAAUGUAUCUUUAGGCCCAUGUAGAUAAAUCCAUGCUUGGUGGUAGUAUGCUUAUUGAUGAUAGUCUAGAGAUGUGGAAAUCAAAUGAUUCUGAUGAACUAAAUUUGAUGCGUGAUGAGAUAGAUGACGUGUUAUCUAAGGAUCACAAAGUUCAUCAAUAGAAACUCGUUUGAUGAUGCGUCAAUCUGAUGGAGAGAAUCCGUUGAUAAAAAAUGAUGAAAUGCCAAUUUGAAGAUAAUGACUGCGAUUCAUCUCCGAAGAUGAAUCUAAUGAGAACGUUCAGGAUUCAGAAAUGGAGAGCUAUAAUGGCAGUGGUGAUUUGCAACAACAUCGAUCUCUGGUGGCAGUGACAGCAAACUCUAAUGGUGGUAAACUACGCCGACAGAGACAAUCUCCAUGAAUUGCGCAACAAACUUCAAUGGCGAUCUCCAGUGGUGGUGAUGAAUUCUCCUACAACAAUGAACUCUCAUUCUCCUGUAGAGAUGAACUCUCAGAUGUCGGUGAAUUAUUUUUAUAUAUUUUUUUAAUAAAUUUUAAAUGAAAUAAAAUAAAUAAAUAAAUUUUAAAUCAAUAAAUUAAUUUUAUAUAUUUUUUUAAACUCAUUUAACUUAUUUUAAAUUUUCAAUUAUAAAAUUAAAUAAUUUGAAAAUAUAUAAAUUUAUAACUAAUUUUAAUUAUAUUUUAUUUUCUUUUAUAAUUUUCAUAUAUAGUAUAACCAAUACCAAUGUUUUCAAAAUCAGACCGCUGCUUGAACCGGAAAAGUUACCGGUUCACGAUUCACGAUUCACGAUUCAUUAAUUGAACUGGUGGUCAAACCGUAGUCAAAUCAAUGACAUCAUAAAUAAUAAUUUUUUUCUUUUUUCUCACUAACUAAUCCCACAUCGGAAAUGGAUAAAAAAUAUGUAGGAAUUGUGGUAUAAAAGGCAAGCUAGAAUCAUUAACUUGCAAGACUAAAAGCUUAUUGGGCUUGAUGACAAACAAGUUGGAUGGGCUCCUCAUGGAGUGAUCCGGUUCUCUUAUGGUAUCAAAACCUUUUUUUUUUUGUUUUAAAAUAAAUAAAUAAAUAAAUUGUUCGGUUCGCUAAGAAUCGCCUGGUUGGGGCGGUUCACUAGCUCAACCACUGGUUUGAUGCCCAAACGGUUUUUUGGGUGGACCAAACUGGUUUUGUUACCGAUCGGACCAACUGGUCCGGUCCAAUUUUUAAAUCAUUAUCAAAUACAAUAAAAUAAUUUUUUUUAACAUUUUUUUUAUUUUUUUAGUACUUCUCAAAAAUCAAACAUAAUCAUAAGACUAAUCAUAUUUUUUAUCAUAAUAUCAUUCGAAGACAAUGCCCCAAGUGAGAAUCCCAAAACUUUUCAAUGUUUUACUAAUAUUAAGAUUUUGAAAAUCUAUACAAUUUAUUUUUCUUUUUCUUUUUUUAAUAUUUGGAUGAUAGUGCAUGAGUAUACAAGAAAGGUCAACGCAAAGAUCAAUGUCUACAAUCUUGAAAUUGCACUUCCAGAGUUGGGCCCUAAAAGAGAACCCAAUAAGGGGAAGGGGCAGCGUAUAAACCUUGUUCAAUGGGCAUGAAAACACCUUGGAGAAGGAAAGUCAUUCCUCUACCGGUUGACUAAUAAUUUGAUGGUAAUGACAGUAGUUCGGAUCAUUAACAUGACUCAUUUCUUCUAAACAUUUGCACUUAGGUAGCUCAAUAACUUUUUUAUGGAAUAGGUCUUCCAACAUGUUAGGCACAUCAGAGUCAGGAAAAUGAUAUUUCUUAUCCUUUAAUUCCUUCAAGGUGAAUCGACGCCUCUCAUUUUCCUAAAUUGGUCUAGUCUCUCUUACUUCCUUCUUUUUAUCUCGUGCUGAGAUUUUGAUGGGCGUUAUAUUUACUGUCAUUGACUUGUGGAUGGGUUUUAUUGAGGCCCGAUCACUUGUUUUCUCAUCAUGUCUCUCUCUUUACCGAUCAACAAUUAAUAAGGUCUUUUUUAGCACCAUGGUUAGCUAUGUUGAGCUUCAUGUCAUGUGCUCAAGUAGUUAACUGUUCAAAAAUGUGAGGUCAUAUCCCUUAGAGGAUGUACAAAACACCCCAAUGCAUUCCUUGUAUGCACAUUUCCAUGGCUGAUACAUCAAAUAAUCUAUCUUUGUAGUCGAAACUUAAAGAACGCCAAUGAUUGACGUAGUUUACGACCGGCUCAUAUUUCCAUUGCUUAGUAUUAGUAAGCUCCAUCAUGCUUACAGUCCGUCGGGUGCUAUAGAAAUGGUUGAGGAAUUUGCAUUCCAUUUGGCUCUAACUAUCGAUACACUUAGGUGUAAGGUCUAUGUACUAAUGAAAGCAUUCCCUCAAAAGGAACGAACAAAUUGUUUAACUAACAAGUCACUAUGUGCACUUGCAUUGUUAGAAGUUUUAACGAAAUGACAUGUUGUUUUGGAUUUCUCUUCCCAUAAAAUGAUUGAAACUUUGGAGGUUGAUAACCUACAAGCAUACAUAGGUUAUCAAUCCUCUUAGUGUAAGGUUUAGAGUACAUAAGUGUACUCUGUGAGGGUCCAUCGUACCGCACUCUAAUGGUGUUAGUUAUUAUGUCUUGAAGUUGCUAGACAGAUAACAACUCCAUCGAGGCAAAUUCCAUCAUUUUUCUUUCGACUUGCACUGUUCUAGAUGCAUGUGGUGCAUCAUCGAGAAGAGAUGCAACAUUCAAAAGGUGGUUAAGUCUUUAACUUGACUCACUUGUAUUUUGUACUUGUGCCUCAACCUUGUUUAUGAGAGAGGCUAUCUGCAUAUCAUUCUCCUCGACUAUCGUAGUGAAUUUGGUAAUGGUGUCAGUCAUCUCUACCAAUUGUUCCUCUAUAGAUGUAGUACCAACUGUCAUUACCGGCAUAGUCAUUGAGAUGAGAAAAAUAAAAUAGUCGAAAUGAUUGGAGUAGUUUUCCUCAUUCGACAUUCCAAUUGGUGAUUCGGAGUGUGAGCUGGUGCUAGAGUUAAUAUUGGUAAUAAAGCAAGGAGACUCAUCCCGAAAGUCCUUUAGUGCUAAAGAGAGUUUUCCCCUACUAUGAGGAUUGUGGCUCUUUGCCCCUAAGGAGGCCAAAGUGAUGAAUGGUUGGUGUUCAUCAUGUGUCCUUACCGAUUUUAGUAGACAAGUAGACCUAUUUAUUUCGUUGAAAGUGAAGAUGUUGAUUUUGAUUUGCUACGAGUCAUGGGACCCAUAGCAGUGUUGUGUGUUGAUUAUGCAAUGAUGAUCUUGUCAUUGUCCUUGUUGACAUGCACAACUUGAGUUCUUUUGGAUAUCAUCAACGUAGUAGAGAUCAAUCUUCUAACAAAAGAUAUGAGAGGCAGAGAGAUCCCAUCAAACAUGCUAGAAAUUUGUAUGCACAAAUUUCAUAAAGGUCCUGCAAAAUUAGCAAAACAAUACGAAAAUAAUGUGAACAAAAUAUUUAUCAAAAUUAAAAAUAUUGUGGUAUAAUAUAAAAAAUAAUACUCUUUACAAAACAAUAUUUUUUUCUCUAAUUUUUUUUGCCUUGAUCACAAUUUGAAAGACGACAAUGUCGUUUUCUUAUUUUGAAGAUUAAUUGAGGGCCACAAGUGACUUAUUCCUAAAUGAACACGUUGAAUGAUGAAGAACGCAUGUAGCAAUUCUAUCAUUUGCCGAACCUAUAGGGAGAUUCGAUGAUUUUUUUUUUUUUUUUUUUUUGUAAAGCCUUUUUUCCCAUACAAAGUUACCUCUAGAUUUUCUUCUUUAGGAUUUUCUUUUCUAGAUUUUUCUAAUUUUUGAGUUUCUCCCAUUUCUUGAAAGAAUUCACCUCUAUUUAUAGGUGAAGGUAGGAAAUUCGAAUUUUGAAUUCCCAAAUUUUAGUUGCUUAAUUCAAGGAAUUUAGUUAACUUUUCUUCUUGAGAAGGUUUCUCAUGAUGAUGAUGAUGAUAAUAAUAAUAAUAAUAAUAAUAAUAAUAUUUUUUUAAUUAUCAUUAUUAUUAUAUUUUCGAUUUUUUUAGGAAACUUAUUCGUAAUAGGAUAUUUAUUUAUUUAUUUAUUUUGAAUAUCAAAUUAGUGGUAAUUAAUCCACUAAAAUUUUUAUGUCUACAUCCUUAUCCACAAGUGUAGAGACAAAUAUGUCGUAAGUAAAUAAACUAUGAAUGACUUCAUUUGAGCUUAAAAUAAUAAAUUAAGCAAAUAAGCAUGUAGUAAAAUUAGAACUUACGACCCUCCUACUAAAUAAAGCUCUAAUAAUAUGUUGGAUAAUUGAUUUUUUUAAAAGCUUAAACUUAAGAUUUGCAUCCCGAUGGAUGUGCAUCAUGUUUUCUAAUAAUAUAUCACAUACUUUUCUAGAUUUUAUGUUAGACUUGUGAUUACUUCUCUAAAUUAAUUUUUCAGCAUAUUGUAUAUAUGCAUUUGUUAGGAUGAAUCAAUUAUCAAUCAAUGCAGAAAUACAAGUACUCCUCAUAGAGCCUCUCUACUUAUUUCCACUACAACAGCUUAGUUGGUUGAACUUAAAAGAAUUCCUAAGUGCUUUCACAAAUGUUUUGAACUUCAAACCUGCACAAAGAUGGAAACCAUAUCAUUGAAAUAAUUAAAACAAAUCAACUGAAAUCAAACUGCUAUUGCCUUGUUUAAAAAUUUAAAGAAAAAAACAAAAAAAAAAUCAUGGGCUUUUACGCAAAACUUAACAGUAGGGUUCCCAAAGUUCAUUAUUCAGAAUACUAACAAGUGUCAUGUAUCAGUUCAACUCGGCACCUUCUUCCAUAAAUAAAUUAUAUUUGCUUUGGAAGAAAACUUGAGUUUUGAACAAAUAUAAUAUAUUUGAAAAAAAAAUCCAUAAAAUGGAUCUUCAAUCAAAAUAAUUCUCAAAAUAGUGUAUUUGUACUUGGGCAUCCAAAUAGUUUGAGAAUAUUUUUUAUGUGAUAAAAUCCUAAUUGAUAACUAUGAUUUUAAUUUAUUUUUUUUAAAUAUAAAACCGCUGUUGGUAAUUAUAGUUUUAACCAUUUUAAAAGAAAAUUCAAAAUCAUAAUUAACAACUAUAGUUUUAUAAGGUGGAUAUGUUAGCUCUUUUCUUAUAAUGUGUGAUCAUAUAUAAUUAUAUUUGUGUAAAUAUUAUUUAAGAGUAUCAAUUGAUAGAUAGGUGAAUCAAUUGAUUGGGCAUUCAAGAGUCUUAUGUAUGGAAGACUCAAAUUAUAAAUGGGGAGUUAGAAAAUUUAAUUUAUAUGAAUGUGGUGUUUAUAACCCCAUCAUUAUGAAAUUUAUUUUGUACAUUAUAUUUAUGAGUAAUAGAGGAAAAUGAAAAACUAUAACCUAUGCAUUUAUAUAAAUGCAUUCAAGUUCAUAACUCACCAUUACCCAUUAAUUUGUACAUAAUAGGUGUAAAUAAUGAGUAUAACUCUCGUAUAAUCUUUUAUAAGAAGACUAAGAGAUGUACAACUUUUUAUAAGUUAAGGUCUCAAGUCACAUUCUCAUUCUUAUGUCAUUUUGUUGUUUUAUUUUUUAACAACAUACACCACAUAAGUGACUCAUCCACUAUAUGAGAGUAGUGAGUUGAAGACUUUGACAAUACAAUUCACAAAAUGAUUCAAUUUCACUUCAAAAAUGAUAUUGAUAUUAUGGAUCAAGGUAAGAAUAUGAUCAUUAUUUUAAUAUUUAUAUUUAUUUUGUUUUAUGCAUUCAAAAUUAUUUUUUUUUAAAUAAUGAUUUCCACAUAAAGUUUAUAAAAGUUUAGUUAACAGGAAACCCAUGUGGAUGAGAUGCACUAAAAUUAUUCUGAGAUGGAAUCUAACCUGUGGAAUUUUUUUUAAAUAAAUUAUUUUUGUUCAAAACUUAGAAAAAAAAACUUGUUGAAAACUAAAUUCAACUAUACACUUUCGUAUUUUUCUUUUUAUAAGAUCAAAUCCACGUUAUCACUUUUCCACUAGAAUCCUCAUGAUUAAUUGUAGAAUUCUUGAGAUGAAAUGAAAUGGUUGUUGAAACUUCAGUUUUCAAUCUUGAUCAAUGUUGUCCCUUCCCUUAGCUGUGCAUUAUUCCAAUGCCAGUUUUUCUCCACAAACUUAGUCCAGAGACAAGAUUAGAUUCCGUGUGGAACCAUUCAUGUGUGGAUCCCGUUGUGAGACUUGACCAUCAAUAUCCUUCUCUCCAUUUGUGGGGUACUGCCCACGUGACCACUGCUUUGGAAAUUUGAGUAACACACCUAAAUUCUCAAAGACCCAAAACUACAGAUUUCUGCUUCAUCUUUCUCCUCAUUCAUGUGCACCUUUUCAAAGUAUUCAGUGGAGAUUGGCCCCAUCAGUCACGUUUUCCAUAAUGCAUGGUUACGUCACCAUCCAUUUGCUAAGUUGUCAUGCCUUUUUUCUACACCAACUCAGAAACCCCACCCGGCUGGUAUGGUUUUCAUUUUUUAUUUAUUUAUUUUUUUUAACCAAUAUAAAUAAGGCAUGAACCCAUCCAUUUUCAUAUCUGUACCUAAUGUUAAUAUUAAGUGAUUCUACUUAAAAAUACUUUUAGUUUAUAUUAUUAUUAUCUGUAAUACUUUUAUUAUUUAGAGAUAAUUACUUAAUAUUUAAAUAUAUAAAUAAGAAAAAAAAUUCAAAAAAACAUCCAUCAAUAUAUAAUAUAACAAAUUAUUGUCUUUAAAACCUAAUUUUUAGCAUAAAAAAAAGGUAUUUUAUCUCACUCAAAGUUACUCCCAAAUCAACUCUUAAGGAUUGUUUGAAAUUGCAAAUUUAACUUUUAUAUUGAUAAAUAAAAGAGGUAAAAGUAAUUGUUAUGUUUGAAAAUUAUAUGUCAAAAAUAUUGUUAUUAAAGAGAAAGAUAAUUUUGAAAUUUUUAGUUAAAUAAAAAUUUUCUAAAAUAUAUAUAUAUAUAUAUAUAUAUAUAUAUAUAUAUAUAUAUAUAUAUAUAUAUAUAUUUAAUGCAUAUGAAUUUCUAUUCACAUCCAAUUAUGAUCUAAUAUUCUUAUAUAAAACCUCAUUCAAUUUAACAUGAGUAUAAUUACUUAUUUUAUUAUUUAUUAAUAUAUAUUAUAAUUAAUUAAUUAAUUUAUUUAUUUUAAAAAAAAAAACUAUGAAUGAUUGAUAUUUCCAUAAAAUCAAAACGUGAUGUAGACUAAUUGGUGCCUAGCGUUGACCCAAAGUCAAGUCUUUUCUCUAGUGUGGCAUUUUACACAUUUAUUUAUGAUUACCAAGACUUGGAAAAGCAACAUUAGGAAUUGGUGUUCCCCAAUUUUUUGUCAUCAGGUUUAAAAGAUAAAAUAGAGGGUAAGACAUGGAUUUAAAUUUUAUAAUCAGAUUAAAAAACCGAAAACAAUAUCUAUAAUCAAACAAUUUCACAUGUGUUUUGAAGUUUUAUUGUUUUAUUUAUUUAUAGAUUGAUUCAACAACCUAAAUUUUAUUAUAUAUAUUUAAUGAUUUAGAUUUUUUAUUUUAUAUGUAUAUUCUCUCUCUUAACAUUUUCUCAAAUUCCAUCAAUUCAUGAGUUUCCAAGAAGUAUCCCCUACUCCACUCCAUGAAACAUAUCUUGAAAAUGAAGUUGUCCCUUAGAAUAAAAUAUCUAUCCUCAAGACUUAAGACCUCAAACCUAAAGCUAAGGAUAGACCUCCAACCACCAUCUGGAGGACAUUAAUUAGUCUUGUUUUCUUAAUUUUUAUUUUCCAACCCCACUUUAACAACCGAAAAGAUUUACUUGUCUUUAUUUAUGAUUUAAAAAUAAAUAAAUUCAACUUUAUAUUAACUUGACUUUCAAAUAUACUAUUUAACCGUUGGUUUUCAUCUUUCCCACCCAUCUUCCUCCCAACUCAUAGAGAAGCGGUAAGGAACUCAAUGUCACCAAAAUGCGGAAACCACCAUUUUUAUUUACCAAAAUUCCAUUCCCCGCUCUAUUUCUCCUCCUCGUCUUCUCCUUAACCUUUCAAGUAAUUUCCCAAAAUCUAGAUGCUGAACGAUCAAUCCUACUAGACGUUAAACAACAACUGGGCAAUCCACCGUCACUCCAAUCGUGGAAUUCCUCAUCCUCGCCCUGUGAUUGGCCGGAAAUUACAUGCAUCGACAAUAUCGUCACUGAAAUUUCACUCAGCUACAAGACCAUCACAAAGAAAAUUCCGGCCAGAAUUUGUGACCUCAAGAACCUAAUCGUACUUGACGUCUCCUACAAUUACAUUCCAGGCGAGUUCCCGGAUAUUCUCAAUUGCUCUAAGCUCGAAUAUCUCCUCUUGUUGCAAAACUCCUUCGUGGGUCCAAUUCCAGCUGAUAUUGAUCGACUUUCACGUCUCCGAUACCUAGACCUCACCGCAAACAACUUCUCUGGAGAUAUUCCCGUAGCAAUUGGGCGGCUACGGGAGCUGUUCUACUUGUUUCUGGUUCAAAAUGAGUUCAACGGCACCUGGCCAACGGAGAUUGGUAAUUUGUCAAAUCUUGAACAAUUGGCCAUGGCCUAUAAUGACAAAUUCCGGCCUUCAGCCCUUCCAAAGGAGUUUGGCGCAUUGAAGAAGCUGAAGUAUCUGUGGAUGACGAAGGCAAAUUUGAUGGGCGAAAUACCGGAGAGCUUCAACAAUCUAUCGAGUCUGGAACUCUUGGACCUCUCAAACAACAAAUUGGAAGGUACGAUCCCGGGAGGCAUGCUUACAUUGAAGAAUUUGAACUAUUUUCUUUUAUUCAUUAAUAGAUUGUCCGGCCACAUUCCUUCAUCCAUAGAAGCUCUCAACUUGAAAGAAAUUGAUCUUUCCGACAACCAUUUGACGGGGUCCAUACCAGCGGGUUUCGGGAAGCUACAAAAUUUGACGGGUUUGAAUCUUUUCUGGAAUCAGUUGUCAGGAGAGAUACCAGCAAAUAUAAGCCUCAUUCCUACACUUGAAACUUUCAAAGUUUUUAGCAAUCAAUUGAGUGGAGUUUUACCUCCAGCAUUUGGCCUUCAUUCGGAGCUCAAACUCUUUGAGGUUUCCGAGAAUAAACUAAGCGGGGAAUUACCUCAACAUUUAUGCGCUAGGGGGACUUUGCUUGGAGUGGUCGCUUCCAACAACAAUCUCAGCGGGGAAGUGCCCACGUCCCUCGGGAAUUGCACAAGUUUGCUCACCAUUCAACUUUCCAACAAUCGUUUUUCAGGCGGGAUUCCUUCCGGCAUCUGGACAUCCCCGGACAUGGUAUCGGUGAUGUUAGAUGGAAAUUCAUUCUCAGGGACACUUCCAAGUAAAUUGGCAAGGAAUUUGUCUAGAGUGGAGAUCGCUAACAACAAGUUUUAUGGUCCAAUUCCUGCUGAAAUCUCUUCCUGGAUGAACAUCUCUGUGCUCAAUGCCAGCAACAAUAUGUUGUCUGGAAAAAUUCCAGUGGAAUUGACCAGUCUUUGGAACAUCACUGUUCUGUUGCUUGAUGGGAAUCAAUUCUCGGGUGAACUUCCAUCCCAGAUCAUCUCAUGGAAGUCGCUCAAUAAGUUAAAUCUCUCAAGAAACAAACUUUCUGGCCUAAUUCCCAAGGCAUUAGGUUCUUUAACUAGCCUUAGUUACCUCGACCUGUCAGAAAACCAGUUCUCAGGUCAAAUUCCUCCUGAACUUGGCCAUUUGAACCUUAUUAUCCUCCAUCUUUCGUCCAACCAACUGUCUGGGAUGGUCCCCAUUGAGUUUCAACAUGAAGCAUAUGAAGACAGUUUCUUGAACAAUCCCAAGUUGUGUGUCAAUGUUCCCACUUUGAACCUCCCUAGAUGUGAUGCCAAACCCGUCAACUCCGACAAAUUGUCAACCAAAUAUCUCGUUUUCGCUCUAUCUGGUUUCCUAGCUGUUGUUUUCGUCACCCUGUCCAUGGUUCAUGUCUAUCAUAGGAAGAAUCACAAUCAGGAGCAUACAGCUUGGAAAUUUACUCCAUACCAUAAACUAGAUCUCGAUGAAUACAACAUAUUGUCCAGUUUGACAGAAAAUAAUCUGAUCGGAUGUGGUGGGUCAGGGAAAGUAUACCGAGUUGCUAAUAACCGUUCUGGUGAACUCUUAGCGGUUAAAAUGAUUUGUAAUAAUAGGAGAUUGGAUCAAAAGCUUCAGAAACAAUUCGAAACAGAAGUCAAGAUAUUGAGCACCAUACGCCAUGCCAAUAUAGUGAAGUUGUUGUGCUGCAUAUCAAAUGAAACCUCAAGUCUUCUUGUUUACGAGUACAUGCAGAAGCAGAGUUUGGAUAGAUGGCUUCAUGGGAAGAAGCAGAGAACAUCGUCCAUGACAAGUUCAGUUCAUAACUUUGUCUUGGAUUGGCCAACAAGGUUGCAGAUUGCUAUCGGAGCUGCAAAAGGCCUAUGCCACAUGCAUGAAAACUGCUCUGCCCCGAUCAUACAUCGAGAUGUGAAGUCCAGCAACAUCUUGCUAGAUGCCGAGUUCAACGCGAAAAUUGCAGAUUUUGGAUUGGCCAAGAUGUUGGUCAAGCAAGGAGAGCCAGACACCAUGUCAGGAAUUGCAGGCUCUUACGGAUAUAUUGCCCCUGGUAAGACCAUCAAGGCCCUCCUUUCCAAAUGUUUUCAUUUCCAUAAUUUAUCGAUAAGUUGUAUCAUACCAUUCUUGUAUACUUGGAUGAUAGAGUAUGCUUAUACAACAAAGGUGAACAAGAAGAUCGAUGUAUAUAGCUUUGGAGUAGUCUUGCUUGAGCUUGUGACGGGGAGAGAACCCAACAAUGGGGACGAGCACGUGUGCCUUGCAGAAUGGGCAUGGGAUCAGUUCAGAGAAGAGAAAACCAUUGAGGAAGUGAUGGAUGAGGAGAUCAAGGAAGAAUGUGAUAGAGCACAAGUGGCCACUCUCUUCAAACUAGGCAUUAGGUGCACUAACAAAUUACCAUCCAAUAGGCCCACAAUGAAAGGGGUUUUGAAAAUUCUUCAACAGUGCAGUCCUCAAGAGGGCCAUGGAAGAAAUAAAAAGGACCAUGAAGUUGCACCUCCACUUCGAAAUGACACUUACCCCACCACUUACAAGUUGUGAGGAUAAAGCCCUUAAAAACAUGAUAUGAUGUAAUAAAUUUGGAAGUCAUUAUUUAUUUAAUGAUGUUCCGAUUUCACUUUUAUCUAUCCUUAUUCCAUAUAUUAUACUUUAUGAGCAUUCUUGCCUGCAUCUUUUGCAUUGCACGUAACUUAGGUGCAUUAAGAGUUGCACAGAAGAUCUAGGUCAUGGGUUCCUUGCAAAUAUAUGACUUGUUCACAACCAGUUCAUGGGUCUAGGAAGCCCAUUAGGGGUUGUAAUAAUCCACUUCCUAAUUGGAAGAAUGGCUAGUCUUAGCUAUUGGGAUGAGUUUCCCAUGGUAAGUGCAUUAGUGUGUAUGAUUACAUAUUGGACAUGACCUAUGGUGAAUCAUGAAUUAAGGUUAUCAAGCAGUCAUGACCUCAUCAAACUACUUCAUUAUAUUGUCUCUCAACCUUGAGAGAAUAUCGAGCUCGUACUAAAGUUAGCAAUGACUUUGACAUACGAGUGAGAUCGUAAGUUGAUCAUAUAUUCCCUAUGGAUUGAGUCAUUGUUGAUGGAAAAUGGUAGCAAUAGGUAUUUUCAAUAAAAACACCAUGAUGUCUCUUGGGAUUAAGACAAUGUGCCCCUUUUGGUGAUCCUAAAGAGGUGUGUUUAUGGAAACUAUGGUCAUAGUAGUUCCUUAAGUAAAACUCGACAUAGGCUCUUUGAGAGCUAAGACAUGUCAAUUGAAUACACAAUAGAAGGAUUUAUAACUCAAGGAUGGUAGAGGUAGUCUUGAAAGACUAAUAACUUUUACUUUGUUAGACUAUGAAUAUCAGUUCAUGGGAAGACUAAACACAAUAAAUAGCAAGUCACAAACCUGAACAUUUGGUAUCUCAUUGUUAUUUUCAAUAAAAUAACAAUGAGAUGGUAAGUUGAUCAUAUAUACCCUAUGGAUUGGGUUAUUGUUGAUGGAAGAUGGUAGCAAUAGGUAUUUUCAAUAAGCACCAUAAUAUCUCUUGGGAUUAAGAUAGUGUGCCCCCUUGGGUAAUCUUAAAAAGUGUGUUCAUGGAAACUAUGGUCAUAGUAAUUCAUUAAGUAAAACUCAACAUAGGCUCUUUGAGAGCUAAGACAUGUCAAUUGAAUACACAAUGGAGGAUUUAUAACUCAAGGAUGAUAGAGGUAGCCUUGAAAGACUAAUAACUUUCACUUUGUUAGACUACGAACAUCAGUUCAUGGGGAGACUAAACACAAUAAAUAGCAAGUCACAAGCUCGAGCAUUUGGUAUCUCGUUGUUAUUUACAUAAGAUACGGGAGUUCAAUUGAUUCUCUGUAGUGGGAUGUUGAAUCAACUUUAGAAUUGGAUUUUGAGAGAGUCGGUAUUCUUAUGGGUUCCAAUGGUCCUUGCUCUAAGCUUAUAUACUUUGUUGGCAUGGGUUAUAAGAGUCGGAUUGACUCUAGGUUCACUUUUGUACAUAAAGGCAUUUUGAUAAUUACACAAGGUUACACAAAGGUAAGUGAACAAGGUUUUUAAAUUGGGUUAAUUGAUUAAUUAGUAGGCCUUGUUUAGUUAAUUAAUCAAUUAGGACUUUUUUUGGGCUAUAUUAAGUGACCUAAGCCCUUAGUGGGCUCAAGUCACUUAAACCUAAUAGAAAACCCUUUAAAUACCCCCUUAAGGGUUAGAGUUUAUAUAGUUUUUCUAAAGAGCCAUCUUCUAUCUCUAGAGAGAAAGAGAAAGAGUCAUAGCGUCCACCCUCCCUUCUAUCUCCACUAAAAGUGUGUCAAGAUCAAGGUUCAAGUCAUUGGGAGGAAGACUUUGGAUUUACGAGACUUCUGUGAUUUCGUUCUUCAUUUUCACCACGUGGAUUUGAUUUGAGAACAUACGAAUUUGAGGUAUGGUUUUCAUUAGCACUUUCUGAAUCCCUUUAAAGUUUAAAAAUGUUAUUUUUCCGUUGUGUAUAGGAUUAAUUUAGAAAAUGCUUAGAAUAGUUAUGCAUGUUCGUAACCUGAUCUGAGCUUAGGAAAUGGAGAGAUCCUAGUUUUUUCCCUCAAUGUUUGUGCUCCAAAGUGUUGAGAUAGUUUAGAGGGUGACAUGAUGAUUAACAUAAUACCUUAUAUGGAGAACCUAGUGAAUCCCUUCUCCAAGACAUUGAUAGGGAGAGUCUUUGCUAGUCACAUGGAUAGCAUAGGUUUCAGAUGAGUAUUUGGCAUGCUUUAAAGGCAUGAUACUUUGAGGGCUAAUAGGAGAAUGUUAGGAUAAAGCCCUUAAAAACAUGACAUGAUGUAAUAAAUUUGGAAUUCAUUAUUUAUUUAAUGAUGUUUUAGUUUCACUUUUAUCAAUCCUUAUUCCAUGUAUUAUACUUUAUGAGCAUUCUUGUCUGCAUUUUGUGCAUUGUACAUGACUUAAUUGCAUUAGGAGUUAUAUAGAAGAUCUAAGUCAUGGGUUUCUUGCAAAUAAAUGACUUGUUCACAACUGAUUCAUGGGUCUAGGCAACCCACUAGAGGUUAUAGUGCACCAUACCACCUUCUAAUUGGAGGGAUGACUAGUCUUAAUUAUCAGGAUGAGUUUCCCAUUGUGAGUGCAUUACUGUGUAUGGUUACACAUUAGACAAAACCUACAGUGAGUCAUGGCUUAAGGCUAUCAAGUAGUCAUGUCCUUACCAACCAACUUCAUUAUGUCGUCUCUCAACUUUAAGAUAAUAUUGAGUUUAUACUAAAGUUAGCAAUGGCUUUGACCUACAGGUGAAAUCAUAAGCUAAUCAUUUGGGUCAUUGUUGAUGGAAGUCGGUAGCAAUAGGUAUUCUCAAUAGAAAUACCAUGAUAUCUCAUGGGAUUUAGACAGUGUGUCCCCUUGAGUAAUCUUAAGAAAGUGUGUUCAUACAAACUAUGACCAUAGUAGUUCCUUAAGUGGAACUUGACAUAGACUCUUUGACAACUAAGACAUGUCAAUUAAAUAUAUAAUUGGACGAUCUGUAACUCAAAGAUAGUAGAGGUAAUCUUUAAGGAUUGAUAACUUUCACUUUAUUAGACUACAGACACUAAUUCAUGGGGAGACUAAACAUAAUGGAUAGCAGGUCAUGGACCCGAGUACGUAAUAUCUCGUUGUUAUUUACAUAGGAUAUUGGAGUUCAAUUGAUUCUCUAUGGUGGAAUGUUGAAUCAACUUUAGAAUUGGAUUUUGAGGAAGUCAGUACUCCUAUGGGUCCCAAUAGUCCACACUCUAAGCUCAUAUAACCUAUUGACACGGAUUAUGAGGGUCGGAUUGGCUUUAGGUUCAUUUUUGUGUAUAAGGGCAUUUUGAUAAUUACACAAGGUUGCAUAAGGGUAAGUGGACAAGGUCUCUAAAUUGAACUAAUUGAUUAAUUAAUAGGCCUUAUUGGGUUAAUUAAUCAAUUAGGACCCAUUUUGAGUUAGAUUAAGUGACCCAAGCCCAUGUGGGCUCAAGUCACUUAAGCAUACUUAGGAACCCUAUAUAUACCCCCUAAGGUUUAGGGUUCCCACAACUUUUGUCCUCCACCUGUUAGGAUAGAGCCCUUAAAAGUAUAACAUGAUGUAAUAAAUUUGGGAUUCUUUAUUUAUUUAAUGAUGUUCUAGUUUCACAUUAUUUAUUUAAUGUGAAGACAUUUGGAACCCAUCUCUCCUUCACAGAUUUAUCCAAAAGUUGCAUGCUCUGACUCAAGUUUCCAUGCAUACACAACCCUCUGAAGUGAUCAUCAACUCCAUUACCUUAGUAGUUUUUUCCAUGUCAAGCAUACAGUUAGUUUUGAGAGCGAGACCCAUUUUCACUAUGAACUCAAUGACUGUGCUUCGAUCAACUAGUUUGGCAUUUUCAUUUCUUUAUGGCAACCAAAUUUGGACUAGAUCUAACACUUGGCAGGCCAAAGGGCAUGAAUCAAAAACAGAGGAAAGCGACGGAAAAAAAAAAAAAAAACAAAGCACAAAUGGUUGAAACAAAACGAACUAAUAAAAGCCACAUUUUAUGUUUCAAUCAACCGACUUAGAUGUAGGUGAGUGAAACUAAAAAGAUUUUAAACAAGAACACAAGUAUUAUUCAGACAUUCUAUAGGAAAGCUACAACAGAGAUAAAUCAUGCUCAAACAUAACCAAAGGAAAUGAGGCAUGAAUCAACUAUAACCAAAUCACAGAAACCAAGAGAUUAACAAUAACAAGUGUGUGUCCUACGAUUAUCCAGACCCAAAACAUGGAAAAUUUUAGAAUCUAAUUGAUAAAUGAAAGAAAAAAAUGGAAAAAAUGGAGAUGAAGAAAAUUAAAUACACAAUUUAAAGGACUGAGAACCUGACCUGAACUCUUCUCUAAGAUUUAGCAAUUUAUGAAUGUAUCUUCAGGCCCCUGUAGACGAAUCCAUGCUUGGUGGUAGUAUGCUUAUUGAUGACAGUCUGGAGAUGUGGAAAUCAAAUGAUUCUGAUGAACUAAAUUUGAUGCGUGAUGAGAUAGAUGACGUGUUAUCUAAGGAUCACAAAGUUCAUCAAUAGAAACUCGUUUGAUGAUGCGUCAAUCUGAUGGAGAGAAUUCGUUGAUAAAAAAUGAUGAAAUGCCAAUUUGAAGAUAGUGACUGCGAUUCAUCUCCGGAGAUGAAUCUAAUGAGAACGUUCAGGAGUCAUAAAUGGAGAGUGUAGGGACCCCUCCCCUUGGGAAACACGUGGCACGCAGCUCAUAGUGACGCGUGGCACGUGUUAUCAGCCGGACCGUCAUUAUCCGGAUUCCCCUAAGGAUAUGCAUGGUGCAGAUAUCCUAUCCGGACCGCCUCAAGGAAAGGCAAACGACGUUUCAUCUUCUCCUAUCCAAGGAAGAGCAAACGACGUUGGCAGAGCGUACACAUCCGGAUAGUCUCCACAACACAUCCGGAUAGUCAACAUGAGCCAUCCGGAUAUAAAUCUUCUGGAUGGUCAAUUAAAGUAAAGCGAGUCUUACACGCAAUCACAACAAGCAGCCAUGGCCCACAUCCCAUCACCUGCAGAAUGAGAAGACAAGAGGAAGUGACAGCAAGUCACUUCCCACGAUCAUUCUGCAUAAUCGCUUCCCACGAUCUCUGACGGCCGCAUCACCUACCAUAGUCUCUGACAGCCAUUCAUAGGAUGAUAGUGCUCCUACUAACACCUAUUGUCAUCAUCACAACAGAAAAGAUCUCCUCACCAUUAAUGAGAGGAACAGUACCCCUGAAGCUGGAUAUAUAUACCUUCGCACGAAGAAGAAAGGGGAUCUCCUGGUAAUCUCUUGAUACCUAGAAAAAGGCCAACUGAUUUAUAUAUCUCUUUCUCACCAUGGCUAACAAAACCAUCGGAGGGUGCGUCCGGACACCCUGUCCGAAUGCCUUUUGCAGGUGCAACCACUGAAUCAAGAACCCCUUGUGUGUUGAGAAUCACGUAUCCAUCCAUAUAGCAGCAACGUGGACCAUCGGAUACGCGAGGUGACAACAGAGAGCUCUAAUGGCGGUGGUGAUUUGCAGCAAUGUCAAUCUCUGGUGGCAGUGACAGCAAGCUCUAAUGGUGGUAAACUACGCCAACAGAGACAAUCUCCAUGAAUUGCACAACAAACUUCAAUGGCGAUCUCCAAUGGUGGUGAUGAAUUCUCCUACAACAAUGAACUCUCAUUCUCCUGUAGAGAUGAACUCUCAGAUGUUGGUGAAUUAUUUUUAUAUAUUUUUUUAAUAAAUUUUAAAUGAAAUAAAAUAAAUAAAUUUUAAAUUUUUAUACAUUUUUUUAAACUCAUUUAACUUAUUUUAAUUUUUCAAUUAUAAAAUUAAAUAAUUUGAAAAUAUAUAAAUUUCUAACUAAUUUUAAUUAUAUUUUAUUUUCUUUUAUAAUUUUCAUAUAUAGUAUAACCAGUACCAAUGUUUUCAAAAUCAGACCGGCGCUUGAACCAGAAAAGUUACCAGUUCAUGAUUUACGGUUCAUUAGUUGAACUGGUGGUCAAACCGCGGUCGAAUCAAUGACAUCAUAAAUAAUAAUUUUUUUUCUUUUUUCUCACUAACUAAUCCCACAUCAGAAAUGGAUAAAAAAUAUGUAGGAAUUGUGGUAUAAAAGGCAAGCUAGAAUCAUUAACUUGCAAGACUAAAAGCUUAUUGGGCUUGAUGACAAACGGGUUGGAUGGGCUCCUCAUGGAAUGAUCCGGUUCUCUUAUGGUAUCAAAACUUUUUUUUUUGGCUUUAAAAUAAAUAAAUAAAUAAACUGUUCGGUUCGCUAAGAAUCGCCCGAUUGGGGCAGUUCACUAGUUCAACCGCUGGUUUUGUUACCGAUCGGACCAACUGGUCCAGUCCGAUUUUUAAAUCAUUAUCAAAUACAAUAAAAUAAUUUUCCUUAACAUUUCUUUUAUUUUUUUAAGUACUUCUCAAGAAUCAAACAUAAUCAUAAGACUAAUCAUAUUUUUUAUUAUAAGAUCAUUCGAAUACAAUGCCCCAAGUGAGAAUCUCAAAACGUUUGUCAAUGUUUUACUAAUAUUAAGAUUUUGAAAAUCUAUACAAUUUCUUUUUCUUUUUUUCUUUUUUUAAUAUUUGGAUGAUAGAGCAUGAGUAUACAAGAAAGGUCAAUGCAAAGAUCAAUGUCUACAAUCUUGAAAUUGCACUUCUAGAGUUGGGCCCUAAAAGAGAACCCAAUAGGGGGGAGGGGUAGCAUAUAAACCUUCCUCAAUGGGCAUGGCAACACCUUGGAGAAGGAAAGUUAUAAGUGAAAGCACUGGAUGAGGAGAUCAUGGCACAAUGCUACUUCAAAAAAAUGAGUACUAUGUUCCCAAUAAUCAAACUUUAUCAUGAAAAUGUUGAUAAUAGCGAGGAUUAUCUUAUUUACAAGUAUAGAGACAAAUAGGCAAAAGGUAAAUAAAUUAUUAAUAGAGCUUAAAAUAAUAAAUUAAGCAAAUAAACAUAUGGUAAGAUCGAAACUCAUUAUCCUUCUACUAAAUAAAAUUCUAAUACCAUAUUGGAUAACUAAAUUUUUUAAGAACUUAAACUUAAGAUUUGGAUCCUUAUGAUUGUAUAUCACAUUUUCUAAUAAUAUAUCAAAUACUUUUCUAGAUUUUGUGUUGACUUGUGAUUACUUCUCUAAAUCAAUUUUUCAGCAUCUUGUAUAUAUGUAUUUGUUAGGAUGAAUCUGUCACGCCCCAAGACCCACUCCAAGGGCGUGACGGUCAUUUCACACCUCAAACCCGAAGGCUUAAAGUAUAAUCUGACCCAAACAAUCAUAUUGUAACUGGAUGUUACCAAUUACCAAAUACCUGUUCAGAGUAGCGGAACAAAAUCUAAAAUCCUCAAAAUUCAAUUUCCAAAUAACUUCCAAAUAUCAAAUGAUCCAAAUGAACAUAACUAACAGUUAAACAAAAUCCAACAUAAAAUCCUAAGUCAAAUCCUAAUGAUGACCAUUCCUCAGCCUAGCCAUCACUCCUCACCCGAACUAAGAGUACCUGAAAAAUUUUCAACAAUUGGGAAUGAGCUCACAGCCCAAUAAGGAAUAUUAAUGCAAUUCAUGGAUCAAAUAUUUUCAUUUCAAAUAGGAGAUAUCAAUUUUUUUUUUUCUCAUCGAAUAUCAGAGUUUCAAAAAUACCAAUAUAUUCAAAAUUCAACCAACCAAUUUCAUAUCAAAUUCAAACACUUUCACAUCAGACUCAAUCAAAUCCAUUCAAUUUUUUCAUUACUCUGGUUAUCAAAUAUCAAAUGCCCAGUUAGGUGGGACUUUUCAAAUGGGUGGCUAGCCUCAAAUUGUUCCUGGUGGACGAAACCAAACACUACUAGUACUAGUAACCUCUAACCAAACCCCUAGAGGCUGGGGUCCAAAUCAAUUACAUUCCCACCAUGAAAUGUAAAGGUCAACUAUUAUAGCCCGUUGACAGGGCCGAAUAGUCAACUAUUAUAUCCCGUUGACAAGGGCCAAACAAACCAGAGUGAUGUUUUUGUUCAAGUAUUCAAAUUUACACAACAUAAUAUCUCCAUAUUUUGUGUCAUAAAUAAAACAAAAUAUUCCAACAUAAUAUUCAGUGCAAAACAAUUUGAUCCAUGCAUGGUAACAAAAUAUCAUUUUCUUUUCCACAAUUCAAAAUAACAUAUAAAAUAAUUUAAUUUUAUAAAUAUUGCAUUAACUUCCCUUACCUCAAAAGAAGUCCUUGAAAGCUUGGGAGAAGAAUAAUUCUGAAAAAAAUAUAAUCUACUCUUCACCUAAUAUAACAUAAGAGAAACAAUUAUUACUAUUUAUUUAUAAUUUAACUAAUUUAUUCCUUAUUUAAAUAAAACUAAUAAAUUCCCAAUUUGUUUCUAAUAACACACUACUAAUUUAAUUAAAUUACAAUUUUAUUUCAUUAUAAAAUUCUAUAUAUAUAUAUAUAUAUAUAUAUAUAUAUAUAUAUAUAUAUAUAUAUAUAUUGCUAAAUCUAUUAUUACUAUUAUCUUAAUUAUUAAUCUGAAACUAAAUAUCAUUAUUUUAUUAAUUACCUAAUUUGAGGCUAAAUCAUUAUUACAAAAAAUAUAUUAUUAUAUAUUUUGCUAAAUCUCUUACAUGUAUGGGGUACACACCAAACAAGUAAAACAAAGCAAAAAAAUUUUUUUUUUCCAUUGCCAUCAUCAUAAUAAUGAAUCAUUAUAUAUAUAUAUAUAAGUCUCCUUCCAUCCGGGCACACGCCCAAAUUUUUUUUUUUUUUAUUUUCCUUCCUUCCAAUGCUGUGCACACGCGUUCUCCUUUUUUUUUUUUUUUUAAUUAACCCUAACCUAAAAUUGAAAUAUUCCAAGGAAUUUUUUUUUUCUAAUAAAACUUAAGAUCUCCCAAAUUCCAAUACUAAAAUCAAAAUAUUAAAUUUUCACUAUUUGAUAUUAAAACGAAUUAAAAAAAAUAAUCUAACCCUAAUCUAGAUUUGGGGUUUUCCAAAAAAAAUAUAUCUAAUGUGUUUGAAAUUAAUCAAUGAAUCUAAAAUAUUAAACUAGGGGUUAGAAUCUUACCUAUAGAGAUUUUUUCUUCAACCCUGAAAUCUGACUCCAACCUUACGUUUUCUGAAAUUCUGCGAAUAGGAACUCUAUUCAGAAAAGAAGGGAAAAAAUAAAAUUUCUAAUUUAUACCUAGGGUAUUUAUUCGUAAAAUUACACUUUUACCCCUCUUCCACUUUAUUAAAUUAAUUAAUUAACUAAUUAAAUUAUUAAUAACAAUUUCCUAAAUUACCCUUAAAAGAAAAUGCCUGGGCGUUACAGAAUCAAUUAUCAAUGAAUGCAAAAAUGCAACUCCUCAUAGAGUCUCUUGCUUAUUUCCUCUACAACUUAAUUAGAAAAACUUAAAAGAACUCCAGAGUGAUUUCACAAAGAAAUAGGAUAAUUAUUUUAUCUUCAAACCUGCAAAAAAGAUAUGGAAACCGUAUCAUUGAAAUAAUUAAAACAGAAAACAAUUGGAAUCAAAGUGCUAUUGCCUUAUUUUAAAAACAAAAAAUAAAUAAAAUAAAUCUUAGGUUUUAUGCAAAACUAAAUAUUAGUUGCCUAAAGCUCCUUAUUUGGAAUACUAGAUGGGUGUCAAGCAUCAUUUCAACUCGGCACCUCCUUCGGUAAAUACCAAAAAUAAUAUUUGUUUUGGGAACAAGACUAGAGUUUUGAGCGGAUAUAAUAUAUUUUAAAAAAAUACACAAAAUAGAUUUCCAAGUAAAAUAAUUCUCAAGCUAGUAUAUUUCAGCUACAUGGGCAUCCAUAUGGUCGUAGAUUUUUUUUUUUUUAAUGUUGGUCUAUGUCAUAAAACUUUAAUUAGUAACUACGAUUUUGAUUUUUUAAAACAUAAAAUGAUAGUUAGAUAUUAUAGUUUUAAAUUUAUUUUUAAAAUCAUAAUCAUCAAUUACGAUUAUAAACUUAAAUUUAAAACCUUAGUUGGUAACUAAUGUUUUGACCGUUUUACAACAAAAUCAAAAUUAUAGUUCACAACUAUGAUCAUGUGAUAUAGAUACAAGUGUCAAUAAAACACUCCAAUUUGAAAAUUAUUUUGAGAGGGGAUCUACUUUGUAGAUUUUUAUUUGUUCAAAUAAAUUAUUUUUCCUCAAGGCUUAGAAAACUAACUUGUUUAGAACUAAAUUCAAUUAUACACUCUCCUAAUUUUUCUUUUUAUAAGAUCAAAUCCACGUUAUCAGUUUUCCACUAGAAUCCUCAUGAUUACUUGUAGAAUUGUUGAGAUGAAAUGGAAGUGUGGUAUGAGAUGCAUGCUUGUUUAAACUUCAGUUUCAAUCUUGGUCAAUGCUGUCCAUUCCCUUAGAUGUGCAGGAUGUGGAACCACUGCUGGAUCCUGUUGUGAGACUUGACCAUCAAUAUCCUUUUGGACUUGUGAAAGCAACCUUCCCCCGUUUUCUUGACGCAACCUGCUACUUCCACGUGAGCAUGCCAAACACGCUUAGGGCCUGUUUGUUGGUGUUUUCAAAUACAUUUUUGGAAACAGUUUUUACUGUUUUCAGAAAUAAAAUUAUGUUUAUUUAUUCUCAAAAAUAAAAAGAAUAAAAAAAAAAUAUUUAGUUCAGUUAAUAAAAAUAAUUUUUAAUAACAAAUAAAACAAAAAAACUUGUUUGGAAAAUAUUAUUGUUGGUUUUGUUUUUUAAAGUUGAGUAUUUUAUUUAACUAAUUGAUAUUGUAAAUAUAUAAAUAAUUUUUCUUCGUAAAAAUAAAAAUGUUCCAUUCUAAACAUUUUUUGCAUCGGUUUUAAUUUUUUUAAACAAAUUAUUACUUUGUAAACAUGUCUAAAUAUGUUUGAUUUCAAUAAUUGAUAAACCAUCUUAUCAAAAUAUCAUAAAUCGGUAAAUAUCAAUAAUUGGAUUUUAUGAAGAUAAAAUUUAUGAUAUCAAAUAAUAAUGCAUUAUACUUGGAAACCGAUGAUUUAUCUUUUCUACUAAUAAUAUAUUUAUGAUAAUUUUUUAUUUAAAAAUAUUUAUAAUUUUAUUUUAUAUUUAAGAAUUAUAUAAAAGAUAAAAAAAUUAAAGUAAAUCAAACUAAUUUAUUUAUAAAAAAUUAUUAAUUUUUAUAAAUUUACAUAUUAUAUAUAUAUAUAUAUAUAUAUAUACGACAGGAAUCCUUGUACUCUUUUCUCUCAUUCUCCUUAUGUUCUCCGUUUAUCUUCCAAGGCCCAAACUUUUAUUCACUAAGGUUGAACCAUUUCUCUCCUCAAAUAUUAACUCACUAAAGUCAAAAUUUAGAUCUAUGAUUGUUGUUAAGAUUCUUGGUUAGGAUUUCAUCUUUUGUGUUAUUGUUUAUGUUUUUGUUUGGUUUUUGAGAAAUCCUAGAAUUUAUGAAAGUUUCUGCUUUGAAAUACAUUAAAAAAAAUCAUAUCAGGAUAAAAUCCCAAAAUAUCCGAAAAAUAUUGAAAUGGAAAUGAAGAAAAAAUAAAUAUAAAUAAAACUUGUUGAUUAAGUUGAAUUUUUUUUAAACCGAAUUUUCAAUUUUCUAAUUUUUCUCAUUUUCCUUGGCAGUGUAAAAAAAAAAAAAAGAUAAGAGCACAUAGAGAACACGACAACAACACAAAAAACAUCAUUUUAAAACCAGGUUUUAGAAAACACAUAAAACACUUGAGAACAAAAAACACUCUUUUAUAAAACAUGAUUUUUGUGUUUUUUGUUCUAAAAAAAGAAAACAAUUUUUGGAAAUACCAACCAAACAAGCCCUUAAUGACUCAUUUUUCUUUUAUUUAUUUAUUUUAUUUUUUUGCUUAUUUGUUUAUUCUCUUGUCUGUUUUUAUUUUUAAAGAAAUAAAAAUAUUUUUCAAAAAAAUAAAAAAAAUAAAAUUAAAGAAUGUUCUCCAAACUAAAUGAAUAUUAUAGAACCCGACCAACAACAUACUAAACAAAAUGUAAAAAUCUAAAAAUAUGUUUGGUAGUAAUUGUUUUUAAUAUUUUUAAUACCUAAAAAUGAAAAAAUUUAGUGUUAAAAAAUGAAAAAUAUUUUAUAAAAUCACUGUAAAACUUAUUCUAAAUUAUUGAACUAAAUACGAAAAUAACAUAUCAUGCACGAAAAUAAGAUGAAGCAAAAAUAACUUGUAAUGUACACCUUGGGAAACACAUGAUAUUUUAGCAUCGUGUAGCAGAUUGCAAAAUCAAAUUUCGUGAGGAAUCAGGUGCCCAUAAAUCUCGUAUCUUCAUAAUGGCAUAUAGAGGAAAGUCAAGGUAAACGAAACCAUCAUAUUCUUCAACUUGCAGCCAACCAAAUAUGUUCAAGUCCAUUCAAUACAGUCCAUAAAAAUUUUAUUUUAUUUUUACAAAUUUUUUUUUCUUUCUAGAAUUCGAAUCUGAGCCUCACGACUAAAACCGAAUACGUACAAAGCAUCUAUUCUAAAAAUAAAAAAAUUAAAUUGAAUUAAAAAUUUUGGAUAUUAUAAAGCAGAAUACGUACAAAUUCUGUUGAAAGGUGAGUCAUAACAGUUAAAAAUUUAUAUAUAAUUUUUAUAUAUAUUUUAAUUAGUUUUCAAUUUUGGAUAUUAUCAAAUAAAAUUUUUAUGUAUAAUUUACUUUAGUCAGUAUUGUCCAACAUAAUUAAAUAAUACCAUGGUGGCUUAGGUUAAUUCCAAAAUGAUGGUAAUGGACUAAUGACAGAAAAAUUAUCAUACAAAAUACCUAGGCAACCAUAGGUGAAAAAAAAAGUAAUAUAAAUUCCAUAUAUUAUUAUUUAAUAUUAAUUUUCAGUCACCAUCAUAUGAUUUUUCAUAAAAUAAAAUAAAAAGGUAAAAAGUAAAUGUUCAUUAUGUUUGUUAGUAUAGUAUCAAAAGAAACUUAUUAAAUUUUUAGAAAUAUAAUUUAGAUUUAAAAGUAAUUGUAAAAAUUUGAAAAUAAGACUUAUAUUAUGAAAACAUUAAAAAAUAUUAUAAUUUAACCACAAAGAUAAUGAGUAUGACUAAGAUCGACGAUUAGGAAAAGAGAUUUUAUAAAAAAAAAAAUAUAUAUUUUGAAGUAUCUUACAUGGAUCAUUGAUUUUUAUUCAAAUUUUAAACAAAUUCAUACUAAUUUGGUUCUGGUUCUACUUGUUUCUGGUUCAAAAUGAGUUCAACGACACCUGGCCAACGGAGAUUGGUAAUUUGGCGAAUCUUGAACAAUUGGCCAUGGCCUAUAAUGACAAAUUCCGGCCUUCAGCCCUUCCAAAAGAGUUUGGCGCAUUGAAGAAGCUGAAAUAUCUGUGGAUGACGGAGGCGAAUUUGAUUGGCGAAAUACCGGAGAGCUUCAACAAUCUAUCGAGUCUGGAACUCUUGGACCUCUCAGUCAACAAAUUGGAAGGUACGAUCCCGGGAGGCAUGCUUACGUUGAAGAAUUUGAACUAUUUGCAUUUAUUCAUUAAUAGAUUGUCCGGCUACAUUCCUUCAUCCAUAGAAGCUCUCAACUUGAAACAAAUUGAUCUUUCCGACAACCAUUUGACGGGGUCCAUACCAGCGGGUUUCGGGAAGCUACAAAAUUUGACGGGUUUGAAUCUUUUCUGGAAUCAGUUGUCAGGAGAGAUACCAGCAAAUAUAAGCCUCAUUCCUACACUGGAAACCUUCAAAGUUUUUAGCAAUCAAUUGAGUGGAGUUUUGCCCCCAGCAUUUGGCCUUCAUUCGGAGCUCAAAUUCUUUGAGAUUUUUGAGAAUAAACUAAGUGGGGAAUUACCUCAACAUUUAUGCGCUAGGGGGGCUUUGCUUGGAGUGGUCGCUUCCAACAACAAUCUCAGCGGGGAAGUGCCCACGUCCCUCGGGAAUUGCACAAGUUUGCUCACCAUUCAGCUUUCCAACAAUCGUUUUUCAGGCGGGAUUCCUUCCGGCAUCUGGACAUCCCCGAACAUGGUAUCGGUGAUGUUAGAUGGAAAUUCAUUCUCAGGGACACUUCCAAGUAAAUUGGCAAGGAAUUUGUCUAGAGUGGAGAUCGCUAACAACAAGUUUUAUGGUCCAAUUCCUGCUGAAAUCUCUUCCUGGGUGAACAUCUCUGUGCUCAAUGCCAGCAACAAUAUGUUGUCUGGAAAAAUUCCAGUGGAAUUGACCAGUCUUUGGAACAUCACUGUUCUGUUGCUUGAUGGGAAUCAAUUCUCGGGUGAACUUCCAUCCCAGAUCAUCUCAUGGAAGUCUUUCAAUAAGUUAAAUCUCUCAAGAAACAAACUUUCUGGCCUAAUUCCCAAGGCAUUAGGUUCUUUAACCAGCCUUAGUUACCUCGACCUGUCAGAAAACCAGUUCUCAGGUCAAAUUCCUCCUGAACUUGGCCAUUUGAACCUUAUUAUCCUCCAUCUUUCGUCCAACCAACUCUCUGGGAUGGUCCCCAUUGAGUUUCAACAUGAAGCAUAUGAAGACAGUUUCUUGAAC